UUACUCUUGAGUUUUCCUAUGAAAUUAAAGAAAAUAUUAACAUCCAAAUGAUGGGGAAAGAGAUUUGCUCAAUUUUGAAUGAUGGAGGGCAUCAUUGGUGAGCCUAGGAAGAUAGGGACCAAAUUGAAACCUCCCUAAUAACUGGGGGUAUAUUUGUAGUUUUCCUAGAACAAAAAUACCUAAAAUCUUACAUUUCUUUAAAAAAUAAAAUAAAAUAAAACCCAGCAUCAAACUCAGUGAUUGCUGAUGAAAGCAUUAAAAUCAGAUACCGUGAGAAUACGAAAUGAAUAUGGUGGAAAGUAAAUUCGGAUGAUAAAGGCAUCUCCUUUUUAUGGCAAUAAAAACAUAGUUACAGGAACGAAUCGAGGAUCAACUUAGUUGAAGGUUAAUGUUACCAGUUGGAUGGAUUAAUCUAUAUUAAUAAAUAAAAUUUGAAAUAACAUUAUUUUUUUUAUAAAAAAAAAUAGGUUGUUCCACCUAUUUAACUCGGAUUACGAGGUUAGCCUAUAUACUGAACCGGAUCUUAGAAGUAGGAUAAAAAGUGAUAGCAGCAGAGAACAUUCUGGUUUUGGAAUUGAAGUAGAUGCUUGGAAUAUGCUGGUGAUGUUCACUCGUGAGUCGUGACUCACACAUGGAAGCCUCAUCUUUGAUAAUAAAGAAAAUGACUCCUUUCCUGGCAAGAAGAAAAGAAUUUUGGUGUGAAUUCUCUACCCUGUGGCCCACCAAACGAAGCUUCCUAUCAUAUCAUCCUCAGUAGGUUCUGCUGAGGAAUGUCCUUUGAUAAUCUGUAUACGGUGAAAUGGUGUCACGGAGGACCCCUAAUGGCGGUGGGAAUUUAGUAACAUGCGACUGCUGCCUACUCUCCUCAUUUGAGACUUGGUUCAGACUCCUACCGUUGCAUAUGAAGUCUGUGUACAUAUGGAGAGGGAGACCUAUAUGGCUUCAAGUGGGUUACCAUGGGGAAUGAACAUACGGUGAAGCUGAAUAAUGACGGGUUCCAAUAGAGGACAUGGUUCACAAAAACAUGAACAUGCUCUCUAACAGGGUUCCUAAAAGCCGAGUAUUGGAUUGAACUCGAUUCAUGUCUUUUUAUUUCUCUCUUCCUUUCAAUACAUGUAAUUUUACCACAGAUCGAUGGAUACUGAUAUUGUCAUCAGGUUUGGGCUAUGAAAGCUACAAUUUAUGUAAAAUGAUUACAAUAAACAACCAAGCUCUUUCAUGACUACUCUCUAGGCUCAAGGGCAGCUAUUUCUCUCACAACUUGAGCUUUGUCUGCCUCAAAUUGUUCAUCCUCUGCAAAAGAAUACACCAAUGAAUGUCAAUACAGCAUCAAAGACAUUUUAAUGUCACUAGAGAUGUAUUUCUUUUAUACCUUUGUCUAUCUUGAAAUCAGCAAACAAACGAAGAAGCUUGCUCCUAUUUGCAACAAGUAUGUUGACGAUGUCAGGAGGUUUAUUUUGAUUUGCAGCAAAGAGCUGGAGGAAGGGGGAAAACAAUAAGAGAGGUAGAAAAUAAGGCACGUUAAGUUUAAGAACCAAAGAAAACACUCAAUGUCUUUCUUUAAGCUAUACCUUGAAAACAUGAAAUGCUUCUAUCUGGAUGCUUUACUUGAUUCCUGCAAAGGAGGAUUCGUCACAUAAAAGUUGAAGUCCAAUUAUGUAUGAGAUUGAUGUUCUAACAAUCUAUUUAGUGGCCAUCACAUAUGCCAUAAUGGUACAUCAAUAGUUUCCUAAAAAUAUGACAAAGCAUGAAAACAAGCAAUCUCAAAUGAGUCGUACCCUGAGAAGAUUCAUGAGAAUCCUCAAGUUAUCCCUUGAGCUCACAUAUCGUGUCAUCACAACUGCAUUAGAACGAUCCAAUAAUAUAUCUCCCAACAGCUGUCACAAUUAAAGAAGCCUUUUUAAUAAAUAGUACAAUUACCAAUAGCAAUAACAAAGCACAUUUUUGAAAGCAUUUUCCUAGGUUCAGAUGCCUAGAGAAUUGCUUCAUUGAAUGUUCUAAUGAUAUAUGAGCAGGAUAUCAUUAAGUUUCCCUACCUUGACAGCUUGUCGUCUUGUAAUGUAAUUGGAGGAUUCUAGCAGCUUCGAAUUAACUUCAGCAAAAAACUGAAGUCCAUACAAAGUUAGACAAUGUCAAGCUCUGACCAACAUUUAGCAAGCAUGGCCACAACAGGAAAUAAAGACACAUUUAGAAUGUUGCAAUUCAUGUUUUUGUCAUAGUUAUGUAGCUACCAACAUGCAGUUUAAAAAAGCAAAGAAGAAUGCUAUAAAAAUGAGGAGAUAAAGCUGCUCAAUUCAUCAGAGAGUCAAGUAAUAGAUUCUACUUUAUAUGCCCCAUCAUUGCAGAGCCACAAUAUUUUCAUAUUAAUGCAUUACCAGAAAAAUAAAUUUGCAAACCGUCUUUCUCUAAUAUCACCAAAGGUUUUCCGGCUAACACUUUUGUUGGCCUUCAAAUUCUUUGAAAAAACUAUAGAGGAUCAGGUAUGCCCCAUUAUACAGUGUCAGUGCGUGCAUAACUGAGGCAAUAUAUGUGCACAUAUGUAUCUAUCGGUAUAUAGGAUUUGAAUUUGGGUGUUCAAAAAAACCAUUAGAGCUUAAAACCUUUACAUUGCUUUUAUAGGAUUUUGGUUUAGAUUCUGCUUUAUGUCUCCAUCAUUCAACAGUCACGAUAUCGUGUUAUUAAUGCAUCACCAGAUAAUUAAAUCUGCACAUCAUCUUUCUCUAGUCUCAGCCACAAGUUUUCUCACCAAAAUACUCGUCUGCCUACAAAUUCUUUAGAAAACAAGAGGAUUGGGCAUGCCUAUCAUCCACCACCUUGUGUGUGUGGGCUGACCUAAGGCUUACAUAGCAGAAACAAGUAUAAACCUGUACAAGUAUACAUAGCAGAAACAAGUAUGCAUCUAAACAUAAGUGACAGCAGAACUCACCCAAUCAUAGUUCUUAGAAAGAAAUUCAGAUACUGUAGAUUUAUGUCUUGUCAAUAGUUCCUGCAACAAAACAAUAUAAAAGUCUCAGAUUCACAUUUCAACUAAUAGCAAAUACAAGGCCGAAACAUAAAAACUUCAUAAACAUGCAAUAAAGACAAAUAAAAUUUCCUGGAUAAUAAUCUGCCAGAGCAUUUAAAUUGAAAUUUGGGGAAUCAAGGGUUGUCAGCAGUUGCAAAAGCUGAAUAUACUUAACCAUUUGAUAAUAGCUGUGCAAAGAUGCAGUACAGUAUCGAGCAUGUCCAACACAGUUGCAUUACUGUACAGAAUAUAUUCUUGCCAAAUCUCUAAUGCAACGAGCAGAGUUUUGAAAGUCAUUUGGAAUUAACAUUUAACAGUGGAUGAUAUGUAUACCCACAAAAAGAUUGCAUUGUAUGGAAAAAUCAAACUGCGUAAGAGAGAAAGAGGAAAGAGGGAUGAGAAAAUGAUUUGUUGUUAAUAUCUUUUUCAAUCAUGCUUAACCUUGAAAGUUGCAGCAGCAUCUGCAGAAAUGUCAAAAUAUGGAAGUUGUAUAUAAUCAAAGAAUUUCUUGACAUUUGGUGAUUCCAGGACAUAUCUGCAGUCAAACCCGACAAAUGAGUGUACAAAACAUUGGCAGCACACCAUAAAAAAAAACAAUAAAUAAAUAAAUUAUGGAAGCUGAUAGUUGAGAAAAGCAAUCCCGAAACCAAAAAAAAAAAUUAAAAAUGAAAGUGAUUGUUCUAGAUAUUGACUUCACAUCACACUUUGACAUGUUUAUGUAAAGAUAAAUGGAGCACAUAUUUUAGUAUAAUUAAAAGUCUAAACAGAAAUCUUUUUCAGGAUUUUUAAGGAAAAGAUUACUCUCCUAAUCAGAGACAAUAUUGAUAGUCUGAUAUAAAUUAAACCACAUAGUUGAUUUUGCUCACCUGGCAACAGUCUGGUGACGUAUGCACUCCCUCAACAUUACGCCAUAGUGCAAAGCCAUAUCUGUGUUUUCAUAACUAAAGAAGCAAGAUACUGUAAUUAGAAGAUCCCAAGAAGUAUAGUUCACAUGACAAAACCAUGUAAAAAUUCUGUAAACAGCCAUCCUCUUACAUUAUUGAAAUCUAAAAAAAAAAAAAAGAACAGCUGAAUACAACUUCCAGACAUCCGAGAAAGAAGAAAGGCAUCACUUGUGAAACAGAUCACUAAUGGGAUCUUGAAACAGAGAAUGGACAGUCAACAAAAUAUAUAUGUGAUAAUUAAGGCACAAAAAUUUAUCCCACAAGAUGUCAGAAACGAUGCAGCAAACAAAAAAUUUAACCCAUUAAUCAUCUUGAAAAUAUUAGAUAACCGAUUGAAUGGAAUCAUUAUAUUCUCAAUCCCCAACAUUCCCCAGCAAUAAUGGCUUACCCUGCUAUCAAAGUAUCCAAAAGAUCUGUAUUUUUCUCCAGGUAGUCUGAUGCAAUCAACCUUGAAUUAACUUGUUGCCUUUGUAGAUUUGCAACAACCUGAGUGGCAUCUUUUCUGGCCUGCAAAAAGAAACAUUUUCAUGCUAAAUGACAAAAAAGAGAAACUGGCAGUUAAAUGAAAAUUCUUUCCAGAUGGGAAUCUAAUCCAACAGAUUCAACAGGGCAAGUAUAAAGUAUAAAGCAUGUCACUAAACCGAUCCAUUAUGAAAGAACAAUGAAUAAGAAUAGUAUUCCCUCAUAAAUCUGAUAGCAAAUUCAAGAUAGCAAUCUACAUAGCUCUCAACCAAUAAACUCGUCAGUGGUUACCUCUAAGUUCAAUUGGGAUAGACAGAAGAUCAAAAGACGAAGUGUGUUUUCUCUGAAAAACUCCUGAGUCAAUUGUGCACACGCUUCUGAAACCGGUUCAGACUCACUAUUGCCAUAAAGAAUUGACUUUAACUCCCUGAUAUUUUUAGCUAACUCUGCCAUCUGUAUUAGAAAAUACAAUUGUCAAAUUCGAAUUCCACAAAUAAAAUGCUUGACAGAAGCUUAAAUGCCCCAGUAGCCCUGCUCAAGAAAAUAACUUAUCAAAACAUGCAACAAAAGCAAGAAAUUAUACAGCGACCUAAUGCAUGUUCAUCGCAAUCUUACAUCUACACUCACCAAAAUUCAACAACACGAAUCUAAUUUUUAUUGUGAACAAACUAGUUGAAACAAAUCAAUGACACAUAUAGCACCACAGAUCACACCUAAUUCACAAACCUACAAUCAAAGUUUCCACUUUACUCCCUUGACUACUAAAGCUACUAAAAAGCUAAAACCUUUACACCAACCACUGCCAGUAAUAUCAGAUUCCUCUCACAACACACCCAACCACAUUCAAGUUAAACUUGGCCAGCAAACUAACCUCUUUGCAAUCACAUUAGCACUCAGAAAUUAACUAUUUCUUCCUAUCUAUGUAAAUAUCACAGCAUAUUAUAGCAUGCUCUAAUCCAAACCUCAAUCAGACAUCAAGAAUCACCCUAAAAAACGCAAUUUUUUCAUAAAGAUUGAACCUUUCUAAUCCAAAGCAAAAAAAGAAAAGCAACCCAGACCCCAAACAAUCUCAAAUCAAUCAAAAUCCACCUAAUUAAAAGAAAACAACAGAAAAAGAACACAAGCACACAUAAAAUAUAUAGAAAUGAAUAGAAAGAGACUGCCAACCUUCUCUUCUCGUUUUGAAUCUGAUAAAGAAGCUGAACUCUGAUCAGCAUAGAUUAAAAGAUCGCGAGUCUGUCUAACUAUAUCGACAGGAGUCCUCGGCUUUGACUUGAAAAGUCCCUUCAUCCUCUUCGAAUCACCCACUAACUGCCCCGAUUUCGAACUCAACAGCACUGGAUGUCCCGAUUUAGAAUUACUCAACAGCCCAGAAUGUCCCUUUGUCGCUACUGCCGCUGCCGCUGCCGGCGCCGGUGAUUGUGGCGGUGGCGAUACUCUCCUCACCACUACCUCCUCCCGGGCUGCUGCUGCUGCGGCAGCUGGUUUUGACACGCAGACUCCUAUGUUUCCUCCCUUUAUAAACCCCACAAAAACACAAGAAAGCGAUUUUGCCUUCUAUCUACGAAAAGGGUUCACCGUUUACUUGAUUUCAGCCACCAAUUUUGCUUUUGGAUUAUUGGGUUUUUAUGGGAUCUUGGUAAAAAUGUGUGCUUGAUUCGACGGUUAUGGUUUUUUGGGCUUUGCAUAAACAGAUUGCCAGUCGUUACCGUGUCACUAACCGCUGAAUACUUACAGUACAGUGCUAUUUUUUCUUACGUAUUCAUUUUCUCUAUUAUUUUUAUUAUAAAAAUUACAAAAGAGGGGAAUUCACUAUUACCGUCUUACAAAAGCACUGUUUAUUAUGGUUUUAAAAUAUUAUUUUAAUAAAAAAUCCAAAAAAAUAAAAUUCAUCAUCGGUGUGAUAGUUAGUUAAACAGGUCAGCUAAAGUUUUCAAGGUCAGCUGAUUUUUUUUUCCAACUCAAAUGGCUCCAGCAUUGUUGUUAAAAACGCGUUUUAACUUGUAAAAUCGUACAAUUUUACGAGUUAAAACCAGUAAAACGUUUUGAACCGGAAGAAAAACUCGAAAAUGGUCAAACUCGCUUAAAACCAGGUCAAACUCGCACAAAACCGUUAAAAACGUUACGAUUCCACGAGUUAGAUGCAAUGUCACGCGGCGUGAAUGGAAAAUUAGAAGUGAAACAUUUUAACUCAGGGGCUCAGGGCAUUAGAAAUUUAGGGCACUAACACUAACUAAUCUAUUUUCUUUCCCAAUUCCCAGUUCCCACCCAAGUACCCGACCAGGCGACCACCCUCCUGAGUCCUGCGACUUCGUCGGUUCGUCACUGUCUCAAGGUCACCCCACGGUCCCCAGACGGCCAGACUCCUCACCUGUGAGUCUGUGACUUCAUCAUCGUCCCUGACUCCUUGUCUCACACUCUCCUUGCCUCCAGAGUCCAGAGUCCCAGACGAAGGUAAGCAAUGAUUCUCAAUCCCAAGCUUUGUUUUUUUUCUGUUUAAUUAAGUGAUUAGCGACAAAAAAUGAUUUGGGUAUGCUGUGAUCUUGCUUAAUUAAGUGGUUUACUUCUGUCCGGGGAAUUUUUUUCGGUUUGAUCUGGGCAAUGGGCAAUUGGGCAUGCUGAAGUUCUGCAAUCUGUGAACUGUGAAGUGUGAAUUUGUGAACUGUGAAGUGUGAAUUUUUUUCUGUUUGAUGUUGCUUGCUUUGCUGUGACUUGAUCGCCGGGCUUGAUGAAUAACCUUGCUUUUGAUUUCUGUGAUUCUCCCCAUUCCUGAUACCCAUCUUGUGAUCAUUGGAUUUAUUGCCAUUUUGUGAAGCUUGAACUGCAUAAAAGGCAUUGAAAGCUUAAUUCCCAACAGAAAAAGAGGCGCUGUGCCUUUGUGAUAUUAAAGCUCAUUUUAUAAUCUUCAUGAGAGAUUUGCUCACAUUGUCCCCUUAAAUCUCCCUACGCCCAGAGCUUUCCUGAUAGUUACGGAACCUAUAGAAAAUAUCUCAGUACAAUUUGGUUUACAAUUUCAAAAACUUAAUAUUAUUUUUAUGGGCCAAUGUCUCUCGAAUUAUUCUAGAGAAACAAAAAAAAAAAAAGUGCAUUAUGUUUGUGUCAUUCUGCGAAAUGACAGUGUGAAUUGUGAUUGCUAUAAAGUUUGCAGCAUACUCGUAGGCCGUAGCUUUCUCAUUGUAAAUUUGUGAUUGACACCGGGGCUGUUUUGGUUGAAUGGGUGUCACUAAUUGCAUUCUGUUUGUGUCAUUCUGCGAAAUGACAAUGUGAAUUGUGAUUGCUACGAAGUUUGCAGCAUACCCGUAGCUUUCUCAUUGUGAAUAAUUUAUUGAACUGGCUUCUAAAAAAACUACAAGUGGCAAUAGACUUGAUGUGGGAUGACAAUAUGGCAUAGAUGUUUGGAUAUUUGUAUUGUUUAUUUUAGUUUUAUUUGAAUUAUAUAUUUUAAUAUGUUUAGAUAUUUGUAUUGUUUAAAAUAUUUUACUUGCGAUUUUACGAUUUUAGUUAAAAUAUUUUACUUCCGAUUUUACGAUUCGAGUUUAAAUUGAAUGUUCCGUGUCGUGUUAAAAAAGCGUUUUUGACAACCUUGGGCUCCAGUCCUAGAUUAGAUUAACUGGGUCUAAGUUGAUUUAUCAGGUAGUCUAGGUUUUAAAACAAUAUUUUUAAUAGUUCAUAAUUUACAUCAUGAAUUUAAUAAAUUAAUUUAAUUAUAUAUAUAUAUAUAUAUAUAUUAUUUUAAAAAAAUAAAUUGUCAUUUUAAAAAAUAUUUUGAAAGUCAAAUUAUAUUUUUAUCUGGAAUUUAGGUUGUUAUUAGACAUGUUAAAUUCACUAUAUUAUAUUAAAUUAAUUCUAACAGGGUUUUGAUUUUAAAUUUUAAUUAAAUAAAAAGAAUUCAAAACUAAAUUAAUUUAUCCAAAUUUAAUAAUAUUAUCAGAAUAUUACUGUUGCCUAAACAUUUUUUUAUACUUUUUUUAUUUGUUCGGCUAGUAGCAUAACGUAAUUAUCCAGUAAUCGAUCUAAUCCAUUUAAAAAAAUUUAAGAUUAACAGCUAUACGUGCAGGGAAUAACAUGGGGUAAGUUCAGAUUGUAAUAAAAAGGACUUAUUCCAUUCAAACUUCUUAGGUUUGGAAACAAUCAUUGGCUUGCUAGAAAGAUGGCAAAUUUAUUUUUAAUUAGUCUUAUUCAUAAAAGAAUUCUGUAAAUACUAGUUAAUGUGAAUGGAAUAAGUCCUUUUUAUCUGGAUUGAUACUAGUUAAACUUGGAUUGAUUGUGGGUUGAUCUGCAAUAUAAUUAAUUUAUAAUUUGUAACAGUUCAAGUUAAAUAAAUAAAUAAAGAAUUUAAUUGAUCUCAUAAAAGAAUUCAAGUUGAUUGGUUUCAACAUUUAUAAUUUUUUUUUUAAAAAUUUAUAAAAAAAUAUUAUUUUAUCUUAUUUAGAAAAAAAAAAACAUUUAACAAUUGAUUUAUAGUUUUUUUUUACUCCUAACCUAUAUCUUAUUCUGGUCCACUCUAUAUCAAGUUUUACAACUAUAUUAGAUUUAUUAAUUCCUUUAAAUUUUAUAAUGGAAUUAUUUUGGAUCCAUAUCCAAUAUAAAAAUGUGAUUCAAUAUUUAAUAUUAAAAUUGUAGUUGCAUAAAUCUAAUGAGUUUCUAAAGUAGAUAAUAUCAUAAAAUUAUCUUUUAUAUAGGCUAUAUAUAAAGGAUGGCAAAUGAUAAUCUUAUUCAAUUCACGAAAUUAACAGCUACUAUAACAACACAAAUAAACCACAGCAGACAAAACAAACACACACAUGUUUUCUCAUGGAGUCUCACACACACACACAUCAAUGUUCUCUUGUCACCACCACAUAAUUAAACAUAAGGUUUUCAUCACCAAAAUUAACAUUACCAAUUGGCUAAGAAAUUGACUCUAUUUCCAACACCCUGGAACACGCAUCGCACAUUCCUCCAAUAUUUGUUGAUGGAGUACCAUCGUCUUCGGAAAUCUCAUCGAUUUUUUUCUCACCUUCAAGUACACUGACGACUUCGGAUAUUUUAGGCCUUAGAGUAGGAGACAGUUUAACACACUUCAUUGCUAACAGCAAAACAGUGAGAGCCUGCUUCCUAUCAUAACUGGAUGCUAAUUUCUUGUCCACCAAGUCAAGGAUUCUUCCCUUAUCGUGCAAAACACCAGCCUGCAAUUACAAAGCAAGAUUGGCUUAGCUACGAGUAUUAAGGAAAUAAUCAAGUAAAUAUUCCUGAUUAUUUUCUAUUCAAUAAAAAACAAAUCAAGAAAUUAAAUAAUUCUAGGCAAUCAAGAAAUUACUUCAAUCAUCCAAUUAAAGGAUACAAUAAACUCUAUUUUCUAUAAUUUAUUUUAUUUACUUAUGUGUCUUGUAUAUAAUUAUAUAAACUUCAUAUGAGUUGAAUAUAACACAUAUAUCAAAUUAUUGAAUAAUAAUAUCUUUUUUUAUUCUAAAUUUCUUCUUAGUAUUAGAACAAUCUUUAAAUAUUAGCUUUUGUUUUUUCAUGAGUUGAAUGUAAAACAUAUAUUAAGUUAUUUGAUGUUGACAGAACAUGUUUGGUUUGAUAAUAACUACGGGAAAAAAAAAGAACAAAGGGUUUAUCCUGUAAGACCCACUUACUUUAUCUAGAAGAAACUCAGCUUCUUGGUUUGGUGUGUAAUCUGCACUAACUUUCCCGCUAACUAUUUCGAGUAGGACAAUUCCGAAACUGUAAACAUCAGCUUUAACAGUUAUUGCUUUUCCCAUUGAAUACUCAGGUGCCAUGUAAACUCUGCAAUAAGAGAUUAUUUAUUGGUUAGCUCAAUUAAUUAAAAGAAUGAAAGUAGUUGUCCAUCAAUGAUCAUAAUACUUACCGCGACCCUUUUGCUUUGAUGGCCAUAAAUGGAUCUUCCUCAUCACAAAGCGUUGCCAAUCCAAAGUCAGACAACUUGGCCGUAAGAGAGUUAUCAAGCAUAAUAUUACUAGGUUUUUAUGUUUCCAUGAACAAUCUUGAACCUUUUCUCUUCAUGUAAAUACUUCAAACCUCUUGCUAUUCCCCGACAGAUAUCAAAUCUAGUUUUCCAAUCGAGUUUUGUCGUGGAAUUUGGUUCUACAAAUCAAGAUUAUUGAUAUUAAGUUAUUGAUAUUUGCAAGUACACUAUCCUUGUACUAACAGAAGAUUCAAAUAUACAAUUAGAAGCUCUCACAAACAUUAAGUAACGGAAUUCUAUUACUACUGUACGUGUUUUAGUUCUCAACAAUUAUAUGAAUUUCACAAGGCAAUGCAUUAGGUGAAAAUUAAGAUAAAACUUGAGAACCGAAAGAGAUGGCAGUAUUACCGAACAACGCAUGGUGAAGGGAGCCUUUAUGCAUAUAGUCAUAUACUAGCAGAUGCAGGUCUUUAAUAGAAUAGCCAUCCAACAAUUGAACAAGAUUCUCAUGAUGCAAAGAUUUCAGUUGAAGAUUUCCCUUUGUAAUUCAUCUUUUCCUUGUUGCUUUGAUUGAGGAGAAAUCUUCUUCACUGCUAAUUUUAUCUCGUUCGGCAAUUCAGCCUGUAUACACGUGAAAUCAAUUUACCAGAACUCUGAAAGAAAAAAGUGCAUGUUGAGGAACAAAUGUUUCAGAAAAGAAAAUCUGACCUUGUAUACUAUUCCAAAGCGUCCCCUUCCAAUCUCCAUUUUGGGGCUAAAUUUUCGAGUAGCAUCGAUUAUUUGUUUGAGGGUGAAAUAUAUUCCAUCUCUUUUUACCUCAAUAGUUAUUUCUAUUUGAAGAAAAAAUCAAAGUAAGAAUUCUUAAGGUUGUGUGGUGCAUAAUGAUCUUAGAUUAGCAUGGAGAGGUACCAUCCAACUCGCUUUUCCGCAGCCAGCCCAUUUUCCACAUGAAAGCCAACAGAAGUAGAGGAGCAAAUACUGAACCUGCAGUAAUCCCUGCAAUUUGUGAAGGAGAUAGUUUCUUGCCGCCAACUUUGAAGUCUGAAUACAAAUAGUGGAAGACAAAAGAAAAAAUUAUUUAUCCAGAUAAAGUGUAAUAGAAAUCUUUGCUCAACAAAAUUAAGAGAAUGCAAUCUUUACUUGCAGUUACGGAAAUGCCUGCACAAGGGGUCCAUUUAGAGACAGUGCAGCAGGUGAAUAGGAAAAACCUGGCACCGGAAAGAUCCUUUGCCAGCCCAGAAAAAAUGGAUAGUCAAUAGAUGAUCAUCUCCUACAUAUGCCGUGAAAUUUUGAGUCGUAUUUGAAACACUGCCGCGUUUUCUUUAAUGUUGAAGUCUUUUAGUUCUCUCUUCCCCUAUAUCAAAAAUGGAUGUAAUGUUGAAUGGUGGAAACUUUUGAAAGAAGCUGCAGAAAAUAUAGCGGUUACCUGUAUAUAUACAUCAAAAACACGUUUCCCUAAAUUCGAGUAAUCUUCAUCACUUUUGUAAACAGUUUCAGCGAAGUAAAGCUUGACAGUGUAAUUUCCUUCAAAUAAACAGAAGCCGUAAUAUGUUAGAGAAAGAGGGCAGAGGCGACUUGAGUUGUAUAACGUGUCCAGCAGAAUCACAAUCUCCACAUUCCACGUUUUUUAUGUAAUCACUGGAAUCAUAAGUCUCCGAACCAAAGUCUCCAGAACAAGAAUAAGCCCAAUUUUCUUUUGGGGGUUUAUAGUAAUUUGUUGCUGUACUGUCUGCUUCAAACUCUUUCCCAUAAAAAACUGUGCCUCCUCCUCCACAAUUUAUAUAUAAGGAAUCGUCUGCAAAAAAUGAUAAUCAGUACAGAAAAUCUGUCCUGCGCAAAAUUCAGAGCUUCUCAAUAGAACUUACACUUUGGGUUUUCCCCGACAUUUAUCUGUCAAAUCACGUAUAGAAUUCCUAGAAAUAGCAAACAACAUUUGUAAGAAAUAGCUCAGGAUUAUUUGUUCUAAAUUAAUUUCACCAUACGGAGGAUAUUACCAUACCUGUUUGGUUCACUGCUUGAGUAGGAACAACAUGCAAGCAGUUGGUGCACAUGGUACAAAAUGAUCAGAAGUUGGAAUUUCAUAGACAAUAAUUUUCUUGCAAGUGAAAAAAAAGGAAGAAGAAAAUGAAGUUGCCGUUAUUACAUGUUCAGCUUUCGUUCUCCUUUCUUCGGACCAUCACGUCGAAUUGUAAAAUUAUUAUAUGACAAGUCCCUGCAACGUUAUUGUUUACAUAUCAAGAUUUUAUUGAGGAAAUCUACAAAAGGGAAAACAACCCAUCUGAGCAAAGAGCACAAAGCCAUGACAUACGCCUUAUCUUCAAUGGUAUGAGGAAGCCAGGAAGGUACUGUGCCAUUAAGCAUAUUUCCUGUAAGAAACCUAAACAAAACCAACCAGAAUGAAAACCAUAUAUAUAUCCCAUGUACUUUUUAACAGAGUGGCAGAACGAACUUAUUAUAAGACAUCGAGUUCAAGGAAUCUCUUUUGCAUACAUCUUACUUAAAUUCAGCUUUUUCAUGGAAUAUGGUAUUCCACCAGUUAAGCUAUUAAAGCUCAAGUCUCUGCAGGAUCAAAAAAAUGAAAGCAAACGUUAUCAUACAUAUUUGAUAUAUAGUUGUGCUAUGGUAAAUUAUUGCAUAGUUGAUUCUGUAAACACAUAGUCAACACUUCUAUGCAUGGCCUAAAGGCCCUAAACAAUGAGCAUUUAUAGAGCUGAUGAAACAAAAUAGCCACGACAGAACUACAAAUCUUUUACAAAAGAGGAAAUGAAACUUACAGGUAUUUUAACGAUGACCAAUCACCAAUGUACAGGGGGAUUUUACCACUUAUUGAGCAAUUCCUUAUCAUCCUACACAAAUCAUUGAAGAAGUUGGUGUUUGGAUUUAUCCAAUGCAUACAUAUCGUUAAGAGUCACAUACAGAAAUAUUGUGACUUCAUGAUUCUUUCUGUUAUGCCUAUAGUCGUAAUUAAUAUAUAUAUAUAUUAUUUAAACCAAAAAGUUUUUUUUUAUUCUAAAUUUAAAAAAACAUGAUUUUUUUCUUGAGAAUAUAAAAUAUAUAUAUUAAUGGGUUUCAAAUUCUAUAUUAAAAAAACAUAACUUUUUUCAUGGGAAUAUAUAAUAUAUAUACAAAAGGGCUUCAAAUCACACAUUGAAAAGAUACUAUAUUAUCUUUUUAAAUUGAAGUAUUUAAACCAAAAGGUUUUUUUAUUCCACAUUGAAAAAACAUGAUUUUUUUUCUUGAGAACAUAGAGUAUAUAUAUGAAAGAUGUUAUCCUUUUUAGUUGAAGUAUUUAAACCAAAAUGUUUUUUAUCCCACAUUAAAAAAUAUAACUUUUUUUCCUGAAAACAUAGAGUAUAUAUAUUAAUAGGUUUCAAAUCCCAUAUUUUAAAAAAAAAAACCGGGUCUCGUCUAGGUUCGCCCGGGUCAUGGGACGACCCAACAGCUGACCCAACAACCCAUCACCGGCCUUCACAGACUAUCCUCCACAGACCCGAACCAGGCCCUCCAGAUCCACCGAUAACACAACCCCUCUGCUCUUUCAGCUGCCCCCUUCUCUGCUAAACCGAGACCCAGCUUUCUCUCCUUCACUCAGCCACCUCUGCCUCUCUGUAAUUCGUCCAUAGAUGCCAUUUCAAAUCAACCCCUUGUUUCCUUGUUUUUCUCAGCCGUUUCCAGCACUGUUCCUGAGUCUAUUUUGUAAUUUGUAGAUUUUGAAAUGUGUAUUUAAAUUAUUGUAAGCAAUUUUAAUUUUUGUUACAUUGGAAACUUGAAACUGGGAGUGGGUGAGUAAAUUAGAAUGUUUGGUUGGGAGUGUGUGUUUGUGGGUAUUUUCUUUUAUGUUUUUUGAAUGUUAAAAAACAAAAAGAAUUAAAUAUAUAUUUUUUAAUUUGCAUAUGAUAAAAUCGUAUCCAUUUGACAUGAAAUUUCAAGAAUAUAUUUUGGUAUGUAACUAGUUUUAUAUUUUUAUUACUUAAAGCCUUGAUAAUUAUUUAUGUGAUUUUCGAGUGUGAGCUUUAAAGAAAAGCAAAGGAAGGAAAAACUCACAGGUAUCUUAUUCCCGUCAUACUUGCAUUUUUUGGGAAAGGGAAACCGGCCGAGCUUCUUACAUCACUAACCACCCUGGAAGAAAAACCAUCCAGAAUAAAAACAUGCAUUUAUUUCAACCCGGUUAAAUUAAAUUAUAGAGCACUUACAAGUAUCGAAGAUUUGACAAGUUAAAAAGAAGUUCAAGAGGCAGCUCUCCUUCAAAAUCAUUCCCGGAGAGGAACCUGUCAUCAGUACACAAAAACACAAAUCAUUGAAUGAUAUUCUUCGAUCAUCGACAGUUUCUCAAUCAAAUAAUAUUACAGAAAGUACAAGUAAUUUCUUACAGGUAAUUGAGUCCAGUCCAAUUCGCAAUGAACCUUGGUACUUGACCCGUCAAACGGUUCCCAGCUACGCUACUGCAGCCAUAGUUAGUUGCUUUUCCUUGGAACAAUAAUUAAACAGAUUGUUGGUUGAAAGAAUAUGAUGAGUUGCACUUACAACCACCCCAAUUGAUCCGAAGUAAAGUUGGCGUAAUUUCGCGGCAGUUCUCCACUCAAAUUGUUGGAGCUCAACCCUCUACAACAACAAAUCAAAAGGAUUGUAAUCCACCCUUUUUCUAUUUUAUUUCUCCUAUUACAAUCAAAAGUUGACAUUAUUAUUCUUCUUUUUGAAACUUACAAAUAACUAAGAUAUCCCAAUCUUCCAAGUUCUGAUGGAAGCUGACCACUGAGUUCAUUGAAGCCCAAGUCCCUAAUUAAAUAAGAGAUAUGAACCAAACCAAACUCAAAAAGUUAAGAGGAGAAUGAAAGAGUGAGUGAGUGAGUUUCUAUGCAUAUGUAGGAGAUUAGAGAGGUUGCCCAAUUCUUUAGGGAUAAGAGCACAAAACUUGCAUAAGCAAUGGAAAAAGAAUUUAAUUAACAUUAUAUGAUACUGAAAAGACUGUGAUUACAUGAUACUUACAGAACAUAGAGGGACGUCAAAUUCCCUAAAAAUCGAGGUAUGGAGCCAAUGAGGAAGUUACCGGAGAGAUCGCUAUGCAUAUGUAUUACCAUAUUAGUUCAUUAUUGCUAAAAAAUAAAAAUUCGCGUUCUAAAAUAAGAACCAAUAAUUUAAAUUUUAAGAAGACACACUAAGAACUGAAAUUAGUUAUUAAAUAUGAUCCAAAAGCUAAGUAGCUCUUUGCUUAUAACCCUGCAGACAACCCAACAAGCAUCAACACAGUUAAGCAAUUAGUGAAACAAGGCUUUUAUCCUAAUUAAAUAAAAAAAGAGAGAACCAAACAGAACUCAGAAGUCAACUUUUGUGACCAUUAACACCUUGCCAUGAACAUUUAUAGUAUCAAGACCCCAAACAGCUUGCCUUUUUUUUUUUCAUUUCUAACAAAGCUAAUUUUACUUGAAAAUGUUUCACCAAAAAUACUAUUAAAAAAUCGUAAUUAUUACAAGUUUAAUCUAUCAAUUGUAUAUUCAGUAACUUCUUCUUAUAAUGAAGCAAAUUUGGGUUCUUAACUCAAAUUUUCACCAUUAUAAUAUAAUUAUAUAGUCCUAACACAACUUCUCCGAAUGAAAAUGAAAUUUUAACUAUUGGGUUUUUGGAACUUAUCGAUGGAAUCUAAGUAUUUAAUGGAAUAUAAUUUAAAAGAAGUGAUUUUAGAGGGAAAAAAAUGUUAGAUAUAUAUAUAUAUAUAUUCUGACAACGCAUGCUGAGACUAUAUUUUCACAGAAGAUAUAUGUUAAUUGUAUGCUCUUUUUUUUUACCAUUAUAUAUUGUUUUUUAAAAUAACAGCAAUGGUAUAAAAUCAACCCCAAAUAUCCAAGAUGUUCUCCUAUAAUUCAUAUAAAAAUGGAUGUUCUUCGAUGCCCAAGUCGAACUUUUUGGUUAGUGCCAAUUUUUUUUUUAAGAAAUUCUUGAUUAUGGAUAGUUUGCUUUUAACUAUAUUAGAAAUAAUAGAUUUAGUCUUAAUUAAAGCAUGAAAUCUAAAUAGAAAAAACAUAAUAAUCUAUAAAAAUUGGACAUGGGAUGUUUAUGAAAAAAAGUCAAUAUUAAUAAAAUACAUAUAAACGCCCACAAGAAUAAGAGCACAAAACUUGCAUCAGCAAUGAAAAAAAAUUUAAUUCACAUUAUAUAAUACUGAAAAGACUGUGAUUGGAUGAUACUUACAGAUAUCCGAGGGACGACGUCAAACUCUCCAAAAAUGAAGGAAUGGAGCCAUUGAGGAAGUUAUCAGAGAGAUCGCUAUGCAUAUGUAUUACCAUAUAAGUUUAUAUAUUAUUACUCAAAAGAUAAUAUAUUUAAUGCAUGCUGAGACUAAAUUAAUUUUCAUAGAAGUUAGUAAUUGUAUGCUUUUUUUCUUACCAUUAUAUAUUAUUUUUUAAAAGAACAACAAUGGUAUAAAAUCAACCCCAAAUAUCCAAGAUGUUCUCCUAUAAUUCAUAUAAAAAUGGAUGUUCUUCGAUACCCAAGUCGAACUUUAUGGUUAGUGCCAAUUUUUUCUUUUAAAUCUUGAAUUCUUGAUUAUGGAUAGUUUGCUUUUAACUAUAUUAGAAAUAUUAGAUUUAGUCUUAAUUAAAGCAUGAAAUCUAAAUACUUGAUUAGGAAAAACAUAAUAAUCUAUAAAAAUUGGACAUGGGAUUUUUCAGAAAAAAAGCCAAAAUUAAUAAAAUACCUAUAAACACCCACAAGAAUAAGAGCACAAAACUUGUAUCAAUAAUCAAAAAAGAAUUUAAUUCACAUUAUAUGAUAUUGAAAAGAUUGUGAUUGGAUAACACUUACAGAGAUUCGAGAGAUGACAAACUUCCCAAAGAUAAAGGUAUGGAGCCAUUGAGGAAAUUAUCGGAAAGAUCGCUAUGCAUAUGUAUUACCAUAUAAGUUCAUUAUUACUCGAAAGAUAAAAAUUCACAUCCUAAAAUAAGAACCAUUAAUUUAAAUUUUAAGAAGACACACUAAGAACUGAAAUUAGUUAUUAUAUAUAAUAAAAAAGCCAAGCAGCUCUUUGCUCAUAAUAAUGCAGUCACCCAAACAAGCCUCAACAUGGUUAAGCAAUUAAAAAAUAAAACUCGGAAGGGGGAAAACAUCCACAAUAAAUUAAUGGAAAAAGAAAAAAAGAUUACAAAUAUGAAAUGUUGAAAAUCAAUACAGAUUUCUUUACUAGCUCCCUUGUUUUUAGAAGGCACUUAUUUUAUUUAUAUUUUUUACUAUUUCAAACCGACAUCUAAAUUAUACUUGUAAAUAUCUUUUCUCUUUAAUGAAACAGUAAAAAAAACUCAUACUCCUAUUUAAUUUAACAUAUCUACAUUUAUUAAUAUUAAAUAUUAAACAUUAAAAGACUAUAAAAUUAUUUGAGAUAAUUAUAUUCGUAAAAUUAACAUUGAUUUUCCUAUAUUCGUGAAUACUUGUCAAUUUACAAAAUAUAAAUAUAAUUUUUUUAAAAUAAAUUCAACCAUCAUUAAUAUAUAUGUGUAAUAUAUAUAUAUAUAUAUAUAUAUAUAUGGUUACCCAAUAGUAGAUAAAGUAUAAUGCAUAGUCUGUUUUAGAAAUUGAUAACUUAUCCAUUUAGUCACUUUUAGCACUGGAAAAUAAUAGUAAGAACGUAUUUAACGAACAUUGGCAACAAAAUAAACUGCAGUAGUAGUAUAUGACCAUGGUAUUGGAUCACUUACAGAGAGGUGAGUGAAGACAAGUUCCCCAUGGUGACGUCAGGGAUGCUACCAUAAAGUUGAUUGUGGGACAAAUCACUGUUUUGGUAAUAGGAUUGUUAUCAAUUAGUUGAGGUCAGCAUACUGAUUCGAAUGAUUAUCAUCACAUGUCAUAUGAUACUCACAUUUCUUUUAGGAAAUUGAGACUAGCCAAGGCUGUAGCGUUGAUUUGUCCGUCUAAUUCGCGGUUUGAGAGAUCUCUACCUCCCAAAAAUGGCGUCAACAUAGCAACCAGUGAGUUUUAAAGAGGAUGCAUUGCCUUACAAAGAUAAAAAAAAUUGGAUGAAGUUGAUGAGGAACUUACAGGCCGGUGACGUGACAAACUGCGUUGUUCUCAUAACUGCAAUUGCAUUCGAUGCCUCGAUAAUUAUUGUCACAAGGCGAGCUUAGCAGCAAACCCCAGCCUAACGUGAUCAUCAAGUCAUCCAAAGCCGUUUCUGCCAAACGUUUUAAACAAAGAAACACAUAUUUUGUUUAGCAAGAUUCAAACAGGCCUAGCUAUUUCUACCUAGCUUCAAAUCCGAACUAAGAGAAGAAAAAAACGAGUGCUAAUUUUAUGGAUGUGUGAAUUGACUCCAUAUAAUUCCAUGUUGAAAAUCCAUCUAGAUUUCCUUACCACCUCCCUUGUUUAUAAAAUCCUCGUAAAAAUCACUUCAUCCUUAACCAAUCACUUCGCUUGAUAGUUAUAGGAAAAGAUGGAGAAGCAGGAAAUAUCUAAGAUAUGCAGUACGUAGGCUAGCACUACGGAACUCUCUGCCAGGCUGUGGAAGCACUAGCUAGAGAGUGCAAAUGGAAGAGAGAAAUAGCAGUAUCUUGUGCACAAGGCUUUUCGUUGUUUGGGUCACAAAGAUUAAGACCCUUCCUUCCAACUCAAGAUCAGUUUCUUGCAAACAUGAGUGAGUUUAUAGUCUAAACAGUUAAUUGAGUUUAUAUUCUUGAAAACAAAUUUUCUUCCUUCUUUUGUAUAUAGCAGGAAAAGGAUAUAUAUGUAGAUGGAAAAGUAUAUCGUGCGUGUGUACCUUCAUCGUCAGGCAACAGCGGGCUUUCAGAGGAAUUUGUUGAUUGACAAACUACAUAGCGAAAUUGACGAAGAAGAAGAAGAACGGCAAGAGAGGAAACAAGCUUAGGAAAGAGCUUAUUAAGAUAAAGUUUAGCCAUUACUUUAGCAUGCAAUGCGCUUCCCUUGAGAUGACAUACAUUCUUUAUAUAGAUAUUGUUUUACCGUUCAAACAGUUAUUAACUCUGAAUCAAUUACCUCACGUUACCAAAUUGUCCCUAUCCAAAUAUCAAAAUACCCGAGAAAAGUAACUUGCAAUAUUAUGCAUGGAGGCCUAACAAUUUUGGCUCAAGUAAAUUGCAAAAUGAUUCCAAAGCAGCAUCUUUUUAAAUUGAUUAUCUCGUAGUUUUUAAAACGGUGUAAAAUUUGCAUAUUUGAAUUCAAUUCAAUGUCUGAGAUUUGUAUUCAUUCAUGCAUAAUUAAUGGGUAGUAAUUAAUCAAAUAUAUAAUAUAUAAUUAUGAGUUAUUAUGCAUUAUUAAUCCAACACUAUUUUUGUAUCUAGUAUCCUCUCCCGAGUAAUGUGAGCUUGUGUUUUAUGUCUUUUAUCUCACAAUUCAUAGAAAAAUAUCCAUCACACUUUUUUUAUAUCUAUAUAAUAAUGGAGAGAAUUAUAUAUAAAGCAGCCCUUCUUCCACUUUGGACCACAAGUUGUCACUGAGGCCGCACAGAAGCCCACAAAAUUGUUUAACAAAAUAUGAGAGAAACAAAAACAAAAACUGUUUGCAUGGUUUGCUUCACACAAAAACAAAAUAUGAGAGAAAAUCACAGGACACAGCUUGCUUUUCUGAGAUUUACUUUAAAUAUAGCAAUUAAAAGUACCGCAGAUAUAGUGGUGUAGCCAUAAUAUUUUAAAUGAGGGAUAAAUUACUUAUAAAUAUUCAAUAUUAUAUAUUAUAUAGAUAUAUGUUAUAUAAAGAAAUCUACUAAUUAAUUUAAAAUUUGUAAAAUAAAAAAACUUACAUUAUAAUUGUUCUCUUCGAGAUUUUAUAUUUUAAAACUGCUUCAUAAUAAUUUUAUUUUUAAUCUCAUUAAAAAUAUAUUUCUCAAUAUAUACAACAAACUUUUAUUUAUUUAUUUCUAAAUCUUUCAAGGAUUACGGAAGUUCUUGGUAAUAAUUCUAUGCUGAUAUAUGAUUUAUAACAUCUAAAAUUAUAGCUUAAAAGGAUUGUCAUAAAUUGAUAUUGUUCUUAUUGACUUGUUUUGUACAAAUUUAUUAAAAAUAAAUAUUAAAUGUUUUCUUUUUAAUUUAUCUAUUAUCUUUCUAAUUUUUUUAGCUGUCUUUUACUUCACUUUUAAUCAUUAGUAAAUUCGUCAUUUUUAUUUUUAACAUAAAAUUUAUAGCAAAAUAAUUAUCAAUUCAUCAAAAUUUAUUUUAAUUCAUAUUCAUUAGCAUAUAAUAUUAUUCAUACUUAUAUUAAUUCAACAAAUAUAUAAAUUAUUAUAAACUCUAAUAUUUUUAAUAACUAAUUAGUAUAGAAAAAAGAAACUAACAAGUAGUUAAUAAAGAAAAUUAUUUUGAAAUAAAAUAAAAUAAAGGAUCAAUUACGUACCUUCUCUUGCACUCAUGUGCUCCGCCACUGCGUAGAUAUUUGUUUAAGGUAUAUUGUGCUCCAAUCUUAAUUAGUUUAUAAAAACUACAAACAAUAAUGAAUGGGUAUCAGCAUACAAAACCUUUUAUCUUAUUUAAUUUAUCCCUGUAUAUAUAUACCCGAUUUGUCCAAACUCAAGCAUAUAAACCAUAAAAAAAAACAUAUCCAAAAUAAGUUCACAUCUUAAAUAGGUUUAAUUUAGAAGGACUAAAUUAAGUAAAUAUUGUUCAUAAAUCCUAUUUUGACGCAAACCAAUCUUAAUUCCAAUAAAGCCCAUUUAAAUGGUAGAGUUUUCACAUAAUUUUACUAAGAUUUCUACUAUUAAAUGGUAGAGUUUUCACAUAAUCCUACUAAGAUGGAAUACAAAGAGUCAUAUGCUGCGAAAAGAAAAGAAAAAAAAUCAAGAAAAGAAAGCUUGUCUUGAUAAUUAUAAUACAUAGUUAGGUUUAAAGUUGAUGAGAUAUCUAUUGUUAACUAAUAUUUUUUGAGUUUUAAAAUAGUUAGGUUUUAAUUUGAUAAGAUAUUUAUUGCUGACUAAUUUCUCCUUUAUACAUUGCUAUUAUCAAAGAAUCACUAGAAACUUAAAAGCUUAAAGUUUUAAUUAUUACGUACUAGAACAUCUUUUCAAGUGAACAUUUAUCAUUAUAUAUUUUGUUUUAUAUUAAUAUGUUUUUUGUAGAAUUGAAUUUUUUUUUACAUUGAUAAAAGAAUUAUAAUGUAAAUGAUUGGAUUCACGGAAUCUGAAGUAAAAAUGCAUCUUUUAAAAUUGAUGGUGAAGUCUUUGUUCGUGUUCAGCAUCAAUUUUUUGCCUCGUCAAGCAGAGAAAGAUUAAUAAAGCUAAAGCAUAUCAGUACGAAUACCGCAAGUUGAUCAUAGAUAUCUCUACAUUUCUUGGGUCCAAUAUGUGAACCUUGAGAAGUAAUAAAGACUUGACAUGGUUUUCUAUAAUAGGUUAAGCCUCUUAAUUAUUUUUAAUUUUUUCUAUGCCCAUCCAACGGCUCUCCCAAAUUGCUUGAUACAUCAUAAAAUGACUUGAUUUUGUAAUGUAUAUGAUUGAACCCAUGCAAUCUAAACAUUGAAAAGUAAAAAAGAAUCUUUAAAAUUUGGUCAAGUCUUUGUUCGUGUUCAGUAUCAAUAUUGGACCCACGGAAUGUGAUCCUUGAGAAGUAAUAAGGUCAAAAUAAAUAAAUAAAUAAAUAAAGACUUGACAUGGUUUGCUGUCUUUUCUAUGCCCCGCUAACGGCUCUGCUAAAUGAAUUGAUUUUUUGACAUUAUCAGAAAAAUAAUAAUCAACAUGAUCGAACCCAUGGAAUCUGAACAUUGAGAAGUAAGAAAUAAUGCAUCUUUAAUAUUUAUGGUCAAGUCUUUGUUCAUGUAAUUCAGCAUCUUUUGUUUUCCAUAUUAUGUGGAUCAAAAUUGCAUUGUCAAGCAGAGAACAAAUAAUAAAGCUAAAGCACCACCACAAGUUGAUAGAUUACUUUUUUUUAUAGGUACUCUACCAAGGUAUUGUUUAAACUAUAUUUUAUUUCAAAAUAAAUAAAGUAUAUAGCCUUCUGCGCUUGUAAUUGCUAAACCAUUUUGUAUUCAGAAUAUAUUAUUUAUGCUAUUCUCCCAUGAAAAGUUUUGGCUGUGAUAUUCAUACACCAAUUGCUGGCUCAAUUUCAUACACCAUGGAAGACUUGGUUGAUAUGGUCGAUGACGUGGACACCUAUGGUGAUGGGGAAGAAGACGUUGCGGAUGAUGAGGACCUUUGGGGACUGCAGCAACGGGUUGGAAAAAUCAGAUCUGGCAAAGGAUGGAGACAAUUAUCACGUAUUGAUAUUCAAAUACUCGAAAAACAAAUUAGGUGGUGUGCUGCCUCAAUCAGAAGAUUUGAAUAACUUUCAUAAUAAUUUUUUAAUAUCAUGAAUUAAUUAUUUGAAUUUGAUUAGUUACUAAGUGGUGCAUAAAUAAUGUUUUUAAAAUGCUAAAAUCAUAUUUAGAUUAGUCCAACGAUUUAGAAAGGUUUAUUCACCUUAAUUUACAUUAAAAUUUAUCUUCAUUUUUAUUAUUAUUUUAAAGUAUUAUAAGUUUUAUCAAUUUUAAUUCACAUCAAGAAAAUAUAAUUUUUAAUUAAAACAAGAUUCUAAUAAUAUUUUAUUAAUUAAACAUGAUUCUUUUUAUAUAUAUUAAUUUUCGAUGCUUAACCUUUAGCCUAUGCAUGUUUGUAUAACAUCAUAAUUUAAAUAAUCUUUAAAAAUUAAAUAAGUGAAUAAGCUUUCAUGUAUGCAUUUUUUCUCAGUGCAAACAUGAUUUUUUACCAUAAGAAACUCAGCCAGUAUAAUUAAUUAGAAGAGAGAAAUUCUCCAUCUAAUAAAAAGAAUGAACUUACGCCUUCGACCACAUUUUUUCCUCCGCAUCUCAUCACAGAGAUUUGUUAGACAUGCUUCAAGAAUAUCACUCUUAUUGCAGAAAAUUAUGGUACCACAUACCUAGUCGGGUGUCUGAAAAGCACCAAGAUCAUGAAAUUAAACCAAGAAAAUAUAUAAAUAUCAAUGAGAAAUAUUCAGGAGUGAUUUAUUAAAGUCAAUAAAUUUGUCAAAAAGAAAGCUAGCAAAAUGGAUAGGAGUUUGGUCCGUCCCUUACAUGUUUACAUACUGCAUCCCAAGUGUGGCACCCCCAAAAAAAAAAAAAAAAACAAAAGUUUGUUUUUGCGACAUUCGACUGGCGAUUUUCGUUUUGUUCUGUUUUGCUGAUUUGGUUCUUUGGAGUUGCCACCUAGUAUUUUGAUCACUAGGAACCCUAACUGGUCUUUCAGAGGUUCUAAGGUAAGGGACUGGUUGCGUAAAGGGAAGGUAUUAGCACCCCUAGUACGCCCUACCUAAGGUAAGCUGCUUGGUGUUUGGUUUGCCUUAUAAUUGCUAUGGUGUUGGUAUUUUUUUAGGCUCGUCAAUUGAUUUUGGAUAGAAAUCUAAGGAGAUUCCAUGUGCUUUAAAAGCUCAUUUUUCCCUUAGUAUUUCAAAAGUUUACGACUCAUAAAUCGUGGGAUAAUAAAAAAAAAUUAAAUUUUGAAAUGUCCUCGAUUAUAAUCAAGGCUUCUUUCAAGAAUGUGUGCGGAUUUAUUACUCCCAAUAAUAUUUUGGAUAUUCAUCCUUUUAAGGAUUUCUUUAUCCAAACAUUAGCGGUAAAUAAUAAAUAAAUUCCUUUUCCAAAAAUAAGAUUUUUAUAGUUUUUUGAAUAUUGGCCAAUACCCUUUGGAAUUUUACAAACACGUUGUAAAAUCCAGAAAUGCAAGAAAAUAAUUUGUGUUUAAGAAAUUUAUGCGAAAACACACUUUCGAAGCUUCCAAUAUAUUUGUUUUAUAAAAAAAAAGAAUAUUCAAAACAUGUUAGAGUAUUGGCCGUAUGCAACACGCAAGAAAAUAUAUAUUUUUUAAAACAAUAUUUUUUUUUGACGAAAUCGGGUAUUUUUAAUACUGAAUUUGUAUCUCCACAGCAUAAAAAUACAAACUAAUAUUAAGUCAUUAAAAAGAUGUACGAAAAAAAUCAACAAUAUUUUUAAGGAAUUUUUAGAAUUUUUUGAAAGCAAAAAAAAAAUUUAUCUUUGAAAAUUUUGGGUGCCACGACGAAAAUCAGAUAUUUUAAAUACUGAAUUUAUACCUCCACAGUAUAUAAAAAAAAUACAAACCCCCUUAGAAAUAUAUAUAUAUAUAUAUAUAUAUAUAUAUAUAUAUAUAUAUAUAUAUAUAUGAAAGGAAAAUAACAACAUUUUUUUUUAGAUUUUUUAUAAAUAUUAUAUAUAUAUAACAUAUACACACAUAUAUAUAAUAUAAUAAUAUAAUAUAAUUAUAUAUUAAUUAUUAAGGGGGCUGGGCCGGCCCAACUAACUGGGCCGGGCUCAGCCCCACAAGUCAUUGGGCCGGGAUCGGCCCAAGAAAGUGACUGGGCCGAUCUCGGCCCAAGAAAGGUAACUGGGCCGAUUCGGCCUAAGAAAAAUAACUGGGCCGAUUCCGGCCCAAUAAAAAAUAACUGGGCUGAUUCCGGCCCAAGAAAAAAUAACUUGGUCUGGGCCGGACCCGACCCAGACCACCGGGUUGGGCCAGAAUCCUUCUGGCCCAUAUACAUGUUUCUGGGCCAGAACCCGUCUGGCCCAGAAGAGGAAACAGAACGGGGGGGGGGGAAUUAAUUCCCCCCCCGUCCCCUGCAUGCAGAACAAUUCUGCAUGCAGGGGACGAAACCUAACAGAAGAAAGAAAACAAAAUGCAGGGGAGAGAGAGCGUACCUGGCGAGGCUGGAGACGGUGGUUGGCUGACGGGGCUAUGGUGGCGUGGCUCGUGGAUGGCGGUUCCGGGCGGCGUUGCUGCCGUUUCCAACAGUGGCGAAAAAUUCUUCUUCCUCCCUUCUCCUUCGGUUUUUUUUCGUUCUCAGUUGCUGUUUGUUCUCGGUUUGGUUUUGGUUUUUUUGGUUUCGGUUUCCUUCUUCUCGGUUUGUUUCUGUUCUUCUCUCUCUCUUCUGGUCGCUCUCUCUCUCUUUCUCUCCUUGGGUCUCUCGGGUUUUUCUUCUUUUUUUUUUUUUUCUCUUCGGUUUUCUUCUAUAUUUAUAGGGGCAGAACGGGUGGGGGACCAUGGUUAGUGCGCCUUCAAUCACGCAUGGCUGGUCGGUUCUUUCGGUGGUGGUGGUGGGGGCGAGGAGAGAGACGCGAGAGGUUUUUUUCUUUCGUCUUCUGUUCUGCUAAAACGGGGGGAAGGAGGAAGAUGAACAGUGUCGUUCAAAACGACACCGUUCUGAUCUUCCUCCUUUUUUUUUUUUUUUUUUUAUAUAUAUGAAACGGCGUCGUUUUGGGUAAAACGCGCCGUUUCAUUUAAAUGGCUAAACUUCAAAUCAGUCCUUCAAAUUCGGUCCCCGCCCCUCUUGUUGGCCGCCUUUUUUACUUUGGUCCUUGGUCUCUGAGUUAUGCAAUUGAGCCCCUAAUUGAUCAAUAAACUUCCAAUUUCUUCAAUUAAGCCCCUGAAACAAUUCCAAACAGCCCCCUCUAUCUUUGCGCCUUCUCCAAAUUGGUCCCUGGUUUCGGAUUUUCAUAAUUAAGUCCCUAAUUGGCCCUUAAACUUCAAUAUUUAUGCAAUUGAGCCCCUGUUUUGACCCAAUAAAUUCCUAAAAAAUAUAUUUUGGCCCCAGAACUUAAAUUUCUCCAAAUUAAAGCCCAAAUUGACUUAAAAAUCAAUUUUUCUUGGAAUCAAAUCUUCUAUAAAUUCAAAUAAAAAUCCAAUUAAAUCCAUAAAAAUCCAAUUAAGUCCAUAAAAAUCCAAUUAAGUCCAUAAACAUCCAAAUUUGGGCUUUUCUCCUCAAAAUUCCAAUUUUCCUUCUCAAUAGGGCUUUCAUCCUUCAAGAAUAUACUGUCAAAAAUUUAAUCCUUGUAUUUUUAAAUUCCUUGACCAAUUUUCUGACUGUUUUCCGAGCGCUUCUGCCUCCUGUUAUUUUUCUAACCUCUUUUGGCUAUUUAUUUUAUUUUUCAUGGGGACCCAAAAAUGGGUUACAACAGAUGCCCCCUCUUUAUAAUACUUACGGAGCAUGGGUUUUGCGCAGUAAGUGUUAUAAAGAUAAACCCAAAACGGAACUCCCGAAACUGAUCUGGUCGAAGCUUGAUUGAUCUGAAACUUUGUCCUUUAUAACAAUCCUCCUUAGCUCCAAAAAUCAUGAUCGAAACUUAGUCAUCUCGAGAUCUUUAUCCAGCGAUCCUCUGAAUUCUUAUUUUAGUUUGAUCAACAUGGAAAUCCAUCCGAGAUCCCAUCUAGUGAUCUCCUUUAACCUGGAAUCCCAUCUGGCGAUUCCUUUACUCAUAACCAAUACAAAAAAUGCGUGUGUGGCUCAUUAUGAUGGGUGACCUACCCGAAAAAAGGAAAGAGUGGUCUCAUUCUUUGGGUGACCUACCCAGAAAAAAAAAUGAGAAGGUCUCAUUCUUAUGGUGACCUACCCAGAAAAUAUGGUCCAUUGUGAUGGGUGACCUACCCAGAAAAAGGAAGAGUGGUCUCAUUCUUUGGGUGACCUACCCAGGGGAAGGAAUGGCCAUUCUUAUGGGUGACCUACCCAGAAAAAAAAAAUGGAGAAUGGUCUCAUUCUUAUGGGUGACCUACCCAGAAAAUAUGGUCUCAUUGUGAUGGGUGACCUACCCAGAAAAAAGGAAGAGUGGUCUCAUUCUUUGGGUGACCUACCCAGGGAAGGAAUGGCCUCAUUCUUAUGGGUGACCUACCCAGAAAAAAAAAAUGGAGAAUGGUCUCAUUCUUAUGGGUGACCUACCCAGAAAAUAUGGUCUCAUUGUGAUGGGUGACCUACCCAGAAAAAAAAUGGAAGUGGUCUCAUUAUGGGUGACCUACCCAGAAAAAAUGUGAUGAGUCUCUUGUGAUGGGCGACCUACCCAAAAAAAAAUAUGAAGUGCGUCUCAUUGUAAUGGGUGACCUACCCAGAAAAAUGUUGGUGAGGGCUCAAAGGCACUCGAAAAGAGGUAGGGUUUAGAAAACGCACUACCCGAGAAGUGAGGGCUCAAACGGCGCAUUCGAAAAGAGGUAGGGUUAGAAAACGCACUACCCAAAAAGUGAGGGCUCAAACAGCGCACUCGAAAAGAGGUAGGGUUAGAAAACGCACUACCCAAAAAGUGAGGGCUCAUACAGCGCACUCGAAAAGAGAUAGGGUUAGAAAACGCACUACCUGAGAAAUGGUGAUGAAAUCCCGAUCUGACAAAUGUUGAAAGCAAUAUAUUAUGGUUAAUAUGCAUGUAUGUUUUUGUUACCUAUCUUGGAAACAUAGGUCCCCCUUUCGUCGUAAACCUCUUUGCUCUUGUUUCAAGCUUUUCUCAUGAACCGAAAUAUCCUUCAUGUCCUUUUAGUGAAGAGAUCUUUGGUUCCUUAUGGGGCCCUUUCUUGCUCCAUUGAGUUUUGCGCCAAAGGAAAAAAUUGGUUUUGUUCAUGAAAACUGAAACUUUUAAUGCAAUUAGCAAAUUUUAUAAAAGAUGCUUUUUUAGAAGUUUUUAUUAUGAUACCUCUUUUUGAGCUUGGGUUUACUAUAGACCCUUAUGUGCACUUCGUGCACCUUUUGCCCCCUAGUGUGAUGUGCAACUAUAUGUCAAGCAGAUUUGAUUUGUUUCAUCAAUUGAUGGAGCCAUCUUCUUAGUCAUGCCAAAAAAAAGUUCUUUUAAACAAAAGAUUUCAAAUGUUAUGAGAUCAUAUGUUAUAUAUAUAUAUAUAUAAAAGGACUCUUUACAAAGAGAAUUCAUGGCCGAAAUUUAUUUUAUUGAACGGGAAAUUACGAAAUACAUCAAGCGUAGUAUUUCUUUACAGAGUCGGAAUUCACAGGCCUAGCUAGAUCUUCUCCAUCCAUUCUAGACAGUAACAAAGCUCCUCCUGAGAAUGCUUUCCUCACCACGUACGGCCCCUCGUAGUUAGGUGCCCAUUUACUCUGAUCUUCUCCAGGUAAAGGUAAUAUUUUCUUUAGUACAAGAUCUCCUUCGUGGAAUCCUCGAGGUCGAACCUUCUUGUCAUAGAUUUAGCCAUCCUUCUUUGGUAGAGUUGAUGAUGACAGAUCGCGGCUAUCCUCUUUUCACUGAUCAGAUUCAACUGUUCAUAUCUAACCUUUGCCCAUUCUACCUCUUCCAGCUCAGAGUCUAACAACACUCUCAAUGAUGGGAUUUCCAUUUCUAAAGGCAUCACCGCCUCCAUUCCAUAUACCAACAUGUACGGGGUGGCUCCUGUUGAGGUUCGAACUGCGGUGCGAUAUGCAUGAAGGGCAAAUGGCAACAUCUCAUGCCAAUCCUUAUAGGUGACUACCAUCUUCUGAAUAAUCUUUUUGACAUUCUUGUUAGCAGCUUCUACCGCACCAUUCAUCUUUGGUCUAUAUGGCGAAGAAUUGGAAUGCUUGAUUUUCCAUUUAGUGCAGAGCUCUAUUAUCAUCUUGCCGUUGAAAUUCUGGGCGUUAUCAGUUAUAAUCUUUUCUGGUGGACCAUACCGACAUAUCAAAUCUCUCUCAAUAAAUCUUCACCACUUUUUGCGUCACAUGAGCAAAUGACCCAGCUUCUACCCAUUUUGUGAAGUAGUCGAUAGCCACGAGAAUAAACCUAUGACCAUUGCUGGCUUUUGGGUUUACCGGUCCAAUCACAUCAAUUCCCCACAUCGCGAAAGGCCAUGGAGAUGUUAAAUUAAACAGAGGAGCCGGAGGAGCAUUGAUUUUGUCACUGUAUACUUGGCACUUAUGACAUUUCCGGACAUAAUCGAUACAAUCCUUCUCUAAUGUCAUCCAAAGUACCCGGCUCUUUGUAUCUUCCUGGCCAUCAUGUCCACUAGCAUGAGUUGAGCAAAUCCCUUCAUGGACUUCCCGUACUGUGCUUUUUGCCUCAAAUUCAUCCAAACAUCUCAACAAAGUCCCGUCAGAUGAUUUCUUAUACAAAAUCUCCCCAUCAAGAUAAAAAUCCAUUGCCAACCUUCUCAAGGUCUUCUUGUCGAUUUUGGAUGCCCCCAUGGGAUAUGCCUGGUUUUGGAUGAAAUUCUUGAUAUCAUAGUACCACGGGUUUCCAUCCACUUCUCUUUCGACUGAGCAACAAUGAGCGGGUUAUUUCUGAUAUUGAUGUGUACUGGCUGUACCUUGUGCCCAAAGUCUAUCUUGGCCAUAGAUGCUAGUGUGGCCAAAGCAUCUGCAAACUGGUUCCCUUCCCUUCCCAGAUGGGUGAACUCUAUUUCCUCAAAUUCUUUAGCUAGCUUAGACAGGUAUUCUUGGUAAGGCCUUAACUUCUCUUCUUUGGUUUGCCAUUCUCCUUUUACUUGGCAAAUGAUCAGCAUUGAAUCUCCAUACACAUCUAUCUUUCUUAUGUUCAUCUCUAAAGCAGCCUCUAAACCAAGAAUGCAAGCUUCAUACUCAGCCGUGUUGUUGGUGCACCCGAACUGCAGCUUAACUGAAACCGGAUACUGCUUCUUAUCAGGAGAGAUUAUCACUGCCCCCGCUCCGUUACCACAUACAUUUACAGCACCAUCAAAGUACAUAACCCACCAAUCUGAUUUCUCUUCCUCGAUUGCAAACACAUCUUCAUCGGAAAGUCAAAGUUUAACGGCUCAUAAUCUUCCAUAGCAUGGUCAGCCAGGUGAUCGGCAAUAACACUCCCUUUUACGGCUUUCCUUGUCAUAUAUACUAUGUCAUACUCAGCCAAAAGAACUUGCCAUCUUGCAAUUCGGCUAGAUAGAUAAGGCUUUUCACAAAUGUACCUUAAGGGUCUAACUUGGAAAUUAACCAUGUAGUGUGAUACAACAUAUACUGACGCAAUCUCUUUGUAGCCCAUGCUAGUGCGCAGCACAGCUUUUCAAUCACAGUAUACCUAGACUCAUAUUCCGUGAACUUCUUGCUUAGGUAAUAAAUGGCCCUUUCCUUCCUUCCGGUUUCAUCAUGUUGCCCAAGCACACAUCCCAUUGCUGUUUCGGUUACUGUUAGGUAUAAAAUCAAUGGCCUUUCUGGUACGGGAGGAACAAGCAGAGGUGGAUUUAGCAAGUACUGCUUGAUUUUCUCAAAAGCUUUAUCACACUCUUCAUUCCAUAUUCCAGGGUUCUUCUUCCUCAACAAACGAAAGAUCGGGUCACAAGUCGCGGUUAAAUGGGAUAUAAACCGAGCGAUGUAAUUCAACCUUCCUAAGAAACCUCUCACCUCCUUCUCAGUCUUGGGGGGUGGCAUAGAUUGAAUAGCUUUUACUUUUUCAGGAUCCACUUCUAUCCCUUUGUCACUCACCACAAACCCCAACAGCUUACCGGAUUUCACCCCGAAUGAACACUUUGCUGGGUUAAGCCUCAACUUAUAUUUCCUUAAUCUUUCAAAUAAUUUCUUCAAUACUUGGACAUGAUUCUCUCCCUCUUUAGAUUUAGCAACCAUGUCAUCCACGUAUACUUCAAUCUCUUUGUGCAUCAUGUCGUGAAACAAAGUCACCAUAGCCCUUUGGUAAGUGGCCCCAGCAUUCUUUAAACCAAAUGGCAUGACUUUGUAGCAAAAGGUUCCCCAUGGUGUUACAAAGGUCGUCUUCUCCCUAUCCUCUGGCGCCAUUCUUAUCUGAUUGUAGCCUGAAAACCCAUCCAUGAAGGAAUAUGUGGAGCUGCGUGCUGCAUUAUCAACUAACAUAUCUAUGUGUGGUAAAGGGAAAUUAUCUUUAGGGCUAGCCCGGUUUAAAUCCCUAAAGUCCACGCAAACUCUGAUUUUACCUUCCUUUUUGGGUACCACCACUAUGUUUGACACCCAUUGUGGAUACUUCACUACUUCCAAAAAACCAGCGUCCCAUUGUUUUUCAAUUUCCGCCUUUACUUUGAUUAAGACCUCCGGAUGAGUUCUCCUUAACUUCUGCUUAAUCGGCUUGCAUCCUUCCAUCAGUGGUAUUCUAUGCACUACAAUGUCCGUAUCCAGACCAGGCAUAUCCUCGUAGGACCAGGCAAAGACAUCCACAUAAUCCUUGAGCAGUGCAAUCAACUCUUCCUUUGCUUCGAGGGUGAUCAAAGUCCCUAUCUUCAGCUCUCGCUUGAUUUCUUCAUUGCCUACAUUUAUGGUUUCAAGUUCCUCUUUAGCGGGCCUCCAAGCCUGUUCGUGUUGUUCUAUUAAUUUUGUGAAUUCCCAUAUGUUUUCCUCUCCCAUUCCUCAUCUUCUACAGCCACUAUGUAUUCUUUAAAUUUUGGCCAUUCAUUCUCAAUGUAAAGUGCAGGUGUUGUUGUGGAGGAUCCGCUUUCAGAGUUCCUGAAAGCGGAAAGUGAUGUGUAAAUGCAUAGUAAGACAUCAAGAUGAAUUUUGAAAAUGCAUGAUCUCAUUAAAAAUAAAAGAUUGGCUCACAACAAAAUAAAAUCUCAUUGACAUCUUGAGCCUCGAUUGUCAAUGAAUAAAAACAAAACAGAAAAAGGCAAACAACAUAGAUAAAAAUAUAAUCCAACCAUCAUUGUUGAUUACAUUUUAAAAACCAAUGGAGCUUCUUGGGUCUCCCAAUUCUGGAACUUCUCCCCUUCGGCUAGCUUCCGGACAAAAGUCUUGACGGUGACUUCUUCCAAAGUGUGGAUGGUCAAUUGUGGCAGCUCUUCAAUCCUCCUUUCGACUCGAUUUUCUCAGCAAUGUCCUUGACUUGAUUUUCCUCCAGAGUGUUUAUGUUCAUUGAAGAAAGCUUCUGAAAGAGGUCUCCAUGUCCCCCAUCAGGUUGUAUCACAUAUGCGGCCUUUGGAAAUGAAAUCCUGAUUGGAGGGAUGGCUAAGUUUUCUUCUACAGGCUUCCUUCCUUCCAUCCUAGCCAUUCUCUUCUCCCUUCUUGCACCAGCAGCUCGUUUGUAAUCCUCUUUCUUGGGCUUAUAUCCAAGCCCAAACCUCUGUUCUGCAGCUUUCAAUUUGAUUAUACCCCUCCAUUCAGGCCUUCUUUGCUCCAUAUCGUAUGGGAAAGGAAUCUUGUUUUUCAAAAAGAUUUUAGCGGCCAUUUUAGUGGCUUCAGAGAUUUCUGGCUUCCUCAACACAGUGUUCUCGGGCACCCACUCGGUAUUCACAAUCUCAAAUGCAUGAAGGUUUCCGUCCCUACAAUCUUCUGCUUCAAUGAAUGGAACCGCCACAUUUCUUACCAUCGAUAUAGUCUCCUCAGCCUUAACAGUAACCAGGACACCGUUGGCAAUGUACUUUAAACAUUGAUGUAGCGAAGAGGUGACAGCUCCCGCAGAAUGUAUCCAUGGCCUCCUAACAACAUGCUAUAGGAAGGGUGGAUAUCCAUCACUUGAAGGGUUACUAGAAAGACUUGUGGACCCACAGCUAGUUCAACAUCAAUUGACCCUACAACUGGCCUUGAUGAGCCAUCAUAUGCUCUUGCCGUUAUCACACUGGGUUGCAUAUGUGAGGGAUCUAUUGGCAUUUCAUCCAGCACAUGCCUUGGUAACACAUUCAGGGCCGAGCCGUUAUCAAUGAGAACCUUGCCGACGAGGCAAUCCUUGCAUCGGACCGUGACAUACAAGGGCUUGUUAUGUCCAGUUCCUUCAGCAUCGAGUUCAUCUUCCGUGAAAUACAAGUAAUUGGCAGCAUGGAUCCUCCCUACUAGAUCCAUAGUCUUUUGCUCAUAUCUUGGGGCACAUAGGCCUCAUUCAGUACUUUUUGCAAAGCAUUACGAUGUGGCUCCGAGCUGAGUAUUAAAGACAUGAUGGAGAUCUUAGCAGGGGUCUUUUCAACUGAUCCACUAUACUGUACUCACUAUGCUUCAUCAGUUUCAAGAACUCAUUUGUUUCUUCCUCAGUCACAGGUUUAUUCACCUCAAACUCUUUAUCGAGGUCCAGCACCUCCUUGCCUUUAGCCUUUCUUUGUCUUUCUAGCUCUUCAGGUGUGUAACAACGACCACUCCGAGUUAGCCCACUUAUCUCCGUCGAACAGCGGCAAAGGAGCUUCAAUAUUCGAGGUAUAACCAUAAUCUCCAGGCAUCGCUCCAUAGUUUACUUUGCUUGCAUAGGAGGGCCUAGUUAAUACCAGUUUUGAGCGACCAUUAGCUGUUGAUUGGAUUCUACAUUUCUCUAUCAUCCUACCUCUUCAUUGUCACUUAUGUCCUCAAUCCUCAACUCUCCUAGAGCCAGCAUUCUUGCAACUUUUUGAUGAAAUUCAUGCAUUCAUCAAUGUGAUGCCCUUCCUUUUUAUGGAAAGGGCAAAAGUUACUUUCCCCUGUGCAGUACUCAGUCGUUUCUUCCAAAUGUCCAGACUGUACCAACAUCAGUAUAGCUUGGCCAUGGUCACUUUCAACACCCUCUUUUUGCUACCAAUCUCCAUGGUAUUCACUCCUCCCCUACCAUCAACAUGUUUAGGUAAAGGGUUUGAAUUCUGAUUAGGUGAAUCCUCAAAAGUGACCCAUCCCACUUUGAUCAGUUGUAACCUUUCUUUUAAAAGCAAAGCAAGCCUCAAUGCUAUGGCCUGCGUGACCAGCAUGGUAUUCACAAGUUACCUCGGGGUUGUACCAGGCAGGGAAAGGUGGCUGCAUAGGUGGUAUGGGUAGGGGAGCUAUCUGCCCAAUACUCAACAGCUUGGCAUACAACUCUUUCAAGGUUAUUGGUAAAGGAGGUAGUUGUUCUUCUGAUGGUUGCUUAUCCUUUCUUUGGUAAUUGUGGUGGUUAUUUGCUGGGAAUUUUACUGGAUUGGGCUGGUUUGGAGUGGGGGGUUUGGAAAAGUUAAUACUAGUGACUCGAGGGGUAGGUAUUUGAUAGUUUUUGCUUCUCUUUCGAGGUUGUUCACCUCAAUUUCUUUCUUCCUUCCAAUGAAACCUCUCUUCUCUAGAGGUUCUGCAAUUCUUCCACUUCGGAUCCCUUGUUCAAUCCUCUCGGCGAUCCGCACGACAUCAUAGAAAUGUUGUGCUGAACUACCCAUAAGGUGUUCAUAGUAUGGAGCCCUGAAAGUAUUGGCAAACAAAGUCACCAUUUCUGUCUCUAUCAGCGGAGGUUGUACAUUGAUAGCUUGGUCUCGCCACCUUUGAGCAUAAGCCCUCACGGACUCUUGACUUCCUUUCUCCAUGCUAAUCAGACUGGUCCUAUCAGGAGCAAUCUCUAGGUUAAACUUGUAUUGCUUUAAGAAAGCGUCCGCCAAGUCUGUCCACUUCCUGAUCCUAAUAUUGUCUAACCUCAUAUACCAACUGAGGGCCGAUCCGGUCAGACUAUCCUGGAAGAAGUAAAUUAACAUUUUGUCGUCGUGGAUAACCUCUGCCAUUUUGUUAUAGUAGGAGCGGAGAUGGGUCUUCGGGCAUUCCAUCCCAGUAUACUUAACAAACUCCGGCACUCUAAACUUCUUUGGAAUGACAAUAUUAGGUACUAAACAUACCUCAGCGGCCCUAAUUGGGUCAAACAAAUCAUUUCCUUCAAUUGCCCUUAGCCUCUCUUCUAGGGCAGUCCACUUAUCAUCUCCUUCAUGAUUAGAGAAUUUAAAGUCAUGUGGAUCUUCGUUUGUUAAAUCCAUUGUAAUAGGGAUUUGGAUGGGCCGAGCAGGACUCUGCUUAGUUGGUGUAUUUGCCCCUAUGUUUAUAGGUGCGACAGGAAUUUGAGCUGCUGCUGGUGCUUCAUUAGGUUGAGUAGAUGUUCCCUCUCCAUCUCUGGCUCUUAAUAAUUGCUCUAACAUACUUGUUAAGUGCGCCACAUCAUUCCGAACUCCUUCGAGUUCUCUUUGGUACUGAGAUUCUGGUUGUGACCUUCCUUCGUUUUCCAUUCUUGCUCUUUGUCGAGUGUUGUGGAUUCUAGGAGGGGGACCUAUGUUUCUUAAUCUGCAAAUGCAUGCAUAGAUGUAUGAGAAAAUGUAUUGUGAUGGAUGCAUGAUGAUGCAUUAUUGGGUAUGGAUGCAUCCUUUUUUGUGAACGAAUAACAACCAUCACAUUAUAAGCCUUCUCUUGUCACAUUGCUUUGAUAGGAGUUCUGCCUUUCGAGUCGUUUGCUUGAAUCAUGUUCACCAAGAGACAGAUUUUUGCAUAAGAAGAUGGGUCAACGCCCUUUUCAUUAAUGCUUGGAUAAAAAUACAUUUAGAAAUAAAAGAAAUACAACAUGCUAAUCCCUUUCCUCCCUAAACUCUUUGGCCAAAGGUAAGAAAGCAAAACCACGGUUCUCAAUCUUCCCUAGAAAGGCAUCGGUUUCAGCUAGGCUUCGGCGAUAGCGAAUGAUGUCUCCCCCCACAUUCCGCGAAUUGAUUCUGACCAUUCGAGCAUGUGCAGCAGCUUCGUCCAUUUGCUCAUCUGUUUUGGUCAUUUUUUCUAUGAGCAACAUGUUGGUUCUGUUUAAAGCAGUGUUGUUGGCGUCGAUUUGAUCUUUGUGCUUCUCCAUUGCUACUAGCUUUUCAUCUAAAUACUUCAACUUUUCUCGUUCUUUGUCAAGCUUUAUCCUCAUGACUUUUAUCUCAUUCUUCUUGACUGCUAACUCUGCUUUAACAUCCUCGAAUCCUCCCUUUUCGCUUUCCAACUCCAUAUAUUUCUUAUUCAAAUCCUCAUACUUCCUAAUCCUAUCCAUCAGCUCGAAUUGCACUUGUGCAAAUUUUUCUUGGUAAUAUUCUGCACUUUCUUGGCAAUCGCUAAAGUCCAUCUCCAUUGCUUGAAGUUCAGAGCAACUUUGCAUCCAAUCCAAACUCAUCCCUUUAAGCUCCUUCUCACUUCCUUCCUUAGCAAUCUUCUCCUCAACCAACUUUAACUCCAGCUUUGUUAUUUUCUCAUCUCUAGACUGUAUUUGCUCAUCUAGAAAUGUUCUCAUUUUAUCCUGUUCUAGCAUCAUUUCUUCCAACAUUGCUUUGUCUUUUCUGCUCUUGCUCAAUUCUAUUCGUAGUCUCUCCACUUGCCUUCUCAAGUCUUCUUCAUUACUAACUCUCUUUCUCUUGAUAGGCUCCUCUUCAGUUGGAGAAGAUUUGACUUCUACACAAGGCAUGGCUGAAGCAGCUGAAUCAUCUUCAAUGUUCACCCUUUUUCUCUUAAUAGGCUCCGCUACAUCUUGAGGAGAUUUAGCUUCUACGCGAGGGGUGGCUGAAGUGGCUGAGUCUCUCCAUUUUACAUAUCCUUCGCUCACACUUGGAUCUCUUAACCCUUCCAUCUCCACCAACACUAGAUGCUUCCAAUCUUGCUUGAUGAUCUCCAAAACCUCUUCUGCCAUGGGAUCUUUGAACAAACCAGAGAAUUGAGCAAUUCCCAUAGUCCUGGGAACGAACUGCAUGCCCCCAAGUUGUCUUACCACUAAGGCAGGAGCAUAACUCACAUAACCCGUGAUCCCCACCAAUGGUACCCAACGCCUUUGUCCACAACUCAUUAGGACCUUCACUGACGUUACCCAUGGGGCCCUCCACUUAAACUCGCUAUUAGGUAAACCUUCUAAUUUAUCAACCCAACCCUGGUUGUCUAGAUCUCCCCAUUCUUCUUCUUCUACUAACUUGAGGGGUUUUUGGGUGAACCACCAAAAAUUAUUGAAGACAGGUUUCUUUGUCUCGAUAUGGCUAACCAUCCAAAUAUACAACAGUUGCGUGCAGCAUCUCAUUGCUCCUUUUCCGGCCCUCCUACAAUGGUUAAGUGUCAAAAUUGUUUCGGCUAAAAUAGCAGCCACUGGAUUGAUUCGUGUAUUCUCAUAUUCCACGUAAGCAGCAGCGGCCUCCAAACUCACUAAACCAAUCUGACUUGGGAACAACACAAGGCCAAAUAUACCUAGGGCAAUCAAUCUCUCUUUUUCUACUCCUGACUUCUUUUCCAAUUCUAACAUCCUCCAUUUCAAACCGGUACCAUUCUUCUCUUGAAACUUUUCCAAGUUGGAGAUUCUGAGCAGCUUUGACAGUUCAGGGAUGAUCUUGUCGGAUCUUAAAGGAGAAUAAAUCCGAUACAGGUCGUUGGGAAACUCGGUCAACAAUCCAUAUUCAUCAACCGUGGGGCACAAGUCUGUUAUAACCCAUUUUUGGGUCCCCAUGAAAAAUAAAAUAAAUAGCCAAAAGAGUUUAGAAAAAAUAACAGAAGGCAGAAGCGCUCAGGAAACAGUCAGAAAAUUGGUCAAGAAAUUCAAAAAUACAAGGAUUAAAUUUUUGACAGUAUAUUCUUGAAGGAUGAAAGCCCUAUUGAGAAGGAAAAUUUGAAUUUUGAGGAGAAAAGCCCAAAUUUGGAUGUUUAUGGACUUAAUUGGAUUUUUAUUUGAAUUUAUAGAAGAUUUGAUUGCAAGAAAAAUUGAUUUUUAAGUCAAUUUGGGCUUUAAUUUGGAGAAAUUUAAGUUCUGGGGCCAAAAUAUAUUUUUUAGGAAUUUAUUGGGUCAAAUCAGGGGCUCAAUUGCAUAAAUAUUGAAGUUUAAGGGCCAAUUAGGGACUUAAUUGUGAAAAUCCGAAACCAGGGACCAAUUUGGAGAAGGCGCAAAGAUAGAGGGGGCUGUUUGGAUUUGUUUCAGGGGCUUAAUUGAAGAAAUUGGAAGUUUAUUGAUCAAUUAGGGGCUCAAUUGCAUAAAUCAGAGGCCAAGGACCAAAGUGAAAAAGGCGGCCAACAAGAGGGGCGGGGACCGAAUUUGGGGACUGAUUUGAAGUUUAGCCAUUUAAAUGAAACGGCGCGUUUUACCCAAAACGACGCCGUUUCAUUAAAAAAAAAAAAAAAAAAAAAAAAAACAGAACGGUGUCGUUUUGAACGACACUGUUCAUCUUCCUCCUUCCCCCCGUUUUAACAGAACAGAAAACGAAAAAAUUCGAAAAUCUUCCCGCGCCUCUCUCUCUCCUCGCCCCCACCACCUUUAGCAUUGGCCGACCAGCCGUUGCACCGCACUAACGAUGGUCCCCCACGGUUCUGCCCCUAUAAAUAGGGAAGAGACGGAAAGAAAAAAAAAAAAAACCGAAGGGAGGAGAGAGAGAGAGGAGGCCGAAGAGAGAGAGAGAACCGAACACCGAAGAGAGAAGGAGCCGCAGCGCCGCCCGGGAAGCCACGCCACCGCAGCACCGCCUCCUCCACGCCAGGUCACCUCUUCCCCCCCUCUCGUUAGUUUUUUAUUUUUUUCCCUGCAUGCAGAAUGAACAUUCUGCAUGCAGGGAGGAGGGGGGAAUUAAUUCCCCCCUGUUAUGUAGCUGGGCCAGGUGGAUCCUGGCCCAGCAUCAUUUUUUUGGGCCAGACUAAGUCUGGCCCGGCCUUGUAUCUGACGGGCCAGACCAGGUCUGGCCCAUACCAGCUCUCUGGGCCAAGUCCGGCCCAGAUAUUUGGGCCGGCCCAGCCCGAAUUAUUUUUUAUUUUAUAUAUAUAUAUUAUAUUAUAUGUGUGUAUAUAUGUAUAUAUAUAAAAUAUAAUAAUAAUAAAAAAAUAUUUUGAAAAAUCUUAAAAAAAUAUUGUUGAUUUUUCUGCAUAUUUUUGUCAAAAAUGUUUUAAUUUUGGUUUGUAUGUUUAUACUGUAAAGAUACAAAACCAGUGUUAUAAAUACCCGGUUUUCGUCAAAACAUCAAAGAUUUUCAGAAUAAAAAAUGUUUUUGCUUUCAAAAAAAAUUCUAAAAAGUCCCUAAAAAUGUUGUUGAUUUUUCUGCAUAUUUUUAUCAAAAUGGUUUAAUUUUGGUUUGUAUUUUUAUACCGUAAAGAUAUAAAACCAGUGUUAUAAAUACCCGGUUUUCGUCAAAAUAUCAAAGAUUUUCAGAAUAAAAAAUAUUUUUGCUUUCAAAAAAUUUCUAAAAAUUCCCUAAAAAUGUUAUUGAUUUUUCUGCAUAUUUUUAUCAAAAUGGAUUAAUAUUGGGUUGUAUUUUUAUACCGUAAGGAUACAAGCUCAGUAUUAAAAUACCCGAUUUUCGUCAAAGCAUAAAAAAAAUAAUAUUUUCCAAAAAUUGUUUUUGUUUUAAAAUACGGCCUAGUCUCUUCAAAUAUAUAUAUAUAAAUAUUAUAACAUCGUAUUUUCACACAACAAAGAAAAUUUUCAAAAACAAUAUAUGUAUUAACAUGCAUUUUGGCUUUAAUAACCAGUUUAUUCAAGCCAUGAGAACUAGGCCAAUAUUUCAAAAAUUCUAAAAAAUCUUUUUGUUUUAUUUUAGUAUUUGGGAUUACGAAUUUAUACGUAAAACGUAUUCCUAAGUAUUAUUAAUAAAAUUUUGGUAUGGACGUUAUAACGGUUAAGAUUUUUACCCGAUAAGAUAAAGAUCUCCUUACCGAGGAGGAUUUUUCUUAAACUAUAGACAGACCAACCACUAGGAAAACACAAUAACACUUUAGUUUUUUUUUUAUCAGACAUUAAAACAAUGCAGCUUACCUUAGGUAGGGCGUAUUUGGGGUGCUAAUACCUUCCCUUUACGCAACCAGUCUCCGUACCCGAUCUCUAAGACCAGUUAGGUUCCUAGUGACCAAAAUACUAGGUGGCGACUCCAAAGAACCAAAUAAAAAUAAAAUAAACAAAUUUUCGCCAGUCGAACCCGCAAUGGAUGCGUAUAUUUUUUUUGGGGGGGGGUGCGCUCGGUCAACAAUCCAUAUUCAUCAACCGUGGGGCACAAGUCUAUGCUUCCAAAGGAAAAACAUAUGUAGUCUGGAUCCCAAAAAUGAACUAAAGCUCGCACAGCUAGGCUUAAAACUUCUACCUUUGCAAUUUCCAUCAAACGUCCGUAUUUCCUAAAAAAUGCAUCUUUAUCCACAUUUUGAAAAUGAGUCGUUAACUUGUUCACCUCAUUCAAUACGCAAUUCAGGUUCUUGAUUGGUGACAUCUUCUUAGCAUCGCUUCUAAGGCAGUCUCCUUCAGUCAAUUGUGACAGUUCAGAAUUUUUUCCAUAUUCUAAGAUGGAAGAUUUAGUGAUGAUGGCCAUUUCGUUCACAAGUCCUGCAAUUCAAAAUGCAUUGGGGUUUAGACUUUGUUUGGAUGCAAAAGAUAUGUUGGAACAUACACCCUAAGGAUAGGUUCUAAUUUCUCUAUGUGAGACAUAGGGUAGGUUUACUAUUGGGUCUCUAAAAGAGGGUCUCUUGCUGUUCCAGUGAUCAGCCUUCGUAAAGGCGAUAUGGAGGUCUAGCAGAUAGUGGGAUGGUACGUGUACCAAUCACAAUCAGUCUAAACACUCAGCAAAGAGUUGGGGUUUACACAAACUUAAACCUUGACUCAAGUCAUAAGGCAAGCUGCUAGUCCCCCACUUAAACUUAAAGUUACAUGUGUGUGCACUCCAAAACAUAAUAACAAUAAUAAAGUGAUGCAUGACUAUGCCAUGUAUGAUAGAAUGUAAAGAUAUAUGCUAAAGCUUUUAAACAAAGCAUCAUAAAAAAAAAACAAAAACCAAUAACACAUAACAUAAACAAACAAACAAAUCAAGCUUAGUCCAAGGGUCCCCAGUGGAGUCGCCAUCCUGUCGCACCCCCAAAAAAAUAAAAAAAAAAGUUUGUUUUUGCGACAUUCGACUGGCGACUUUCGUUUUGUUCUGUUUUGCUGAUUUGGUUCUUUGGAGUCGCCACCUAGUAUUUUGGUCACUAGGAACCCUAACUGGUCUUUCAGAGAUUCUAAGGUAAGGGACUGGUUGCGUAAAGGGAAGGUAUUAGCACCCCUAGUACGCCCUACCUAAGGUAAGCUGCUUGGUGUUUGGUUUGCUCUAUAAUGCUAUGGUGUAGGUAUUUUUAGGCUCGUCAAUUGAUUUUGGAUAGAAAUCUAAGGAGAUUCCAUGUGCUUUGAAAGCUCAUUUUUCCCUUAGUAUUUCAAAAGUUUGACUCAUAAAUCGUGGGAAAAAAAAAAAUUAAAUUUUGAAAUGUCCUCGAUUAUAAUCAAGGCUUCUUUCAAGAAUGUGUGCGGAUUUAUUAUUCCCAUAAUAUUUUGGAUAUUCAUCCUUUUAAGGAUUUCUUUAUCCAAACAUUAGCGGUAAAUAAUAAAUAAAUUCCUUUUCCCAAAAUAAGAUUUUUAUAGUUUUUUGAAUAUUGGCCAAUACCCUUUGGAAUUUUACAAACACGUUGUAAAAUCCAGAAAUGCAAGAAAAUAAUUUGUGUUUAAGAAAUCUAUGCGAAAACACACUUUCGAAGCUUCCAAUAUAUUUGUUUUAUAAAAAAGAAUAUUCAAAACAUGUUAGAGUAUUGGCCGUAUGCAACACGCAAGAAAAAUAUUUUUUUUUUAAAACAAUAUUUUUUUUUGACGAAAUCGGUAUUUUUAAUACUGAAUUUGUAUCUCCACAAAUAAAAAUACAAACUAAUAUUAAGUCAUAAAAAAUGUACGAAAAAAUCACAAUAUUUUUAAGGAAUUUUAGAAAUUUUUGAAAGCAAAAAAAAAAUUAUCUUUGAAAAUUUCGGGUGCUACGACGAAAAUCAGAUAUUUUAAAUACUGAAUUUAUACCUCCACAGUAUAUAAAAAAAAAUACAAACCCCCUUAAAAAUAUAUAUAUAUGAAAGGAAAAUAACAACAUUUUUUUUUAGAUUUUUUACAAAUAUUUAUAUAUAUAUAACAUAUACACAUAUAUAUAUAAUAAUAAUAUAAUAUAAUUAUAUAUUAAUUAUUAAGGGGCUGGGCCGGCCCAACUGACUGGGCCGGGCUCAGCCCCACAGUGACUGGGCCGAUCGGCCCAGAAAGUGACUGGGCCGACCGGCCCAGAAAGGUACUGGGCCGAUCGGCCCAAAAAUCUGGGCCGACGGCCCAAAAAACUUGGUCUGGGCCGGACCCGGCCCAGACCGCCGGGUUGGGCCAGAAUCCUUCUGGGCCAGAACCGGUCUGGCCCAGAAGAAAAAACGGGGGGAAUUAAUUUCCCCCCCCCCUGCAGCACUGCAUGCAGGAGAGAAAAUAACAGAAGAAAGAAAAAAAAUGCAGGGGAGAGAGUACCUGGCGAGGCUGGAGACGGUGGUUGGCUGACGGGGCUACGGUGGCGCGGCUCGUGGAUGGCGGUUCGGGCGGCGUUGCUGCUGUUUCAGUGGCGAAAAAUUCUUCUUCCUCCCUUCUCCUUCGUUUUUUUUCGUUCUCAGUGGCUGUCCUAUUCUCGGUUUGGUUUUGGUUUUUGUUUCGGUUUCCUUCUUCUCGGUUUGUUUCUGUUCUUCUCUCUCUCUUCGGGUCGCUCUCUCUCUCUUUCUCUUCGGGUCUUCGGUUUUUUCUUCUUUUUUCUCUUCGGUUUUUCUUCUUUAUUUAUAGGGGCAGAACGAGUGGGGGACCAUGGUUAGUGCGCCUUCAAUCACGCAUGGCUGGUCGGUUCUUUCGGUGGUAGUGGUGGGGGCGAGGAGAGAGACGCGGGAGGUUUUUUUUUUCGUAUUCUGUUCUGCUAAAACGGGGGGAAGGAGGAAGAUGAACAGUGUCGUUCAAAACGACACCGUUUUGAUCUUCCUCCUUUUUUUUUUAUAUAUAUAUAUAUAUGAAACGGCGUUGUUUUGGGUAAAACGCGUCGUUUCAUUUAAAUGGCUAAACUUCAAAUCAGUCCUCCAAAUUCGGUCCCCGCCCCUCUUGUUGGCCGCCUUUUUCACUUUGGUCCUUGGUCUCUGAGUUAUGCAAUUGAGCCCCUAAUUGAUCAAUAAACUUCCAAUUUCUUCAAUUAAGCCCCUGAAACAAUUCCAAACAGCCCCCUCUAUCUUUGCGCCUUCUCCAAAUUGGUCCCUGGUUUCGGAUUUUCACAAUUAAGUCCCUAAUUGGCCCUUAAACUUCAAUAUUUAUGCAAUUGAGCCCCUGAUUUGACCCAAUAAAUUCCUAAAAAAUAUAUUUUGGCCCCAGAACUUAAAUUUCUCCAAAUUAAAUCCCAAAUUGACUUAAAAAUCAAUUUUUCUUGAAAUCAAAUCUUCUAUAAAUUCAAAUAAAAAUCCAAUUAAGUCCAUAAACAUCCAAAUUUGGGCUUUUCUCCUCAAAAUUCCAAUUUUCCUUCUCAAUAGGGCUUUCAUCCUUCAAGAAUAUACUGUCAAAAAUUCAAUCCUUGUAUUUUUAAAUUCCUUGACCAAUUUUCUGACUGUUUUCCGAGCGCUUCUGCCUCCUGUUAUUUUUCUAACCUCUUUUGGCUAUUUAUUUUAUUUUUCAUGGGGACCCAAAAAUGGGUUACAACACCAAGCAUGUUAUAUUUUCACAUGUCACGUUGAAGUUAUUGUAUGAAAGGUCCCUGCAAGUUAACAAUUCAUAAAAUCGAUUUGAAAUUGAUCUUUAUGAAUUGGCAAUUUAACAAUUCAUAAAUUACACUAAAUUGUCAUUAAUUAAUUAAAAUGAUUGGUCUUUUUGAUAAAAUUCUCUUAAUCUUUCUCAUCUCCCAGAGUUGACUAAAUAUAUUGAAAUUGCAAGUGCACUUUUUACAAAAGCAGUGUUUUUUUUAUGAGUCUUUCACCUCCUCUUACAUGCUUUUCCAAAACUCUUUUUCUCCAAAAUAUCUUUUUAUAAUAUGUCAUUUUAUUAAAAGAAAAAAUAAAACAACUAUUAUCAUGACUAGAUUCCAUAAAUUACUAAAUAAACAAAUAUUGAAUCUGAAGUAAAAACACAUCUUUUAAAAUUGAUGGUGAAGUCUUUGUUCGUGUUCAGCAUCAAUUUUUUGCCUCGUCAAGCAGAGAAAGAUUAAUAAAGCUAAAGCAUAUCAGUACGAAAACCGCAAGUUGAUCAUAGAUAUCUCUACAUUUCUUGGGUCCAAUAUGUGAACCUUGAGAAGUAAUAAAGACUUGACAUGGUUUUCUAUAAUAGGUUAAGCCUCUUAAUUAUUUUUAAUUUUUUCUAUGCUCAUCCAACGGCUCUGCUAAAUUGCUUGAUACAUCAUAAAAUAACUUGAUUUUGUAAUGUAUAUGAUUGAACCCAUGCAAUCUGAACAUUGAAAAGUAAAAAAGAAUCUUUAAAAUUUGGUCAAGUCUUUGUUCGUGUUCAGCAUAAUAUUGGACCCACGGAAUGUGAUCCUUGAGAAGUAAUAAAGGUCAAAAUAAAUAAAUAAAUAAAGACUUGACAUGGUUUGCUGUCUUUUCUAUGCCCCGCUAACGGCUCUGCUAAAUGAAUUGAUUUUUUGACGUUAUCAGAAAAAUAAUAAUCAACAUGAUCGAACCCAUGGAAUCUGAACAUUGAGAAGUAAGAAAUAAUGCAUCUUUAAUAUUUAUGGUCAAGUCUUUGUUCAUGUAAUUCAGCAUCUUUUGUUUUCCAUAUUAUGUGGAUCAAAAUUGCAUUGUCAAGCAGAGAACAAAUAAUAAAGCUAAAGCACCACCACAAGUUGAUAGAUUACUUUUUUUUAUAGGUACUCUACCAAGGUAUUGUUUAAACUAUAUUUUAUUUCAAAAUAAAUAAAGUAUAUAGCCUUCUGCGCUUGUAAUUGCUAAACCAUUUUGUAUUCAGAAUAUAUUAUUUAGGCUAUUCUCCCAUGAAAAGUCUUGGCUGUGAUAUUUGUCGAUACACGACGGGCGACGGCUCCAUAUCAUUUUUAUUUAUUUAACAAAAAAGAUUUUUUAUUUUUAUUGGGGAAAUGAAAAUUAUAUUGGAGUCGUUAUCUAGUAAUUUGAGGGAACUAGAAAUCCCAAAUUAAACACUGGUUUCAGAGAUUCAGGUACUGGGUUAGUUAUGAUUAAGGGAAGGUAGACACCACCCUUAAAACAUCCUUUCAAAAGAAAGGUUACCCUUACUUGUGUGUUUUUUAUUUGAUUUAAAUGCUAUUAUAUUUCGAGUUUAUUUGCAAUUUCGUUUUUUUUAAAAUAGUUAACGUCGGUCCCUAAAAAUAGGAGACGCGUUAAAAAUGACAUCAGUCCCUAAAAAUAGCAGACUCGUCUAAAAUAUUGACGUUUAACCCUAAAAAGGAGAAGUACGUCUGAGUUACCAAAAAAAACUAUGGACAUAAUCCAUAUUGGUAUUUAAACUUUUAACAUCGGUCCUUUUCUGAAAAAGAGACGUGUCGACGAACAGUAUUUGUUUAUAAAAUUAUUUUUAUAUCGUUGAGAAAUGGGUAUCCCAUAUUUGAGAUUUGGGCUUUGGGCCCACGAACGAUAACAUGAUAGGAUGAGUGUUGGACCCGCGUUGUUAUUCCUUUCUUUUUUAUUUUAUUUUUUGUUUGUUUUACAACAUACAAGAAAAUUUAUAUACAAAAUAAAAAAAUGUUAGAAAUCUAUAAAAAAAAAAAAAACAAAUUACCUAAGUGACACAGUAUAGGUAAAAGACUGAAAUACCCUCGGAUCUAUCAGAAAUUUACGAAAAUGCCACUAUGCGGCGCGUGUGGCUCACGCGCGGCUACUGUUGGUGCGGCGAGAUUUUCAGGCGCGAUUUCUGGCCCACCGAUGGUUAGUUCUGGUAGAUCUGAGGUCGAGGAUUCUGUUGUUGGUGGUCUCGACGUCCGUUGAUGGCUUACGAAUGAGAAUCGACGACUUGAAGGUUCGGUGGCCGACGAAGAUCGCGGCCUUUUUCCGGCCAGAUGAGGCGGCGGAAACAAUGAAAACCGCCGGGGUUUUUCUUCACAACAGGGUAGCUACCUUUCUGUGGUGGUUCGGAGGCUUGAGAUGGCCGGAAAGUGGAGAUCGGAUGAGAGAGGGAGUCGCCGGCGAGAGGAGAGAGAGGCUCUGAGAGUUGCUAUGGUGUGAACGCGUAUACGGUGUACCGGUGCCUCUGAACACUGUGCACCGUUCUAUCUCGGAUGAAACGAUCGGAUGGCUGUGAUUGGCUAGAUCUGCGGUUGAUCUGACGGUCUGGAUGAACUUAGCUUUGAUCUGGUGUGUUGCGGUGCACCGAAAGAUCGGUACACCUGAGACGUGGCGUAACCGGUUCAAAUCUUGAAUUGUUUCAAAGGCCGAGAUGUGUCGGGAUAUAUUUGGUAUUUUUCAAAUUGUUUUUUUUAAAAGACAAUAUCCUACUCUCCGGAAGAAAAACUACAAAAAAUGUUAAUGGUAUCAAUCGAUUUUUUUUUUCUUCCUCCCCUCACUCCUUCCGUGCUCACGUGGCUAUUUAUAGGUAAUUUUUUUUGUAUUAUUGUUUUUUUUGUUUUAAUAUAUAUAAUAAUAAAUAUUUAUAUAGGUAAAAUUAAAAAUUUCAACCGCUAACACUAAAAACAUUUGAUAGGUAUCAACCCGAUAAACCGGGUUUUAACCGAAAAAUGAUGGUUUUGACCCAAAAAUAGCCCGACACUCAUUUUUCAUCCCGGUCGACAUGGUUUGACCCGUAUUGACCUGGUGAACUCGGUUUGGGUCGAAAAUGACGUUUUUGACCCGAAACAGCCCGAAACUCAUUUUUAAACCUGGUCGACAUGGUUCGACCCGUAUUGACCCGGUGAACUCGGUUGUGGUUGAAAAUGACGUUUUUUACCCGAAACAGCCCGGAACUCAUUUUUAAACCUGGUCGACAUGGUUCGACCCGUAUUGACCCGGUGAACUCGGUUGUGGUUGAAAAUGACGUUUUUUACCCGAAACAGCUCGGAACUCAUUUUUGAACCUGGUCGACAUGGUUUAACCCGUAUUGACCCGGUGAACUCGGUUGUGGUCGAAAAUGAUGUUUUUGACCCGAAACGGCCCGGAACUCAUUUUUAAAACUGGUCAACAUGGUUUGAAUGAAAAGAUGCGGUUGACUCGAGAAAAAAAAUAUUUUUGAAUUUUCAAAUUUUUGUUAAUUUUUUUGGAUUUUUAUAAAUAAUAAUAAAAAUAAAAUAAUAUUCAAAAAAAUUGUGUGUCGAAAAUUGGGUUACAACAAUAUUCAUACACCAAUUGCUGGCUCUAUUUCAUACACCAUGGAAGACUUGGUUGAUAUGGUCGAUGAAGUGGACACCUAUGGUGAUGGGGAAGAAGACGUUGCGGAUGGAGACAAUUAUCAUGUAUUGAUAUUCAAAUACUCGAAAAACAAUUUAGGUGGUGUGCUGCCUCAAUCAGAAGAUUUGAAUAACUUUCAUAAUAAUUUUUUCAUAUCAUGAAUUAAUUAUUUGAAUUUGAUUAGUUACUAAGUGGUGCAUAAAUAAUGUUUUUAAAAUGCUAAAAUCAUAUUUAGAUUAGUCCAACGAUUUAGAAAGGUUUAUUCACCUUAAUUUACAUUAAAUUUAUCUUCAUUUUUAUUAUUAUUUUAAAGUAUUAUAAGUUCUAUCAAUUUUAAUUCACAUCGAGAAAAUAUAAUUUUUAAUUAAAACAAGAUUCUAAUAAUAUUUUAUUAAUUAAACAUGAUUUGUUUUUAUAUAUUAAUUUUCGAUACUUAACCUUUAGGCUAUGCAUGUUUGUAUAACAUCAUAAUUUAAAUAAUCUUUAAAAAUUAAAUAAGUGAAUAAGCUUUCAUGCAUGCGCGCGCGCGCAUAUGCUUCCUCACCACCACUAUUUACAAACAAGGAAUUAUCUGCAAGAAAACUUAUUCUCAGUGCAAACAUGAUUAUUUACCAUAAGAAACUCAGCCAGUAUAAUUAAUUAGAAGAGAGAAAUUCCCCAUCUAAUAAAAACAUUUUUAUUAACUGAAAAUUCGAAUUAUUUGAUAAUUUAAACCAUUUUUCGAGUUAGUUUCCGAUUUCGAAUCGAUAACUACAAUCAUUCUACACCUAUACACUCUCGGAAAAAGAUCAUGAUAUUCAUUUUUCUCAAAGGGUGUUGGUCCACCCAUGUUCACCCUAUGAACAGUCUCCCCACUGCAUUAAAAGUUUCAGCAUCAUCUGUAAUGAGCUCAUCGGGAACUGAAACGACUUCCAAAGGCAUUUAAGAGGCAAAUGAAUUGCCUUCACACUGAAAUUGCUGAGGAAACACCAAAACUCGCUUUGCUCAUGUUGUGACAACCACUAACAAAUGGAUAGAAAUAUAGACGAAUCCAAUGCCUCCAUGUUGGUUAAUGAAAAAGGUGUACUUUGAGGUUCCAUCAAAGAUUCUUGCUGUUUGAUAGAGCGGUGAAUCAUCCCCAGAAGUGACAGAUAUUGAAGCAUUUGCAAAAGUGUUUUUCGGGGUUGAAAGAAAGUUGGAGGCAGAGUUAUCAGCAACAAAAACACGGUUACCUACUGUAGUAUUGCUGAGUGAUCCGCAGUCUAUAAGAUAAUUGUCUAUAUUGUAACUUAUUUUUGGAUCCCACACAAAAAAAAUAUAUAUAAUAAAAAGAUAAAAUAAUAAUAAAUAAAUAUAUAGCCGGAAGAAAUUAGAAAAACUAACAGGUGGCGGGAGCGCUCAGAAAAUUAUCAGAAAAAUAGAUUAAGGAGGAUAAAAAUACAAAGAUUAAAAUUUUGACAGUAUAUCUUUGAAUGAUGAGAGCCAUGUUGGAAAAUAAAAUUCAAUUUGAAAAGAAAAGUCCAAAAUUGGAUGUUUAUGGACUCAAUUGGAUUUUAUUGAAGGUUUAAUUGAAUUUAUAAAGGGUUUAAUUGCAAGAUAAAUUUAUUUUUAAGUCAAUUUGGGCUUUAAUUGGUCGAAGAAAUUAAAGUUCUGGGGUCAAAUUAUAAUUUUUGAGAGUUGAUUUGGUCAAAUCAGGGGCUUAAUUGCAUAAAUAUUAAAGUUUAAUGGCCACUUAGGGAUUUAAUUGAGAAAAUCCAAAACCAAGGACCAAAUUGGAAAAGGCGCGUAAAUAUAGGGGCUGUAAUCAACGAAAUCAGGGGUCAAAUUGAAGAAAUUGGAAGGUUAUUAAUCAAUUGAGGGUCCAAAUGCACAAAUUCAAAACCAAAGACUAAAGUGAAAAAGACGGACAACUAUAGGGGCGGCGAUUGAAAUUGGCAGGGAUGCAAUUGAAUUAAUUCUUAAAAAUCAAGAUUACAUUGUGAGGACUUAAAAGAACAAAAGAUAAAUUAAGGAUUGAUUUGGAAACGAAUAUGCUAGCACCACCUUUAAAUGAAAUGACACGUUUUGUAUAAAGCGACGUCGUUUCAUGUUAAGAAAAAAAAAACAAAGAGCAAAACGGUGUCGUUUUGAGUGACACCGUUCCUCUUUCUCUUUCCCCUGGACGUGCAGCAAGGGAAGGCAUACGAUUUUCUUCUUCUUUCUUCAUUGAUUCCUGCGAGCCGCGUGCCCUACGAAAGACCCGAAGCCCCACGCACAUUGAUGAUUAGAAAUCAAAGGCGCCACGCCUUGCCAGCCGUGCCCACCAACCAACCCAGCGCUGCCCUGCUCCCCAUGCACAGCAAUAAAGAGGCCCCGCUCCCUUGCCCCUACAAAUGGAGACAGAACGCCAGCACGCGAGGGGGACAAAAAAAAGAGAAGGAGGACGAACCGAAAAAGAAAGAAAACGAACCAAAGCAGGAGAAACAAAACGGAGAGAACGAAUAGGAGAGAGAGAGAGAGAGAGAACGAACCAACGAAAGGGAAAAACAAAUCGAAAGUUUUUAAAAAUUCUAAAAAAUAUUUUUGUCUUCUUUUAGUAUAUGGGAUUAUGAAUUUAUACGUAAAACAUAUUCCUGAUAUUAAAAAUAUAGUUUUCAAAUAGACGUUAGAACAAUUAGGUUUUUACCCAAUACGAUAAGGACCUCCUUACUAAGGAGAAUUUUUCUUGAACCAUAGACAGACCAACAAUUAAAAAUAUAAUAACACCUUAGCUUUUUAUCAGACAAUUAAACAAUACAGCUUACCUUAGGUAAGACGUAUUUGGGGUACUAAUACCUUCCCUUUAUGCAAUCAGUCCCCGUAUCUGAUCUCUGAGACCAGUUAGGGUUACUAGUAACCAAAAUAUUAGGUGGUGACUCACAUUUCAUUUUCCACCGAUAAACGACAAGAGUUUCUUAUCUUCCUAUAUUUGCCAUAUAGAUAGAUAUUAUAUUUAGAUUUGAAGUGGAAUAAUUUUUACCGCGACGCCGCACACGUGCGACAGUCUACAUGAGUGAAUCCACUAGAUAAACAUACCAAACUUAAUCAUGAAAAAAAUAUAUUUUAAUCAUCUAAUCAAAUAUAUUUUUUUAUAGUUUAUUUUAUUCUAUUUUUUUUAUGUUUCUUGUUAUAUGAUUAUAUAAAUCUUGCUUGAGUUGAGUAUAACAUAUAUUUCAAAUUAUUAAAUAAUAAUAUCCUUUUCUAUUAUAAAUUUCGUUAAUUAGCAUUUAAUGUUCGCAGAACAUAUUUGGUUUGAUAAUAACAAAAAAAAGAAAGAUUUAUUCAUCCACUUACUUUAUUCAAAAGAAACUUAGCUUCUUGGUUUUGAUCCGUAUUUAACAGUUUUUUAAUUUUAUUAAAAUUGUUUUUUCUAAUAUAUAAAUAGCAUAUAAUAGUUGUGAUACUUUUUAUUGGAAAAAUAUUGAGUAAUAAAAAUUAGAAUUAAAAUUAAUUGAAACUUUUUGUGCAAAAUACUGUAUUUCAGUGUGUUGUCUUUCUUGUUUCUUGUUUCCGCCUGCAUCAUGAACCUUUCAAAUAAUUCAUAAAUUCAAUCAAGAAUUCCCUGUCUGCAUUUUGCUGCAGUCAGCUGUGGUCACUUUUUGCCAAUUCUGGCUGCAGAGAACUUUGCAGCUACGACGAAAGAUGCAAAAUUCUUUUUGGAAUUCAGUUCUGUUUAGAGAAGAAUCAAGCUAAUAGGUUCAGGUACACUGGGAGAGACAGAAAGCAGCAGCUAUGGUUCAACAAGGCAUGAUCCUUGCUCAAUGAGAAGUGUAGAAAAACUGGUAUAUAAACCACACAAUCUGUGUAACAUGGUGGUCUGCAUGAUCAACAAUGGUAGUUGUCUUCUCAAUUAGAGUAUACAUAUAAGUAGGCAUUGUUUAAAAACCACAACAAAUUGGAAGACUCAUUAUUGAUGCUGCCACUCUCUCAGUUAAAGAUGUUUCUUUAAGCCUUAACGACGAUAUCGACUGAGCUCAUCUGAUUGCUAUAAGAACAAAGGAUAUUGAAUUGUCUCAUUCUGAUUGCUGCAAAACCUCAACAAAUGCUUCCUUCAAAAGCGGGUUUGAAGCUGCGACUCUUUGAGUAGUGAUGUCAAAAUCUUUACCAGAUCUGUAGCCGAAAGAGCAACCAUCAAAAUAUCAGAACACGCAUUAUAUUCUGGACAAAAUGUGAGCAUAUGCUUAUGUUCUUAAUAUCUUUGACCUAUUGCUUGCCCGGAUGACAGAGUUGAGGAUGUCACAAGACGACGAUUAAAUCAUGUUGACAUUCGAUAAACACUGUUCUUUCAUGUCCAUGCAUGGGACUAUCCUCUCUAUAUCCCACACUACCCCCACCUAAGUUGUGGAAGGGAUGAAAUAUAAAUAGCAUCACUUACGGGUCAUAAACGAUUCCUCCAGCUUCUUUGACAAUCACAGCACCACCUGCCACAUCCCUGAGUUCAAGAGUAGAUUAUAUCAAUCAUGCGUCCAGAUGAACUUUUCUUGCGUCAAUCACAAAUACGUACCACGGGCCUCCAUAUCCGGUUUCAUAAAACAAAUCAAUCCUUCCACAUGCAACUCCGCAAAGAUUCAAUGCACAGGAGCCAGUCAUCCUAAGGGAUCUCACCUGAUAACAAGAUAAUCAGAUAUGAAUUUUAAGAAAACCAACACAUUUUACCAAAGCACAUAGCUUCCACAGCAUGUUCUGGUCUCACCUUGAAAAGUAAGCUGUUAAUUCUGUUCGUUGUGGCAUCCACAGUAGACUUGUCACGUUUUGUUCCAGCCUGCUCUUAGAAGAAUUUAGUUUGGUCAGUUCCUAACAUGAUUCCUUAUGAAACAUAAAGGAGUGGACUUGAAGUAGAAAGGAGUUUUAACCAGAUUCCACACAGAGCAUAACAGGGGUGAACUUAAAGCACUCCUUUUGCAGGGUAUUUGCAAGUGCAACAUGGUAAAAACUAAAUACAUUCACAACGCAUAGAUCUGCAUUUCAAAUACAGGGAGUUGGAUUUCUAGAGUCUACGAACAAUAUUUUAAUAUAAACGAGAAGGGUUAGCAUGCCAGAAAAAUCAAUCCAGGGUUAAAACAAGCUACCCUUACUCAGCACUUAACAUUUCUGACACUAUCUGGAGUUAAGACUGAAAUUGAUUGUGCCCAAGGCAAUUUUAACACCCUUCAAACCGAUCCAAUAAGAAACCAAUUGGAGAUGUACAGUUAGAAGGAUAGAAUUGUACCAAAAAAAUAUGAGACAGUAGGGCACCAAUUCAUCUCAGGUUUCAAAACUGAUUCCCGGUUAUAUUUCAGUUUAAGCUAUCUAAACUGAAAAGCAUCUCAGUUUGCAAGUUUGGGCAGACAAAAAUGAUGCUGAAAAGCAUACCUCUGUUGCAAGAAGAGAUUUCACAAGCUCACUUUGAGAUGAUACUGCAAUCGAAACACAAGUACAUAGCUGCUUAAGUUUCAUGGAAAGAUUAGCAUGCAAAAGUAUCAAAAUAUGGAAACUGACAAUAGUCAACUCAGAGACACCUUUUAUGGGUUUUCCAUUCAGAAAUGCACCUUUUCCAUGGACGCCUGUAAAAAGCUGCAUUUAUAAAUCCAAAAUCUUUUAGCAAAUUACUGGAUCACAUUUCAAAUUCUAUAAAAUUUUGACAGAACAUUAACUUCGAUGUUAAAUGGGACACUAUACGACCACAUAUCUGAAGUGAAAGCAAGAAGUGUUCAAGAAGGCAGACAAAAGUUUGAUGGACUAACUGUUUAGAUAUAGCUAGAUACUCGUUUUCCCGAUAUUUAAAUACUGGCAGACUCAACAUCAUAAAGCAGACAUUUAUCUGAGUAGAGGACCAUGAAGCUGAAAACUAGUGGUCACUGGUCAGUGUUCAUUUUGUGAGGAAAGAUGCACUAACAUCCAGCAUACAUGUAGAAGAUCACCAGGCUAUAUGAAAGGAGGUAAACUGUGCAUGUUCUACAUAAAAUUUUAAUCAUUUAAAGUUCAAAGUAAUAUCUGGCCACCUAAAACUAACAUGCAAUAUAUAAAAUCUCACCUCUUCCAUUAUUGGGUUGUAAACAACACCUACUGUAGGAACUUUUCCAAUUGUAAGACCGAUAGAAAUGCACACAAAGGGGAACCUACAUCCAAACAUGUUGCGACAAAUUAAAGUGAUGUUACAUGUAUAAAAACAAGAGGAAAUUGCCUUCACUAAACAAUGUUAAAAAAAAAAAAUAUUGCAUUUACCCAUGGACAAAGUUGGUUGUUCCAUCAAGAGGAUCAACUAUCCAUGUCGGUUCAUCAGUCAGUUCCGUAAUACCACAGGCAGCAGUAGUUUCUUCCCCAAUGAACUAAGAAAACCAGCAAAAGAGAACUUUCAAGAGAAAAACAGAGGCACUUUUUAGGAGACAAUAUUCCCCGUACAGAUCAAUAAUGCUCAAAUUCAUCACCUACAAAGUAGAAAAUACUAAAGUAAGUUGUUAACCUUAUGUGAGGGGUGCUGCAGUUUGAGAUAAUUAAAAAUAAGAUCCUCACAAGCCUUGUCAGUCUCAGUAACUAAAUCCACUUGCAAUUGAGAAAUAAAAUAAACAAUUGUCAGUAAUUACACGCAUAUAGUGAAGUAUGUUUAGCCACAGCACUUUUAUCCGGGCUAAAUUAACACAAAUGGGUUGGCAACUUCUAAUUUUUUAAUUUUCUUCUCUGCUCCACAGUUAUGAUGAUACAGUCCAAUUAACAAAGGAAAUAUGCUAGCAUUACAAAAUAGCAAAAGCACUUUCAAUUUUUUUACAAACUCGAUGACCUCAGCCUCAGCGUGAAGAUAAAAACUUUGUUUCCCAGCAGCUUUACAAACAAGGAUUUUAGCACCUCAUGCACGAUGAAUUCAAUUACCGUUAGCUUUACAGACGUUGAUGCUAAAUUCAAUUCCCAGUUUUGUUACAAAACAAGAUCACCUCAAUGCCAAGAUUAAAACUUUAUUUCCAUUAGCUUUACAAACUGGGAUCUUAAAGUUCCCCCUUGCAUUAUAAAUUCAAUUUGCAAUCAGAUAUAAUCAAUCACUGAUCUGAAUUCAAGAUUAUUUAGCAGCAUUUGAUCAACAAUUCUCCUUUCUUUAGGGGAAAAAAAUUGCUAAGCACUACACAGACUCUACAUUCAAGAUCACAUGAAGCAACAAGAAUGUCCAAGAUAAGACUACCCUGAUUAACGACCAACAAGAAAAAGAGAUACAAAAAGAACCCAAGAAAAGCAAAGAUGUGGGUACCAGUCCUUUAUGCUCCACAUGCUUGGUCUGGUAGAAUCCUUCACGGAUUAUCUACAAAGCACACAAGAAAUGGAAAAUGAGACUAAAUUUGAGACCCCUAAAAAAGGAAAAACAAAAUCUAAAAUUUAUAUCUCACCUCUCCAGCUCUCUUUGCUGCCUCAACAGCAGUCUGCAAGAACUCUGAAAGAGAAUCUAAAACAUCCCAAAUAAAAAACAAAAUGCAAAAAUCAUCAAGAUCCCAUACUGAAAAUGAACCAAGAAAUCAAAAACAAAACAAGAAAGAAUGCAAUAAAAAAACUUGACGGGGUCCUACCAUUCUGUGCCAUGUUUUAAAAUUUGUAUGUAGAAAGAAGAGAGUGACAGAGUGAAGUAGAUUGUGGUGGAGGUGAUGGUGAUGAAAGGCUCUGUGUCUCUGAGUUUUUUUACGUCUAAAAGGAAGUAGCAGGCAAACCACAAAAUGGACCGUUUGAUUUCUGUUUUUCUCUCUCUUUAUACAUAUAUAUGCUAAAGAAUCUGCCUUUUCACCCAGUCUGUGUACGUUUUGCAUCAAAUUCCUGGUGAAAAAGGAAGUCCUUUAAUGGUGCCUUUUGAGUCCUUUUAACCCUUUUUUAUGGCUACUCUUCCCCUACGUCAUAUUGUUACUCUUGAGUUUUCCUAAGAAAUUAAGAAAAUAUUAACAUGAGAAAAUAUUAACAUCCAAAUGAUGGGGAAAGAGAUUUGUUCAAUUUUGAAUGAUGGAGGGCAUCAUUGGUGAGCCUAGGAAGAUAGGGACCAAAUUGAAACCUCCCUAAUAACUGGGGGUAUAGUUGUAGUACAUAUGGAGAGGGAGACCUAAAUGGCUUCAAGUAGGUUACCAUGGGGAAUGAACAUACGGUGUGUUGUAACCCAAUUUUGGAUUCAUCAAGUUUUUCUUAAAUAUUAUUUUAUUUCUAUUAUUAUUUAUAAAAAUCCAAAAAAAUAAAAAAGGUUUAAAAUUCAAAAAAAUAUUUUUUUCUCGAGUCAACCGUAUCUUUCCAUCAAAACCGAGUUCACCGGGUCGAUACGGGUCAAACCAUGUCGACCAGGGUAAAAAAUGAGUUUUCGGGCUGUUUCGGGUCAAAACCAUCAUUUUCGGCCAAGACCGAGUUCACUGGGUCGAUACGGGUCUAACCAUGUCGACCGGGAUAAAAAAUGAGUUUCAGGUCAUUUUGGGUCAAAACUGUUAUUUUGUGGUCAAAACCCGGUUCACGGGUUGAUACCCAUUGAAAGUUUUUUUUUUAAUGUUUCGACAUAAUUUUCGGUAAUUAAAAUUGAUUUUUAGCGGUUGAGUCGGGCUUUUUCUAAUACUGAUUUGAGUUUUUAAUUUUAUCUAUAAAUAUUUAUUAUUAUAUAUAAUAAAACAAAAAACUUUUUUGUCAUAUUAGGUAAUGUUAGGUAGAGUACUUUUUCUUUUUUUCUUACAAUUAGGCAAAUUUAGGCAGAAAUCAAUUAUUAUAUUACUGUUCACUGCCUAUAAAUAGGCAGUGAGCAUCGCCAGAAAAAAAAAAAAAAAAAAAAAGAAAAAAAGGAGGGAACGGGAAAACAAAGCCAGAGAAGAAGAGAAAGAAUGGUUACUGUGCAUAUUUUUUGAGUUUUUCUUCGCAGGAGUAGGAUAUUGUUUUCUUAAAAAAACAAUUUAAAAAAUACCAAAUAUAUCCCAACUCAUCUCAGCCAUUGAAAUAAUCCAAGACUUAAUCCCGUUAAGCCACGUCAUCCGGUGUACCGAGAUUUCGGUACACCGCGUCACACCGGAUCUAAACCCAGACUCAUCCAGACCGUGCGAUCGACCUCAGAUCUAGCCAAUCACAGCCAUCCGAUCAUUCCAUCAGAGAUCCAACGGCGCACAGUGUUCGGUGGUACCGGUAUACCAUGCACGCGUUCACACCGUAGCCUAAUCUCGGACUCUCUCUCUCCUCUCGCCGGCGACGUCCUCUCUCUCAUCCGAUCUCCACUUUCCGGCCGCCUCCAGCCUCCGAACCACCGCAGAAAGGUUGAUCCACUGGUGUAAAGCAAAACCCCGGCGUUUGUAACCGUUUUCACCGCCUCAUCUGGCCGGAAAAAGGCCGCGAUCCUCGCCGGCCACCGAAGCUUCAAGUCGCUGAUUCUCCCUCGUCAGCCAUCAACGGACGUCGAGACCACCACCAUCAGAAUCCUCUCCCUCAGAUCUACCAGGAUCGACGGUUCGUUUCCCAGAAAUCUCGCCGGAAAACUUCGCCAGUGCCAACAGUAGCCGCGCGUGAGCCACACGCGCCGCCAGUGGCAUUUUCGUAAAUUCCUGAAAAAUCCGAGGGUAUUUCAGUCUUUUACAUAUACAGGGGUACUCAGGUAGUUUUUGUUGAAUUCCUAACAUUUUAUUUUAUGUAAAUAUUUGUAAAUUUUUAUUGCAUGUUGUAAAAUAAAAUAAAAAAAACAAAAAAACAAGUAUAAAAAGAAUAACGACGUGGGUCCAACGCCCAUCCCAUCAUGUUAUUGUUUGUGGGUCCAAAGCCCAAUUUUCAAAUAUAGUUAUACCCAUAUCUCAAUAAUAUCAAAAUAUUUGUUUUUAUAAACAAAUAUUGUUUGUGGACACGUCUCUUUUUAUAGAAAAGGACCGAUGUCAAAUAAAAACUUUAAAAACCAAACAAAUAUGGAUUAUGUCCAUAAUUUUGUUUUUUUGGUAACUCGGACGUAAAUCUCCUUUUUAGGGUUAAACGUCGAUAUCUUAGACGAGUCUCCUAUUUUUAGGGACUGAUGUCAUUUUUAACGUGUCUCCUAAUUUAGGGACCGACGUUAACUAUUUUAUAAACAAAACAAAAAUUACAAAUAAGCUCAAAAUAUAAUAGCAUUUGAAUCAAAUAUAAAAACACACAAGUAAGGGUAACCUUUCUUUUGAAAGGAUGUUUUAAGGGUGGUGUCUACCUUCCCUUAAUCAUAACUAACCCAGUACCUGAAUCUCUGGGACCAGUGUCUAAUUUGGGAUUUCUAGUUCCCUCAAAUUACUAGAUGGCGACUCCAAUAAAAUCUAUUUCCCCCAAUAAUAAAACAAUCUUUUUUUGUUAAAUAAACAAAAAGAGCGGAGCCGUCGCCCGACGUCGUGUAUCGACACGGUGAAGCUGAAUAAUGACGGCUUCCAAUAGAGGACAUGGUUCACAAAAACAUGGACAUGCUCUCUAACAGGGUUCCUAAAAGCCGAGUAUUGGAUUGAACUCGAUUCUUGUCUCUUUAUUUCUCUCUUCCUUUCAAUACAUGUAAUUUUACCACAGAUCGAUGGAUACUGAUAUUGUCAUCAGGUUUGGGCUAUGAGAGCUACAAUUUAUGUAAAAUGAUUACAAUAAACAACCAAGCUCUUUCAUGACUACUCUCUAGGCUCACAUAUCGUGUCAUCCCAACUGCAUUAGAACGAUCCAAUAAUAUAUCUCCCAACAGCUGUCACAAUUAAAGAAGCCUUUUUAAUAAAUAGUACAAUUAUCAAUGACAAUAACAAAGCACAUUUUAAUGAAAGCAUUUUCCUAGGUUCAGAUGCCUAGAGAAUUGCUUCAUUGAAUGUUCUAAUGAUAUAUGAGCGGGAUAUAAUUAAGUUUCCCUACCUUGACAGCUUGUCGUCUUGUAAUGUAAUUGGUGGAUUCUAGCAGCUUCGAAUUAAAUUCAGCAAAAAACUGAAGUCCAUACAAAGUUAGACAAUGUCAAGCUCUGACCAACAUUUAGCAAGCAUGGCCACAACAGGAAAUAAAGACACAUUUAGAAUGUUGCAAUUCAUGUUUUUGUCAUAGAUAUGUAGCUACCAACAUGCAGUUUAAAAAAGCAAAGAAGAAUGCUAUAAAAAUGAGGAGAUAAAGCUGCUCAAUUCAUCAGAGUCGAGUAAUAGAUUCUACUUUAUAUGCCCCAUCAUUGCAGAGCAACAAUAUUUUGAGAUUAAUGCAUUACCAGAAAAAUAAAUUUGCAAACCGUCUUUCUCUAAUCUCACCAAAGGUUUUCCGGCUAAGACUUUUGUUGGCCUUCAAAUUCUUUGAAAAAACUAUAGAGGAUCAGGCAUGCCCCAUUAUACAGUGUCAGUGCGUGCAUAACUGAGGCAAUAUCUGUAUCUAUAGGUAUAUAGGAUUUGAAUUUGGGUGUUCAAAAAAAACCAUUAGAGCUUAAAACCUUUACAUUGCUUUUAUAGGAUUUUGGUUUAGAUUCUGCUUUAUGUCUCCAUCAUUGCACAGUCACGAUAUCGUGUUAUUAAUGCAUCACCAGAUAAUUAAAUCUGCACAUCAUCUUUCUCUAGUCUCAGCCACAAGUUUUCUCACCAAAAUAUUCGUCUGCCUACAAAUUCUUUAGAAAGAGGAUUGGGCAUGCCUAUCAACCACCUUGUGUGUGUGGGAUGACCUAAGGCAUGCAUAGCAGAAACAAGUAUAAACCUGUACAAGUAUGCAUCUAAACAUAAGUGACAGCAGAACUCACCCAAUCAUAGUUCUUAGAAAGAAAUUCAGCUACUGUAGAUUUAUGUCUUGUCAAUAGUUCCUGCAACAAAACAAUAUAAAAGUCUCAGAUUCACACUUCAACUAAUAGCAAAUACAAGGCCGAAACAUAAAAACUUCAUAAACAUGCAAUAAAGACAUAAACAGCAUAUUAUAGCAUACUCUAAUCCAAACCUCAAUCAGACAUCAAGAAUCACCCUAAAAAACGCAUUGUUUUCAUAAAGAUUGAACCUUUCUCAUCCAAAGCAAAAAAAGAAAAGCAACCCAGACCCCAAACAAUCUCAAAUCAAUCAAAAUCCACCUAAUUAAAAGAAAACAACAGAAAAAGAACACAAGCACACAUAAAAUAUAUAGAAAUGAUAAGAAAGAGACUGCCAACCUUCUCUUCUCGUUUUGAAUCUGAUAAAGAAGCUGAACUCUGAUCAGCAUAGAUUAAAAGAUCGCGAGUCUGUCUAACUAUAUCGACAGGAGUCGUCGGCUUUGACUUGAAAAGUCCCUUCAUCCUCUUCGAAUCACCCACUAACUGCCCCGAUUUCGAACUCAAGAGCACUGGAUGUCCCGAUUUCGAAUUACUCAACAGCCCAGAAUGUCCCUUUGUCGCUACUGCCGCUGCCAGCGCCGGUGAUUGUGGCGGUGGCAAUACUCUCCUCACCACUACCUCCUCCCGGGCUGCUGCUGCUGCGGCAGCUGGUUUUGAAACGCAGACUCCUAUCUUUCCUCCCUUUAUAAACCCCACAAAAACACAAGAAAGCGAUUUUGCCUUCUCAGCUGGUUUUGACACGCAGACUCCUAUCUUUCCUCCCUUUAUAAACCCCACAAAAACACAAGAAAGCGAUUUUGCCUUCUAUUUACGAAAAGGGUUCGCGGUUUACUUGAUUUCAGCCACCAAUUUUGCUUUUGGAUUAUUGGGUUUUUAUGGGAUCUUGGUGAAAAUGUGUGCUUGAUUCGACGGUUAUGGUUUUUUGGGCUUUGCAUAAACAGAUUGCCAGUCGUUACCGUGUCACUAACCGCUAAAUACUUACAGUACAGUGCUAUUUUUUCUUACGUAUUCAUUUUCUCUAUUAUUAUUAUUACUAUAAAAAAAAAAUUACAAAAGAGGGGAAUUCACUAUGACCGUCUCACAAAAGCACUGUUUAUUAUAGUUUUAAAAAUAAUAUUUUAAUAAAAAAUCCAAAAAAAUAAAAUUCAUCAACGGUGUGAUAGUUAGUUAAACAGGUCAGCUAAAAUUUUCAAGAUCAGCUGAUUUUUUUUUUCCAACUCGAAUGGCUCUAGUCAUGGAUUAGAUUAACUGGGUCUAAGUUGAUUUAUCUGGUAGUCUAGGUUUUAAAACAAUAUUGUUCAUAGUUCUAGAUCAUGAAUUUAAUAAAUUAAUUUAAUUAUAUAUAUUAUUAUUUUAAUUAAAAAAAUAAAUUGUCAUUUUAAAAAAGAUUUUCAAAGUCAGUUUUUAUCUGGCAUUUAGGUUAAUAUUUGACCUGUCAAAUUCACUAUAUUAUAUUAAAUUAACUCUAACAUGGUUUUGAUUUUAAAUUUGAAUUAAAUAAAAAGAAUUCAAAACUAAAUCAUUUCUCCAAAUUUAAUAAUAUUAUCAGAAUAUUACUCGUUGCCUAAACAUUUUUUUAUACAUUAAUUUUUUUUUUGUUCGGCUAGUAGCAUAACGUAAUUAACCAGUAAUCGAUCUAAUCCAUUUUUAAAAAAUUUUAAUAUUAACAGCUAUAUGUGCAGGGAAUAUCAUGGGGUAAGUUCAGAUUGUAAUAAAAAGUACUUGUUCCAUUCAAACUUCUUAGGUUUGGAAAGAAUCAUUGGGAAAUUUAUUUGUAAUUAGUCUUAUUCAUAAAAGUAUCCUAAGACAAUAUCAUUUAGCUUCGACAUUGAUGCAAUAUUUAUACCAAAAAAGUCUCUUUAGAAAUUUAAUGUUUAUGUAUUGUAAAUUUAUUUGUAUUUAUUUUUGCUAUAUAAAAAAGUAAAGUAUACCAUAUCUAUCUAUGUAUCUAAGUUUUUCAUAAAUAGACAGUACAAUACUACUGCUCAUCACUUAGAUAGAUACUAGUUAAACUUGGAUUGAUUAUGGGUUGAUCUGAAGUAUAAUUAAUUUAGAAUCUGGAACAGUUCAAGUUAAAUAAAUAAAUAAAAAAUUUAGUUGAUCUCAUAAAAAAAUUCAAUUUGAAUGGUUUCAACACCCAUCCCUCAAUUUUUUUAAAUUUGUUUUUAAAAAAAUAUUGUUUUUAUCAUAUUUAGAAAAAAAACAUUUGACAAUUGACUUAUGAUCUUUUUUACUCAUAAUCUAUAUCUUAUUCUAGUCCACUCUAUAUCAAGUUUUACAAUUAUAUUAGAUUUAUUAAUUUUUUUAAAUUUUAUAAUGGAAUUAUUUUGGAUCCAUAUCCAAUAUAAAAAUACGAUCUAAUAUUUAAUAUUAAAAUUGUAGUUGCAUAAAUCUAAUGAGUUUGUAAAGUAGAUAAUAUCAUAAAAUUAUCCUUUAUAUAGGCUAUAUAUAAAGGAUGACAAAUGAUAAUAUUAUUCAAUUCAUGAAAUUACCGCCUGCCAUAACAUCACAAAUAAACCACAACAGACAAAGCAAACACACAUAUUUUCUCAUGGAGUCUCUCACGCACACAUCAAUGUUCUCUUGUCACCACCACAUAAAUAGACCCAACAACACUUAUGUUAUAGAAUAUUAAUUAAUAAAAUAAAAAAGAAGAGGCAGGAGGUUUUCAUCACCAAACUUAACAUUACCUAUUGGCUAAGAAAUUGGCUCUAUUUCCAACACCCUGGAACAUGCACCGUACAGUCCUCCAAUAUUUGUUGAUGGAGUAUCAUCGCUUUCGGAAAUCUCAUCGAUUCUUUUCUCACCUUCAAGUACACUGACGAUUUCGGAUAUUUUAGGCCUUAGAGUGGGAGACAGUUUAACACACUUCAUUGCUAACAGCAAAACAGUCAGAGCCUGCUUCCUAUCGUAACUGGAUGCCAAUCUCUUGUCCACCAAGUCAAGGAUUCUUCCCUUAUCGUACAAAACACCAGCCUGCAAUUACAAAGCAAGAUUGGCUUAGCUCCGAGUAUUAAGAAAAUAAUCAAGUAAAUAUUCCUGAUUAUUUUCUAUUCAAUAAAAAACAAAUCAAGGAAUUAAAUCAUUCUAGGUAAUCAAGAAAUUAUUUCAAUCACCCAAUUAAAGGAUACAAUCAACUCUAUUUUCUAUAAUUUAUUUUAUUUUUAUUUACUUAUGUGUCUUGUUAUAUAAUUAUAUAAACAACAUAUGAGUUGAAUAUAAUACAUAUAUCAAAUUAUUGAAUAAUAAUAUCUUUUUUUAUUUUAAAUUUCUUCUUAGUAUUAGAGCGAUCUCUAAAUAUUAGCUUUUGUUUUUUCAUAAGUUGAAUGUAACACAUAUAUUAAGUUAUUUGAUGUUGACAGAACAUGUUUGGUUUGAUAAUAACUAUGAAAAAAAAGAAAAACAAAGGAUUUAUCCUAUAAGACCCACUUACUUUAUCCAGAAGAAACUCAGCUUCUUGGUUUGGUGUGUAGUCUGCACUAACUUUUCCGCUAACUAUUUCGAGUAGGACAAUUCCGAAACUGUAAACAUCAGCUUUAACAGUUAUUGCUUUUCCCAUUGAAUACUCAGGUGCCAUGUAAACUCUGCAAUAAGAGAUUAUUUAUUGGUUAGCUCUGAAUUAAAAGAAUGAAAGUAGUUGUCAAUCAAUGAUCAUAAUACUUACCGCGACCCUUUUGCUUUGAUGGCCAUAAAUGGAUCUUCCUCAUCACAAAGCGUUGCCAAUCCAAAGUCAGACAACUUGGCCGUAAGAGAGUUAUCAAGCAAAAUAUUACUAGGCUUUAUGUUUCCAUGAACAAUCUUGAACCUUUUCUCUUCAUGUAAAUACUUCAAACCUCUCGCUAUUCCCAGACAGAUACCAAAUCUAGCUUUCCAAUCAAGUUUUGUCGUGGAAUUUGGUUCUACAAAUCAAGGUUAUUGAUAUUAAGUUAUUGAUAUUUGCAAGUACACUAUCCUUGUACUAACAGAAGAUUCAAAUAUACAAUUAGAAGCUCUCACAAACAUUAAGUAGCGGAAUUCUAUUACUACUGUACGUGUUUUAGUUCUCAACAAUUGUAUGAAUUUCACAAGGCAAUGCAUUAGGUGAAAAUUAAGAUAAAACUUGAGAACCGAAAGAGAUGGCAGUAUUACCAAACAACGCAUGGUGAAGGGAGCCUUUAUGCAUAUAGUCAUAUACUAGCAGAUGCAGGUCUUUAAUAGAAUAGCCAUCCAACAACUGAACAAGAUUCUCAUGAUGCAAAGAUUUCAUGUUGAAGAUUUCCCUUUGUAAUUCAUCUUUUCCUUGUUGCUUUGAUUGAGGAGAAAUCUUCUUCACUGCUAAUUUUAUCUCGUUCGGCAAUUCAGCCUGUAUACACGUGAAAUCAAUUUACCAGAACUCUGAAAGAAAAAAGUGCAUGUUGAGGAACAAAUGUUUCAGAAAAGAAAAUCUGACCUUGUAUACUAUUCCAAAGCGUCCCCUUCCAAUCUCCAUUUUGGGGCUAAAUUUUCGAGUAGCAUCGAUUAUUUGUUUGAGGGUGAAAUAUAUUCCAUCUCUUUUUACCUCAAUAGUUAUUUCUAUUUGAAGAAAACAUCAAAGUAAGAAUUCUUAAGGUAGUGUAUGGUGCAUAAUGAUUUUAAAUUAGCAUGGAGAGGUACCAUCCAACUCGCUUUUCCACAGCCAUUUUAGCAUGAAGGCCAUUUUCCACAUGAAAGCCAGCAGAAGUAGAGAAGCAAAUACUGAACCUGCAGUAAUCCCUGCAAUUUGUGAAGGAGAUAGUUUCUUGCCGCCAACUUUGAAGUCUGAAUACAAAUAGUGGAAGACAACAAGAAAAAAUUAUUUAUCCAGAUAAAGUGUAAUAGAAAUCUUUGCUCAACAAAAUUAAGAGAAUGCAAUUCUUUACUUGCAGUUACGGAAAUGCCUGCCACAAGGGGUCCAUUUAGAGACAGUGCAGCAGGUGGAUAGGAAAAACCUGGCACCCUGAAAGAUCCUUUUCCAGCCCAGAAAAAAUGGAUAGUCAAACGAUGAUCAUCUCCUAUAUAUGCCGUAAAAUUUUGAGUCUUAUUUGUGACACUGGCGUUUUCUUUAAUGUUGAAGUCUUUUAGUUCUCUCUUCCCCUAUAUCAAAAAUGGAUGUGAUGUUGAACGAUGGAAAUUUUUGAAAUAUAGUUGCAGAAAAAUGGAUGUGAUGUUACCUGUAUAUAUACAUCAAAAACACGUUUCCCUAAAUUCGAGUAAUCUUUAUCAUUUUGGUAAACAGUUUCAGCGAAGUAAAGCUUCACGGUGUAAUUUCCUUUAAAUAAACAGAAGCCGUAAUAUGUCAGAGAAAGAGGGCAGAGGCGAGUUGAGUUGUACAACUGUGUCGCAGCAGAAUCACAAAUUACUCCACAAUCCACGUUUUUUAUGUAAUCACGGUUUGAAUCAUAAGUCUCCGAUCCGAAGUCUCCAGAACAAGAAUAAGCCCAAUUUUUACUUGGAGCUGAAUAAUAAUUUGAUGUUGAAGCGUCUGCUUCAAACACUUUCCCAUCAACAACUGUCUCUCCUCCUCCACAAUUUAUAUAUAAGGAAUCGUCUGCAAAAUAUGAUAAUCAGUACAGAAAAUCUGUCCUGCGCAAAAUUAAUUAGAGCUUCUCAAUAGAGCUUACACUUUUGUUUUCGCCGACAUUUAUCUGUCAAAUUACGUAUAGAAAUCCUAGAAAUAGCAAACAAAAUUUGUAAGAAAUAGCUCAGGAUUAUUUGUUCUAAAUUAAUUGCACCAUAUGGAGGAUAUUACCAUACCUGUUUGGUUCACUGCUUGAGUAGGAACACCAUAUAUAUGCAAGCAGUUGGUGCACAUGAUACAAAAUGAUCAGAAGUUGGAAUUUCAUAGACAACAAUAUUCUUGCAAGUGAAAAAAAAGGAGGAAGAAAAUGAAGUUGCCGUUAUUACAUGUUCAGCUUUCCUUCUCCUUUCUUCGGAUCAUCACGUGGAAUUUCAAAAUUAUUAUAUGACAAGUCCCUGCAACAUUAUUGUUUACAUAUCAAGAUUUUAUUGAGGCAAUCUACAAAAGGGAAAACAAACCAUCUGAGCAAAGAGCACAAAGCCAUAACAUACGCCUCGUGCUCAAUGGUAUGAGGAAGCCAGGCAGGUACUGUGCCAUCAAGCAUAUUUCUUGUGAGAAACCUAAACAAAACAAAUCAAUAUGAAAACCAUCACAUGUUUUUUAAUAGAGUGUCAAAACGAACUUAUUAUAAGAUGGAUUGAUCGAGUUCAAGAAAUCUCUUUUGCAUACAUCUUAGUUAAAUUAAGGUUUUUCACGGAAUCUGGUAUUCCACCCGUUAAGCUGUUAAAGCUCAAGUCUCUGCAGGGUCAAAAAAAUGAAAGCAAUCGUUAUCCUACAUAUUUGAUGAUCAUUUGACAUCUUAUUGAUAAUUGAUUCUGUAAAAACAUAAUCAAAAUCAUCAACAUUUCUAUGCAUGGCCUAAUGGCCCUAAACAAUGAGUAUUUAUAGAGCUGAUGAAACAAAAUAGCCCUGACAGAACUACAAAUCUUUUACAAAAGAGGAAAUGAAACUUACAGGUAUGUUAACAAUGACCAAUUACCAAUGUACGAGGGGAUUUCACCACUUAUUGAGCAAUUCCUUAUCACCCUACACAAACCAUUGAAGAAGUUGGUGUUUGGAUUUAUCCAAUGCAUCCAUAUCUUUAAGAGUCACAUACAUAAAUAUUGAGAAUAUCAUAGCAGACAAAAAAAUAAAAAUAUAAAACACAACAUUGUGACUUCAUGAUUCUGUUAUGCCUACAUCCAGGAUAAAUUUACUAUAGUCGUAAUUAAUAUAUAUUUUUUUAAAUUCUCAAACCUGAAUCCCAGAUACAACUAGUCUUCACAGCAUGUAAUAGCUCAUAAAAAAAACUCAAGAUCAUAUAAAGAAAAAUAGGCCUAAAAAAAUAUUUAUGUAAAAGAUCGGUCAUAAUCCAAAUUCUAUAACAAUAACGCUCCUAGACAAAUAUAAUUCUAAGUGUAAAUGGUUUUUAUUAUUCAAUUUGAAUUCAUGCCAUAUCUCAAAACAUUUUGGCUUUGCCAAUUUGAAAUUAGAACAAAGGUAAUGCAUUUGAGUAUGCAAAUUGCGCAAAUACAUUGCACAUUAAAGAAAAGAAAAUUUCAAGUUAGUUAUUAUGUGAUUUUCGAGUGUGAGCUUUAAAGAAAAGCAAAGGAAGGAAAAACUCACAGGUAUUUUAUUUUCGUCAUAUUUGCAUUUUUUGGGAAAGGAAAACCGGAGCUAUUUACAUCACUAACCACCCUGGAAGAAAAACCAUCCAGAAUAAAAACAUGCAUUUAUUUCAACCCGGUUAAAUUAAAUUAUAGAGCACUUACAAGUAUCGAAGAUUUGACAUGUUAAAAAGAAGACCAAGAGGAAGCUCUCCUUCAAAAUCAUUUCCGGAGAGGGACCUGUGUUUAGUACACAAAAACACAAAUUAUUGAAUGAUAUUCAUCGAUCAUCGACAGUUUCUCAAUCAAAUGGUGGGCAUUCAGCAUUGAGAAAUCAGCUCAAUCAAGUAAUAGUGGUUACAUUCAAAUGUUUAUAAUUACAGAAAGUACAAGUAAUUUCUUACAGCCUCUUGAGUUCAGUCCAAUUCGCAAUGAACCUUGGUACUUGACCGGUCAAACGGUUCCCAGCUACGCUACUGCAGCAUGAAAUAAUUAAUUAAGGGACCACUACACUAAACAGAUUGUUGGUUGAAAUAACAUGAUGAGUUGCACUUACAACUGCGUCAAUCCCACAAAGUUGGCGUAAUUUCCCGGCAGUUCUCCACUCAAAUUGUUGGAGCUCAACCCUCUACAACAACAAAUCAAAAGGAUUGUAAUCCACCCUUUUUCUAUUUUAUUUCUCCUCUUACUAUCUUCCGUGGUUUUACAAGGUGGUAUGAUAUUAUUAUUCCCAAUCUUCCAAGUUUUUGAAACUUACAAAUAAUUAAGAGAUUCCAAUCUUCCAAGUUCUGGUGGAAGCUGACCAAUGAGUUCAUUGAAGCCCAAGUCCCUAAUUAAAUAAGAGGAGAAUGAAAGAGUGAGUGAGUGAGUUUCUAUCCAUCUGUAGGAGAUUAGAGAGGUUGCCCAAUUCUUUAGGGAUAAGAGCACAAAACUUGCAUAAGCAAUGGAAAAAGAAUUUAAUUAACAUUAUAUGAUACUGAAAAGACUGUGAUUACAUGAUACUUACAGAAUAUUAAGGAACGACAAAUUCCCUAAAAAUCGAGGUAUGGAGCCAAUGAGGAAGUUACCGGAGAGAUCGCUAUGCAUAUGUAUUACCAUAUUAGUUCAUUAUUGUUAAAAAAUAAAAAUUCACGUUCUAAAAUAAGAAUCAAUAAUUUAAAUUUUAAAAAGACACACUAAGAACUGAAAUUAGUUAUUAAAUAUGAUCCAAAAGCUAGCUCUUUGCUUAUAACCCUGCAGACAACCCAACAAGUAUCAACACAGUUAAGCAAUUAGUGAAACAAGGUUUUUAUCCUAAUUAAAUAAAAAAAGAGAACCAAACAGAACUCAGAAGUCAACUUUUGUGACCAUUAACAUCUUGCCAUGAACAUUUAUAAGUAUCAAGACCCCAAACAGCUUGCCUUUUUUUUCAUUUCUAACAAAGCUGAUUUUACUUGAAAAUGUUUCACCAAAAAUACUAUUAAAAAAUCGUAAUUAUUACACUACAAGUUUAAUCUAUCAAUUGUAUAUUCAGUAACUUCUUCUUAUAAUGAAGCAAAUUUGAGUUCUUAACUCAAAUUUUCACCAUUAUAAGAUAAUUAUAUAGUCCUAAAAUAACUUCUCCGAAUGAAAAUGAAAUUUUAACUAUUGGGUUUUUGGAUCUUAUCGAUGGAAUCUAAGUAUUUAAUGGAAUAUAAUUUAAAAGAAGUGAUUUUAGGGGGGAAAAUGUUAUAUAUAUAUAUAUAUAUUCUGACAACGCAUGCUGAGACUAUAUUUUCACAGAAAAUAUUAAUUGUAUGCUUUUUUUCUUACCAUUAUAUACUAUUUUUUAAAAGAACAGCAAUGGUAUAAAAUCAACCCCAAAUAUCCAAGAUGUUCUCCUAUAAUUCAUAUAAAAAUGGAUGUUCUUCGAUGCCCAAGUCGAACUUUUUGGUUAGUGCCAAUUUUUUAUAAAGAAAUUCUUGAUUAUGGAUAGUUUGCUUUUAACUAUAUUAGAAAUAAUAGAUUUAGUCUUAAUUAAAGCACGAAAUCUAAAUAGAAAAAAACAUAAUAAUCUAUAAAAAUUGGACAUGGGAUGUUUUUGAAAAAAAGUUAAUAUUAAUAAAAUACAUAUAAACACCCACAAGAAUAAGAGCACAAAACUUGUAUCAGCAAUGAAAAAAAUUUAAUUCACAUUAUAUAAUACUGAAAAGACUGUGAUUGGAUGAUACUUACAGAUAUUCGAGGGACGACAAACUCUCCAAAAAUGAAGGAAUGGAGCCAUUGAGGAAGUUAUUGGAGAGAUCGCUAUGCAUAUGUAUUACCAUAUAAGUUUAUUAUUACUCAAAAGAUAAUAUAUAUAUGUAUAUAUAUAUUGAGACUAUAUUUUCAUAGAAGUUAGUAAUCGUAUGCUUUUUUUUCUUACCAUUAUAUAUUAUUUUUUAAAAGAACAGCAAUGGUAUAAAAUCAACCCCAAAUAUCCAAGAUGUUCUCCUACAAUUCAUAUAAAAAUGGAUGUUCUUCGAUGCCCAAGUCGAACUUUUUGGUUAGUGCCAAUUUGUUUUAAAAGAAAUUCUUGAUUAUGGAUAGUUUGCUUUUAACUAUAUUAGAAAUAAUACAUUUAGUCUUAAUUAAAGCAUGACAUCUAAAUAGAAAAAACAUAAUAAUCUAUAAAAAUUGGACAUGGGAUUUUUCUGAAAAAAAGCCAAAAUUAAUAAAAUACCUAUAAACACCCACAAGAAUAAGAGUACAAAACUUGUAUCAGUAAUAAAAAAAAUAAAUUUAAUUCACAUUAUAUGAUACUGAAGAGAUUGUGAUUGGAUGAUACUUACAUGUAUCCAAGAGACGACAAACUUCCCAAAGAUAGAGGUAUGGAGCCACUGAGAAAGUUAUCGGAAAGAUCGCUAUGCAUAUGUAUUACCAUAUAAGUUAUUUAUUACUUGAAAGAUAAAAAUUCAUAUCCUAAAAUAAGAACCAUUAAUUUAAAUUUUAAGAAGACACACUAAGAACUGAAAUUAGUUAUUAUAUAUAAUAAAAAAAGCUAAGCAGUUCUUUGCUCAUAACAAUGUAGUCACCCAAACAAGCCUCAACAUGGUUAAGCAAUUAAAAAAUAAAACUCGGAAGGGGGGAAACAUCCACAAUAAAUUAAUGGAAAAAGAAAAAAAGAUUACAAACAUGAAAUGUUGAAAAUCAAUACAAUUUCUUUACUAGCUCCCUUGUUUUUAGAAGGCACUUAUUUUAUUUUUAUUUUUUACUAUUUCAAACCGACAUCUAAAUUAUACUUGUGAUAUAUCUUUCCUCUUUAAUGAAACAGUUGAAAAAACUUACACUCCUAUUUAAUUUAACAUAUCUACAUUUAUUAAUAUUAAAUAUUAAAUAUUAAAAGACUAUAAAAUUAUUUGAGAUAAUUAUAUUCGUAAAAUUAGCAUUGAUUUUCCUAUAUUCGUGAAUACUUGUCAAUUUACAAAAUAUAAAUUUUAUUUUUUUAAAAAAAUCAACCAUCAUUAAUUUAUAUGUGUGUACUAUAUAUAUGUUACCCAAUAGUAGAUAAUAAAGUAUAAUACAUAGUCUGUUUUAGAAAUUGAUAACUUAUCCAUUUAGUCACUUUAGCACUGGAAAAUAAUAGUAAGAACGUAUUUAACGAACAUUGGCAACAAAAUAAACUGCAGUAGUAGUAUAUGACCAUGGUACUGGAUCACUUACAGAGUGGCGAGUGAAUGCAAGUUCCCCAUGGUGACAGGGAUGCUACCAUAAAGUUGAUUGUUGGACAAAUCACUGUUUUGGUAACAUGAUUGUUAUCAAUUAAUUAGUUGAGCUCAGCAUAAUAUUCGUAAAAUUAACAUUGAUUUUCACUAAAUACUUGUCAAUUUACAAAAUAUAAAUUUUAUUUAAAAAAUAAAUAAAAAUUCAACCAUCAUUAAUUUAUAUGUGUGUAAUAUAUAUAUAUAUAUAUAUAUAUAUAUAUAUGGUUACCCAAGAGUAGAUAAAGUAUAAUACAUAGUCUGUUUUAGAAAUUGAUAACUUAUUCAUUUAAGCCCUAUUUGUUUGCUGGAAAGUAGUUUCUUUUUGAAAAGUGAAUUUCAGGGAAAGUGAAUUCCGAGAAAGUAUUUUUCGAUGUUUGGUAGUGUAAUGAAAAAUAAGUUGGAAAACUCUUUCCAGUGUUUGGUUAUGUCAUGAAAAAUGAGCUGGAAAAUAAGUUAUUAAUAUUUUAUUUUUCUCAAGUUUAUUAAAAUAAUGAGGAACAAAUCUUACAAAUUAAAAAGUUGAAUGAGAAUGAAAUUGAAAAAAAAAUAUAAUUUCAUAAAUUACCUCAAAUAAAAUAAAUAAUAAUCAAAAUAAUAGAGAUCAAAUCUAAAUUUUUUAAAAAAAAAAAAGAUGAAGAAAUUAAAAUAAUAAUAAUCAACAUUUCAUAAAUUAUUUCAAAUAAAACAAUUAACAAUCAAAAGAAUGAGGACCAAAUUUGAUAGAUAAAAAAUUUCAAUAAAAAAAUGAUAAGAAAAAAUCAAAUAGCAAUUAUAAAAAUAAGGACCAAAGAUAAUAUAAAAAUAAAAUUUUAAGAGAUGAAAUUAAAAAAUAAAUAUUUAAAAUAAAAUAUAUAUAGCAAUCAAAAGUUUGAGGAUCAAAUUUGAUAUAAUCAGCAAAUAAUUACAUUUCUAAAUUUUUCACAACUUCCGGAAAGUGUUUUCCCCCCAAAUUUUUCAGGAAAACACUUUCCUGAAAACCAAGCUAAAUUUUUCUUUUACUAAAAAGUAUUUUCCGUUAACCAACUUUUCUAAUGACAAACAAACACUUUCCUGAAAACCAGGUUAAAUUGUUUUUGACCGGAAAGUAUUUUCUGUUAACUAACUUUUCUAAUAACAAAUAAAUAUAAAAAAAUUUAAAAAAUAAUUUGCUGAAAACUACUUUACAGAAAGAAACAUGGCCUUAGUCACUUUGUCACUGAAAAAUAAUAGUAAGAACGUAUUUAACAAACAUUGGCAACAAAAUAAACUGCAGUAGUAGUAUAUGACCAUGGUACUGGAUCACUUACAGAUAGGUGAGUGAAGGCAAGCUCCCCAUGAUGACGUCAGGGAUGCUACCAUCAAGUUCAUUGCUGGACAAAUCACUGUUUUGGUAACAGUAUUGUUAUCAAUUAGUUGAGCUCAGCAUAAUAUUCGUAAAAUUAACAUUGAUUUUUAUAUAUUCAUGAAUACUUGUCAAUUCACAGAAUAUAAAUUAUCUAGUCCUAAACACUUUAUUCUCCGAAUGAAAAUGAGAUCUUAACUAUUAUUUGAUGGAAUACAAUUUAAAAGAAGUGAUUUUAGAGAAAAAAAAUGUUAGAUAUAGUUUCAUAGAACUCUUAAAAACAGAAGUUACUAAUUGUAUGCUUUUUUAUUCUUACCAUUAUAUAUUAUUUUUUAAAAGAACAGCAAUGGUAUAAAAUCAACCCCAAAUAUCCAAGAUGUUCUCCUAUAAUUCAUAUAAAAAUGGAUGUUCUUCGAUACCCAAGUCGAACUUUUUGGUUUGUGCCAAUUUUAAUUAUAAAUGUAAAUAUUUUAAAACAUUAAUAUUAUUUUUUUAAUUAUAAUUAUUAUUUAUUAAUAUUUAUUCAUCAUUUGAGUUUUCUAUGUAUAGUUUGAAUGUGUGUGAAUGAUUGUUUACUUGUUUUAAGAUACAUUUUCUUCAUAUGAUAAAUAAAUUUGGGAUAGAUCUUGAACGUGCUUUUCAAUCAAUAUUAUCAUGAACGUGGGGAUUAGGCCAUUUUCAAGCCCAGGUUUAGAAUCACUCUCUUAGUUUAUAUUAUAAAUUCUCUAACCGUUAAAUUAUGCAGCCGAACUUUUAUCUACGAAAUAAAAUCUUUUUUAAAACUCAAGUAGCUAUGCACAACAAAAUUUCGAGUAUGCAGCUGGGACUCAAUAAUUGCAUCCCCAAAGGCUAUAUAUAUCUAGUCCAAGCUAAAUAACCACAGCCCAAAGACCGAAUAUCCGAUGCAGAAGCUAAAAAUAUCAAUUCUAGGGAUUCCGAAUCGAAUUACAUAGCAAAACUUAAUUUUGUUUUAAAUAUUGUAGUAUAUUUAAAAUAACGAAUAUUUUUGGACAAAUCAGUGCAACAAAAUAAACUGCAGUAGUAGUAUAUGACCUUGGUACUGGAUCACUUACAGAGAGGUGAGUGAAGGCAGGUUCCCCAUGGUGACAGGGAUGCUACCAUCAAGUUCAUUGUUGGACAAAUCACUGUUUUUAAUGUAAUAGGAUUGUUAUCAAUUAGUUGAGCUCAGCAUACUGAUUCGAAUGCAUGAUUAUCAUCACAUUGCAUAUGAUACUCACAUUUCUUCUAGGUGAACGAGACUAGCCAAGGCUUCAGCGUCGAUUCGUCCGUCUAAUUCUUGGUUUGAGAGAUCUCUACCUCCCAAAAAUGGCGUCAACAUAGAAACCAGUGAGUUUUAAAGAGGAUGCAUUGCCUUACAAAGAUAAAAAAAUAAAUUGGAUGAAGUUGAUGAGGAACUUACAGGCCGGUGACGUGACAAACUGAGUUGUUGUGAUAACUGCAAUUGCAAUUGAUGCCUUGAUAAUUAUUGUCACAAGGCGAGCUUAGUAGCAAAUCCCCCCCUAACGUGGUCAUCAAGUCAUCCAAAGCCGUUGCUGCCAAACGUUUUAAACAAAGAAACACAUAUUUUGUUUAGCAAGAUUCAAACAGGCCUAGCUACUUCUAGCUAGCUUCAAAUCCGAACUAAAAGAAGAAAAAAACUAGUGCUAAUUUUAUGGAUGUGUGAAUUGACUCCAUAUAAUUCCAUGUUGAAAAUCUAUCUAGAUUUCCUUACCACCUCCCUUGUUUAUAAAAUCCUCGUAAAAAUCACUUCAUCCUUAACCAAUCACUUCGCUUGAUAGUUAUAGGAAAAGAUGGAGAAGCAGAAAAUAUCUAAGAACUAAAGCACUACGGAACUCUCUGCCAGGCUGUGGAAGCACUAGAGAGUGCAAAUGGAAGAGAGAAAUAGCAGUAAGGUUGGUUAUUUUUUUAUCUGCCACAGCUUCCCAAGUUGAGCAGAGCCUCACACCCAACAUUCCAUCCUUCCUUCCAGAUCAAGUACUGUUCUCUCUUCUUUCUCUCGUUAGCUUGGAUCAGUUUCUUGCAAACAUGAGUGAGUUUAUAUUCUUAAGAAUUUCACAUCGAUCUAUGGUUAGGAUUUACAUUCAUCCAAAGAUGGUUGUUAUUCAAAAUAUGAAAGAGAAGAGGAUCUGCUUGGAUAGGGAUCAGAAGAUAUUGAAGGAAAAGCUCAAAGUUAACAGAUAAACAAAUUUUCUUCCUUCUUUUGUAUAUAGGAGGAAAAGGAUAUAUAUGUAGAUGGAAAAGUAUAUCGUGCGUGUGUACCUUCAUCUUCAGGCAACGUGGCGUUUCUGUCAGAGGGAUUUGUUGAUUGGCAGGCUACAUAGCCAAAUUGACAAAGAAGAAGAACGGCAAGAAAGGAAACAAGCUUAGGAAAGAGCUUAGCCAUUACUCUAGCAUGCAAUGCGCUUCCCACAAGACAUACAUAUUCUUUAUAUAGAUAUUGUUUUACCGUUCAAACAGUUAUUAACUCUGAAUCAAUUACCUCACAUUACCAAAUUGUCCCUGUCCAAACAUCAAAAUACCCGAGAAAAGUAACUUGCAAUAUUAUGCAUGGAGGCUUAACAAUUUUGGUUCAAGUAAAUUGCAAAAUGAUUCCAAAGCAGCAUCUUUUUAAAUUGAUUAUCUCGUAGUUUUUAAAACGGUGUAAAAUUUGCAUAUUUGAAUUCAAUUCAAUGUCUGAGAUUUGUUUUCAUUCAUGCAUAAUUAAUGGGUGGUAAUUAUUCAAAUAUAUAAUAUAUAAUAUAUAAUUAUGAGUUAUUAUGCAUUAUUAAUCCAACACUAUUUUUGUAUCUAGUAUUCUCUCCCGAGUAAUGUGAGCUUGUGUUUUAUGUCUUUUAUCUCGCAAUUCAUAGAAAAAUAUCCAUCACACUUGAUAUAUAUAUAUAUAUAUAUAUAUAUAUAUAUAUAUAAUGGAGAUAAUUAUAUAUAAAGCAGCCCAUCAAUUUAGUGGAGCUGAAAGAUAAGACAGAAUACAAAGAAUCUGAAAAGAAGAAAAACAAACUAUUCAUGUGCCUCACAACUAACCACCAGUCUUCAAUCAUGAUACCAAAGUUGUCAAUUUCAUUUCGGUAAAUAUUUUGUUUUUUCAAUUGAAAUUGAAUGUUUUAGUUUCGGAGUGCCGUUUCAAGGUUGUACUAUUCAUAUAUAUAUAUAUAUAUAUAUAUAUAUAUAUAUAUAUAUAUUCAACCAACAUAAUUAAAAUUCAAGAUAAAUUAAUUAUAGGUUAUGCAAUACAAACACAAUACCAAACAAAUAUAAUUUCAAAAUUUAAAAUAUUUCUAAAUAGUCAAGAUUAAAUAGAUCUUUAACUUAAAGUAAUUCAACUUAAACAAAAUAUCAAAAUAUUAUGAAAGUAAAAUGUUUUAACAAAAAAUAUUUUAAAUAAAAAGUUAGGUCAAUGUUAUCAAGUGGCUAAUGGAAUCUAAAGCAUCCCUUGUUUUGCUCAAAUUCCUACAAAGUAUAAACAUGAAAAAAAACAACAUGAAUAUAAACCAUAUAUAUUAGUGAUAAAUUUAAUUUUAAAAAAUUAAUAUCAUUGUUAAUGAAAAUAAUAAUAAUAAUUUUUAAUAUUAUUAUUAAUAUCAUUGCUAUUGAAAAUAGUAAUGAAAAAUAACUUUUUAUAAUCGGGUGGUUUAAUUAAUGAAAUUGAGUAAGGUUCAAUUUGAUUCAAUGGCUUUUCAAGAGCGGCACAGAUCAUGUGGAAUGAAACUAGAACGUUUCGGGCGAAAUUUAGCCAAAAAAUCCAGAACAAAUAGAAAUUUAAAAUGAGAUAAAAUUUAUUUUAUUUUUUAAAUUAAUAUAGAAUAUUUUGACCAUUCCAUACACAACGAAAUAAAAUUGACAACCUUGCAUGAUACAAUAAGCACGCACUUCUUCUACUUUGGACCACAAGUUGUCACUGAGGCUGUACAGAAGCCCACAAAAUUGUGGUAAAAAAAAAGGCGAUUCUUCGAAGUGGAAGAAGUCCUAAAUACAAGAGAGCCAUGGAUUUAUUUCUGAAAAUUCAGCAGAUUCCAGCAGCUUUCUGAAAAUACAGCAGAUUCCAGAGGUGUAAAGAUCACAACCAUGCAACGAAAUCACCACUCCCAGCUAUACUUGGUUUGCUUCGCACAAAAUAUGAGAGAAAAUCACAGGACACAGCUUGCUUUUCUGAGAUUUACUUUAAUUAUAGCAAUUAAAAGUACCGCAGAUAUAGUGGUGUAGCCAUAAUAUUUUAAAUGAGGGAUAAAUUACUUAUAAAUAUUCAAUAUUAUAUAUUAUAUAGAUAUGUGUUAUAUAAAGAAAUGCAACUUGUAGGCUACAUAGCCUUCAUCUGCAUGCAACUUUGCUUUACAGGCUACAUAGCCAAAUUGACGAAGAAGAAAAAGAACGGCAAGAGAGGAAAGAGCUUAGCCAUUACUACUUUAGCUUGCAAUGCGCUUCCCUUGAGAUGACAUACAUUCUUUAUAUAGAUAUUGUUUUACCGUUCAAACAGUUAUUAACUCUGAAUCAAUUACCUCACAUUACCAAAUUGUCCCUAUCCAAAUAUCAAAAUACCCGAGAAAAGUAACUUGCAAUAUUAUGCAUGGAGGCCUAACAAUUUUGGUUCAAGUAAAUUGCAAAAUGAUUCCAAAGCAGCAUCUUUUUAAAUUGAUUAUCUCGUAGUUUUUAAAACGGUGUAAAAUUUGCAUAUUUGAAUUCAAUUCAAUGUCUGAGAUUUGAAUUCAUUCAUGCAUAAUUAAUGGGUAGUAAUUAUUCAAAUAUAUAAUAUAUAUAAUUAUGAGUUAUUAUGCAUCAUUAAUCCAACACUAUUUUUGUAUCUAUUAUCCUCUCCCGAGUAAUGUGAGCUUGUGUUUUAUGUCUUUUAUCUCGCAAUUCAUAGAAAAAUAUCCAUCACACUUUUUUUUUAAUAUAUAUAUAUAUAAUGGAGAGAAUUAUAUAUAAAGCAGCCCAUCAAUUAAGUGGAGCUGAAAGAUAAGACAGAAUACAAAGAAUCUGAAAAGAAGAAAAACAAACUAUUUAUGUGCCUCACAACUAACCCCCAGUCUUCACUCAUCAUACAAUAAGCACACUUUGGACCACAAGUUGUCACUGAGGCUGUACAGAAGCCCUCAAAAUUGUUUGACUUUGUAUGGAUCAUGGAUCAGUGGUCAACGACGGAACGAAGAAGUCAAGAAGGUUCCUCGAAGCUAUUCUUCUCCCUCCCGCCAGGGCCUAUCCUAGUAGGGCCCCCUUUCGUGGAAUAGCAGCUACCACUACCAAUCAACCAGAAGAAAAUUCAGCAGAUUCCAGCAGCUUUCUGAAAAUACAGAGUUCCUGCCCAUGAGUUGCAACGAAAUCACCACUCCCAGCUAUACUUGGUUUGCUUCACUCAAAAUAUGAGAGAAAAUCACAGGACACAGCUUGCUUUUCUGAGAUUUACUUUAAAUAUAGCAAUUAAAAGUACCGUAGAUAUUUGUUUAAGGAAUAUUGUGCUCCAAUCUUAGUUUAUGAAAGCUACAAACAAUAAUGAAUGGGUAUCAGCAUACAAAACCUUUUAUCUUAUUUAAUUUAUCCCUGUAUAUAUAUACCCGAUUUGUACAAACUCAAGCAUAUAAACCAUAAAAUAAAAUAAAAACAUAUCCAAAAUAAGUUCACAUCUUAAAUAGGUUUAAUUUAGAAGGACUAAAUUAAGUAAAUUAUGGUUCAUAAAUCCUAUUUUGACGCAAACCAAUCUUAAUUCCAAUAAAGCCCAUUUAAAUGGUAGAGUUUUCACAUAAUUUUACUAAGAUCUCUACUAUUAAUCCCUACCAUUUCUAAAUCAAAGAUGGAAUACAAAGAGUCAUAUGCUGCGAAAAGAAAAGAAAAAAAAAAUCAAGAAAAGAGAGCUUGUCUUGAUAAUUAUUGUCGCACCCCAAAACAAUCCUCGCGCGGCAUCGACUGGCGAUUUUUCAUUCUGUUUAACUGAUUUGGUUCUUUGGAGUCGCCACCUAGUAAUUCAUUGGGGGCUACUAGGAAACCUAAUGUACUGGUCUUGUCAGAGAUCGCGGGUAAGGGACUGGUUGUGGUUAGGAAAGGUAUUAGCAUCCCUAACGCACCCUACCUGAGGUAAGCUGCUUUGUGGACUUGAUGUGCUAAAGAAGUUUUAAAAAAUUUUGUUCUCUCAUCGAAUUUUAGAAAAUACAACUUACAUGUAAGUUCUUGAUUCUUUAUCCGUGAUUAAAUCGAAAUAUUAAAUUCUUCUUUAUUCUGGCAAUUUUAUCAUAAAAAAAAAACAUACACACUACAUUCACUUUCAAGCUUCGUGGACUUGAUGUGAUAUUAAAAAUAAAAUUUUAGCCCAAUUCUAAGGCUUUGAUAAAUCAGUUAUUACUUUUCCAGAAUAUAUGUAGAUACAUGUUCUACAUUUCCAUGGAAAAUUCAACAUGAUUUUUAUCUGUCCUUUAGAUAUUUGUGCUAUAAAUUAAAUUCCUUUUUUUUUUUUAUUCAAUAACAUAAAAAAAAAUACAAACACAACACAUUUUUUUUUUUAUUCAUCACUUUUUCUUUUCUUUUCUUUUUCUUUUACAUCACAUUUACAUAAUGCAAAUAAAAAAUCCAAACCAAAUAAAAAAAAUACAUCAAAUAAAUUUUAAAUUACAAAAAAAAAGCCCCUAAACAAUCUAGAAAUAACAGGGAUAGCCUUCAGCAGCCGGAACAGUGUUCAACAAAUUUUCUGGGUGCAGGAACAGUGAUGGCGCGUGGAUCCCACGCACCACCGCCACUGGCGGCGCGUGGGACCACGCGCCACCGUGAAAAACAACCCGAAACAGGGGGGGUCUGCAACGACCUCCUCCCCCUUUCUUUCCUCGCCGGCGCCGACCUGCAAUUACAACAAAAAACCCAACAAAGCAGUCGAUUUUAAAUUUUUCUUAGUUUUUUUCAGAUCUGUUUUUUCUUCUUCUUCUCCAUAUCUGCUUCGGAUUUUUGCUUCUUCUUGUCCGAUCUGGCUUCUCCUUCUCUGUUUCAGGCGACGGACGGCGCUGCUGGAGGCCGAUCUGGUUUGUGGCGGCGUUGAUGAUCACGAGUCUGCGGGGAGAAGCAACUGCUGGGAUGGGUCGGCCAGGAGGGGGUCGGUUCGGUUUCUGUGGACGGUCUGGCCCCUCGUCUGGUCCCUGUCCGGCGUGAGGCUGAGCUCGGGCUGUUGAAGCUACGGUGGAGCUGGCCUGGCCGCUGGUCUGCGGGGAGAAGAUCAGGAAGAAGACAGCGGGGAUGGAGAGGGACGGCGCCGCUGGGUUCUUCGGGUGGCUGAGGAUGAAAGGAAAAAAAAAAAGGGUUCUCUGGGGGGAGGGACUGUCGGCAGGUUGAGGGAAAAAAAAAUCAAAAGGGGAAGGGCUGCUGUUUGGUUUCAAUUGGGAGGCAGAUGGGAGAAGAGAAAAAAUGUUAUCGAGUGUGUGGGUUUGUGGAGACCGAAAAUCAACACCCCGGGGGGGGGGAAGAAUAAAUCAAAGAUGGGGGACCGUGAGGGUGAGAAGGGAGUCUCUGUGUUUUGUUUUCAAGCGGUUGUGAGGAGAAGAUCAAAAUCCCCGGGGGGUGGCCGGCGGCUAAAAAAAAAAAUCAAAACCCAGCAGGGGCUGGCGGCUGGUCCUUCAUGAGGAAAGGAAGAUGGUUCGUUUUUUUUUUUUUUUUUUUUAGGGUUUUCCCCCUUGUGUUGCCUCCCAAAAUUACCAAAUGAACCCCCCUUUUGAGUUUUGAACCAGUAUUUAUAGAAAUUUUGUAGGUUUUUCAAACUUGGUCCCUCAACUUCUUUUUUUUGUAAAUUUUGAUUUUUUUUUUUUUUUGUAUUUUUUAAAAACGAGCAAAUCAACGUCGAUUCUAUGAGAAAAAUUGAUUUUAAAAUGACGCGUGAAAAGUCGAACGCGUUCGAAAACUUGAAAAUUAAAAUUCUUUUAAAAAUUAAUUUUUAAGACGCUGAAAAUGCUAAAAUGACAAGAAUAUAUUAAAAAAAUAUAUUUUUUGGAUUUUGAUUGUUUUUCUCUAUUUUUGGAUUUUUUCGAAAAUAUAUCAAAACAUGGGUCAAAAAUUGGGUAGCAACAAUUAUAAUACAUAGUUAGGUUUAAAGUUGAUGAGAUAUCUAUUGUUAACUAAUAUUUUUUGAGUUUUAAAAUAAUUAGGUUUUAAUUUGAUAAGAUAUCUAUUGUUAACUAAUUUCUUCUUUAUACAUUGUUAUUAUCAAAGAAUCAUUAUAAACUUAAAAGCUUAAAGUUUUAAUUAUAAUUUUAUAUUAUUACUAGAACAUCUUUUCAAGUGAAAAAGACUUGACAUGGUUUUCUAUAAUAGGUUAAGCCUUCUAAUUAUUUUUAAUCUUUUUAUGCCCAUCCAACGGCUCUGCUGAAUUGCUUGAUACAUCAUAAAAUGACUUGAUUUUGUAAUGUAUAUGAUUGAACCCAUGCAAUCUGAACAUUGAAAAGUAAAAAAGAAUCUUUAAAAUUUGGUCCAGAAAAUGACUUGAUUUUUCAUGCCCAUCCAACGGCUCUGCUAAAUUGCUUGAUACAUCAUAAAAUGACUUGAUUUUGUAAUGUAUAUGAUUGAACCCAUGCAAUCUGAAGAUUGAAAAGUAAAAAAGAAUCUUUAAAAUUUGGUCCAGAAAAUGACUUGAUUUUUUAUGCCCAUCCAACAGCUCUGCUAAAUUGCUUGAUAUAUCAUAAAAUGACUUGAUUUUGUAAUGUAUAUGAUUGAACCCAUGCAAUCUGAACAUUGAAAAGUAAAAAAGAAUCUUUUAAAACUGAACAUUGAAACCUUCAAUUAAACUUCUUGUAAGAGCAUGUGAUAGCUAGAGUUUUAUUUACUUAACUGGAUUCACAAAAUACACUUUUCAAAAAAUAAGAUUUUCUCAUAUCCAAAAAUAAAAAAAAGUGUUCAGCAUCAAUGGUUGGACCCACGGAAUGUGAGGCUUGAGAAGUAAUAAAGACUUGGCAUGGUUUUCUGUCUUUUCUAUGCCCCGCUAACGGCUCCGCUAGAUGAAUUGAUUUUUUGACGUUAUUAGAAAAUUAAUAAUCAACAUGAUCGAACCCAUGGAAUCUGAACAUUGAGAAGUAAUAAAUAAUGCAUCUUUAAGAUUUAUGGUCAAGUCUUUGUUCAUGUAAUUCAGCAUCUUUUGUUUUCCAUAUCAUGUCGAUCAAAAUUGCAUUGUCAAGCAGAGAACAAAAUAAUAAAGCUAAAGCACCACCACAAGUUGAUAUAUUACUUUAUAUAUAUAUAUAUAGGUACUCUACCGAGGUAUUGUUUAAACUAUAUUUUAUUUCAACAAAAAAAUAACAUAGCCUUCUACGCUUGUAAUUGCUAAACCAUUUUGUAUUCAGAAUAUAUUAUUUAUACUAUUCUCCCAUGAAAAUUCUUGGCUGUGAUAUUCAUACACCAAUUGCUGGCUCUAUUUCAUACACCAUGGAAGACUUGGUUGAUUUGGUCGAUGACGUGGACACCUAUGGUGAUGGGGAAGAAGACGUUGCGGAUGAUGAGGACUUUUGGGGACAGCAGCAACGGGUUGGAAAAAUCAGAUCUGGCGAAGGAUGGAGACAAUUAUCAUGUAUUGAUAUUCAAAUACUCGAAAAACAAAUUAGGUGGUGUGCUGCCUCAAUCAGAAGAUUUGAAUAACUUUCAUAAUAAUUUUUUAAUAUCAUGAAUUAAUUAUUUGAAUUUGAUUAGUUACUAAGUGGUGCAUAAAUAAUGUUUUUAAAAUGCUAAAAUCAUAUUUAGAUUAGUCCAACGAUUUAGAAAGGUUUAUUCACCUUAAUUUACAUUAAAUUAAUCUUCAUUUUUAUUAUUAUUUUAAAGUUUUAUAAGUUUUAUCAAUUUUAAUUCACAUCGAGAAAAUAUAAUUUUUAAUUAAAAAAAGAUUCUAAUAAUAUUUUAUUAAUUAAACAUGAUUUGUUUUUAUAUAUUAAUUUUCGAUAUUAACCUUUAGGCUAUGCGUGUUUGUAUAACAUCAUAAUUUAAAUAAUCUUUAAAAAUUAAAUAAGUGAAUAAGCUUUCAUGCAUGCGCGCGCGCAGAUGCUUCCUCACCAUCACUAUUUAUAAACAAGGAAUUAUCUGCAAGAAAACUUAUUCUCAGUGCAAACAUGAUUAUUUACCAUGAGAAACUCAGCCAGUAUAAUUAAUUAGAAGAGAUAAAUUCUCCAUCUAAUAAAAAGAAUGAACCUUGCAGAAAUUUGUUAGACAUGCUUCAAGAAUAUCUCUCUUAUUGCAGAAAAUUAUGGUGCCACAUACCUAGUCGGGUGUCUGAAAAGCACCAAGAUCAUGAAAUUAAACCAAGAAAAUAUAUAAAUAUCAAUGAGAAAUAUUCAGGAGUGAUUUAUGAAAGUCAAUAAAUUUGACAAAAAGAAAGCAAAAUGGAUAGGAGUUUGGUCCGUCCCUUGCAUGUUUAGAUACUGCAUUACCAAGAAUGUUAUAUUUUCACAUGUCACGUUGAAGUUAUUGUAUGAAAGAUCCCUGCAAGUUAACAAUUCAUAAAAUCGAUUUGAAAUUGAUCUUUAUGAAUUGGCAAGUUAACAAUUCAUAUAUUACACUAAAUUGGCAUAAAUUAAUUAAAUUGAUUGGUCUUUUUAAUAAAAUUCUCUUAAUCUUUCUCAUCUCUCAGAGUUCACUAAAUAUACUGAAAUUGCAAGUGCACUUUUUACAAAAGCAGUGUUUUUUUUUAAUGAGUCUUUCACCUUCUCUUACAUGCUUUUCCAAAAUAUAUUUUUAUAACAUGUCAUUUUAUUAAUAAAUAAAUAAAACUAUUAUCAUGACUAGAUUCCAUAAAUUGCUAAAUAAAUAAAGAUUGAAUCUUAUAAUAUAGUUAUUAAAUAUAAAUUGAUAAAUUGAUCUAGAAAAACUUAUAAUCUAAAACCUUACCCGAGCUGAAAUUCAUGUUAAACUAAAAAGAAAUAUUGAUUAGGUGAAGUCCAAUUGAUUCACCUCUAUUUUUAAUAAUUAUAUUAACUUAAUUAAACUAAAUCUAGUUAAUUUAAAGAAUUUUCUUUAAUAAAAUAAAACAAUAUUGUUUUACUUAAAAAUAACUUAAAUUAACUGGGAUAUCUCUCAAAUUAAUUUGAUAAUUUAAACCAUUUUUCGAGUUAGUUUCCGAUUGCGAAUCGAUAACUACAAUCAUUCUACACCUAUAUACACUCUCGGAAAAAGAUAAUGAUAUUCAUUUUUCUCAAAGGAAACUGUUGGUCCACCCAUGUUCACCCUAUGAACAGUCUCCCCACUGGAUUAAAAGUUUCAGCAUCAUCUGUAAUGAGCUCAUCGGGAACUGAAACGACUUCCAAAGGCAUUUAAGAGGCAAAUGAAUUGCCUGAAGAGUGAUGGUGAUAACAGGUCUUGAGUUACAUAACUGAAAAUUCUUUAACAACAGAAGCCUUCAACUGAAAUUGCUGAGGAAACACCAAAACUCGCAUUGCUCAUGUUGUAAGUACCACUAACAAAUGGAUAGAAAUAUAACGAAUCCAUUGCCUCCCGGUUGGUUAAUCAAAAGUGUACUUGAGGUUCCAUCAAAGAUUCUUGCUGUUGAUAGAGUGGUGAAUCAUCCCCAGAAGUGACAGAUAUUGAAGCAUUUGCAAAAGUGUUUUUCGGGGUUGAAAGAAAGUUGGGAGGCAGAGCUAUCAGCAACAAAAACACGGUUACCCACUGUAGUAUUGGUGAGUGAUCCGCAGUCUAUAAGAUAAUUGUCUAUGUUGUAACCUAUUUUUGGAUUCUCAUAGAAAAUAAUAAUAAUAAUAAUAAUAAAUAAAUAAAUAAAUAGCUAGAAGAAAUUAAAAAAAAUAACAAGUGGCGGGAGCAAUCAGAAAAUUAUCAGAAAAAUGAAUUAAGGAGGAUAAAAAUACAAAGAUUAAAAUUUUGACAGUAUAUCCUUAAAUGAUGAGAGCCAUGUUAGAAAAGAAAAUUCAAUUUGAAGAGAAAAGUCCAAAAUUGGAUGUUUAUAGAAUCAAUUGGAUUUUAUUGAAGGUUUAAUUGAAUUUAUAAAGGGUUUGAUUGCAAAACAAAUUUAUUUUUAAGUCAUUUUGGGCUUUAAUUGGAAGAAAUUAAAGUUCUUAGGUCAAAUUAUAAUUUUUUAGAGUUGAUUUGGUCAAAUCAGGGGCUUAAUUGCAUAAAUAUUGAAGUUUAAUGACCAAUUAGGGAUUUAAUUGAGAAAAUCUGAAACCAAGGACCAAAUUGGAAAAGGCGCGUAAAUAGAGGGGCUGUAAUCAACCAAAUCAGGGGUCAAAUUAAAGAAAUUGGAAGGUUAUUAAUCAAUUGAGGGUCCAAAUGCACAAAUUCAAAACCAAGGACUAAAGUGAAAAAAGGCGGACAAUUAUAGGGGCGGCGAUUGAAAUUGGCAGGGAUGCAAUUGAAUUAAUUCUUAAAAUCAAGAUUACAUUGUGAGGACUUAAAAGAACAAAAGAUAAAUUAAGGAUUGAUUUGGAAAUGAAUAUGCUAGCGCCACCUUUAAAUGAAAUGACACGUUUUGUAUAAAGCGACGUCGUUUCAUGUUUAAAAAAAAAAAAACAAAGAGCAAAACGAUGUCGUUUUGAGCGACAUCGUUCCUCUUUCUCCUUCCCCUGGACGUGCAGCAAGGGAAGGCAUACGGUUUUCUUCUUCUUUCUUCAUUGAUUCCUGCGAGCCGCGUGCCCUACGAAAGACCCGAAGCCCCACGCACCUUGAUGAUGAGAAAUCGGGGGCGCCAUGCCUUGCUAGCCGUGCCCACCAACCAACCCAGCGCUGCCCUGCUCCCCAUGCACAUCAAUAAAGAGGCCUCGCUCCCUUGCCCCUACAAAUGGAGACUGAACGCCAGCACGCGAGGGGGACAAAAAAGAGAGAAGGAGGACGAACUGAAAAAGAAAGAAAACGAACCAAAACGGAGAGAACGAACAGGAGAGAGAGAGAAAGAGAGAGAGAACAAACCGGAGGGAGAGAGAACGAACCAACGAAAGGGAAAAACAAAUCGAAAGAGUAGGAAAGGAAACGGAGGAGAAGGGAAGAGCAAUAACCCCUCUCUCCACCGCUUGAAGCAGUAACACCACUUCUUAGAGCCGCCAUCCAUGAGCCGCGACACUGCCACCGGCCUCCACCGCAGCACCGCCAGCAAAGCAGUCAGAACAGUAAGGCAUCGCCUCCACCGCACCAGGUAAACCCCCCCCACCUUCAUUUGUUUUGUUGGCUACAUUUCCUCCUGCAUGUAGAACAAAUAUCGUUCUGCAUGCAAGAGAAGAGGAGGGGGAAAAUAAUUCCCCCCAUCCGUGGGUUUUUUGUUGCUGGCCCAACACUGAUGGGUUCUCCUUUUUCUAGGCCAAACGGGUUUUUGUGGGCCAGGUUGAUUCUGGCCCAGCCUUCAUGUCUGGGCCAGGUCUGGCCUAGACCCAAAGAGGCAGAGUGAACUAGUAGACCGAGAUCGGCCCAACCCUUUUGGGGUUGAGUUCGGCCCAGUUAGUUGGGCUGGCCCAACCCAACCCACCUAAUAUUAUAUAUUAUAUAUUAUAAUGUUUUUAUAUUAUUUAUAAAUAUAGAUAUAAAAAAAAUCUGAAAAAUCUUUAAAAAAAUUGUUGAUUUUCCUGCGUAUUUUUAUCAAAAUUGCUUAAUAUUGGUUUGUAUUUUUAUACUGUAAAGAUACAAAUCUAGUAUUAAAAUACCCGGUUUUUGUCAAGACAUAAAAAAAAUGUUUUGUUUUCAAAAUUCUGAAAAAUUCUUAAAAAAAAUUAUAGAUUUUCAUGCAUAUUUUUAUUGCUUAAUAUUGAUUUGUAUUUUUAUACCGUAAAGAUACUAAUCCAAUAUUAAAAUUUCCGGUUUUCGUCAAGACAUAUAUAUAUAUAUAUAUAUAUAUAGGUUUUGUUUUCAUGCAUACGGUCUAGUUUCUCCAAAAAAAUAUCAUAUUUUUAUACAAUAAAGAAAAUUUCAAAAAAUAUACGUAUUAGCAUGCACUUUGGCUUUAACAACAAGUUUGUUAGAGCCAUGAAAACAAGGCCAAUAUUUCAAAAAUUCUAAAAAAUCUUUUUGUCUUCUUUUAGUAUCUGGGAUUAUGAAUUUAUACGUAAAACAUAUUCCUGAUAUUAAAAAUAUAGUUUUCAAAUAGACGUUAGAACAAUUAGGUUUUUACCCGAUACAAUAAGGACCUCCUUACUAAGGAGAAUUUUUCUUGAACCAUAGACAGACCAACAAUUAGAAAUAUAAUAACACCUUAGCUUUUUAUCAGACAAUUAAACAAUACAGCUUAACUUAGGUAAGACGUAUUUGGGAUACUAAUACCUUUCCUUUACGCAAUCAGUCCCCGUAUCUGAUCUCUGAGACCAGUUAAGGUUACUAGUGACCAAAAUAUUAGGUGGUGACUCACAUUCCAUUUUCCACCGAUAAACGACAAGAGUUUUUUAUCUUCCUAUAUUUGCCAUAUAGAUAGAUAUUAUAUUUAGAUUUGAAGUGGAACAAUUUUUACCGCGACGCCGCACACGUGCGACAGUCUACAUGAGUGAAUCCACUAGAUAAACAUACCAAACUUAAGAUUGACAAAAGUACACAAAUGAAACGUCUAGAUCCUACACUGCCCAUCAUUUCGAAAUCUGGAACUUUACUGGGGAAAUAUGGAAAUCUAUUGAGCUUUAAGAUAUAUAGAAACUAAGGACUCUUAUCAAGGCAGAGCACUAGGGUGCCCCUAGUAAUCAAUAGCAGAACAAUAGAAACCAAAAUCCAUGAAGAGGGAUGAAUAAGGAAGUGAAAUCAAAAUCCAAGAUUGCAUAAUAUAGCAAGAGCAAGCAAAGAAGUUGGCGCUUUUCAGUUACAGAUACGGAAGAAAUCUAAAUCCUAAAUAGCAAUGUAUAGAAUUGAACAAGAAAGACAAAUCUAAAGUAGCCAAAAGCAAUACAAGGAAAGGAGCUUGUAGUUGUUGUUACUCACAAAUAAAUGAAGAAAAGAUGGCACACCUUGAACAAAAUUUGAGGUCAAAAGGGGGGGACCAGAUGGGAAAUACUUGUGAGGAGGACAAGGUAAAUAUGGUAUAUUUUGAAAUGCUAAAAGGGCUUUCAGUUCAAAUAAAAAGAAGUCAAAAUACAAGCUGGUGCGAACUAGAACUUUACUGGGGAAAUAUUGAAAUAUAUUUUAAUCAUGAAAAAAAUAUAUUUUAAUCAUCUAAUUAAAUAUUUUUUUUAUAGUUUAUUUUAUUCUAUUUUUUUUAUGUUUCUUGUUAUAUGAUUAUAUAAAUCUUGCUUGAGUUGAGUAUAACAUAUAUUUCAAAUUAUUAAAUAAUAAUAUCCUUUUCUAUUAUAAAUUUCGUUAAUUAGCAUUUAAUGUUCGCAGAACAUGUUUGGUUUGAUAAUAACAUAAAAAAAAAAAAAAUUAUUCAUUUACUUACUUUAUUCAAAAGAAACUUAACUUCUUGGUUUUGAUGCGUAUUUAAUAGUUUUUUAAUUUUAUUAAAAUUGUUUUUUCUAAUAUAUAAAUAGCAUAUAAUAGUUGUGAUACUUUUUAUUGGAAAAAUAUUGAGUAAUAAAAAUUAGAAUUAAAAUUAAUUGAAACUUUUUCUGCAAAAUACUGUAUUUCUGUGUGUUGUCUUUCUUGUUUCUUGUUUCCGCCUGCAUCAUGAACCUUUAAAAUAAUUCAUAAAUUCAAUCAAGAAUUCCCUGUCUGCAUUUUGCUGCAGUCAGCUGUGGUCACUUUUUUGCCAAUUCUGGCUGCAGAGAACUUUGCAGCUACGACGAAAGAUGCAAAAUUCUUUUUGGAAUUCAGUUCUGUUUAGAGAAGAAUCAAGCUAAUAGGUUCAGGUACCACUGGGAGAGACAGAAAGAAGCAGCUAUGGUUCAACAAGGCAUGAUCCUUGCUCAAUGAGAAGUGUAGAAAAACUGGUAUAUAAACCACACAAUCUGUGUAACAUGGUGGUCUGCAUGAUCAACAAUGGUAGUUGUCUUCUCAAUUAGAGUAUACAUAUAAGUAGGCAUUGUUUAAAAACCACAACAAAUUGGAAGACUCAUUAUUGAUGCUGCCACUCUCUCAGUUAAAGAUGUUUCUUUAAGCCUUAACGACGAUAUCGACUGAGCUCAUCUGAUUGCUAUAAGAACAAAGGAUAUUGAAUUGUCUCAUUCUGAUUGCUGCAAAACCUCAACAAAUGCUUCCUUCAAAAGCGGGUUUGAAGCUGCGACUCUUUGAGUAGUGAUGUCAAAAUCUUUACCAGAUCUGUAGCCGAAAGAGCAACCAUCAAAAUAUCAGAACACGCAUUAUAUUCUGGACAAAAUGUGAGCAUAUGCUUAUGUUCUUAAUAUCUUUGACCUAUUGCUUGCCCGGAUGACAGAGUUGAGGAUGUCACAAGACGACGAUUAAAUCAUGUUGACAUUCGAUAAACACUGUUCUUUCAUGUCCAUGCAUGGGACUAUCCUCUCUAUAUCCCACACUACCCCCACCUAAGUUGUGGAAGGGAUGAAAUAUAAAUAGCAUCACUUACGGGUCAUAAACGAUUCCUCCAGCUUCUUUGACAAUCACAGCACCACCUGCCACAUCCCUGAGUUCAAGAGUAGAUUAUAUCAAUCAUGCGUCCAGAUGAACUUUUCUUGCGUCAAUCACAAAUACGUACCACGGGCCUCCAUAUCCGGUUUCAUAAAACAAAUCAAUCCUUCCACAUGCAACUCCGCAAAGAUUCAAUGCACAGGAGCCAGUCAUCCUAAGGGAUCUCACCUGAUAACAAGAUAAUCAGAUAUGAAUUUUAAGAAAACCAACACAUUUUACCAAAGCACAUAGCUUCCACAGCAUGUUCUGGUCUCACCUUGAAAAGUAAGGUGUUAAUUCUGUUCGUUGUGGCAUCCACAGUAGACUUGUCACGUUUUGUUCCAGCCUGCUCUUAGAAGAAUUUAGUUUGGUCAGUUCCUAACAUGAUUCCUUAUGAAACAUAAAGGAGUGGACUUGAAGUAGAAAGGAGUUUUAACCAGAUUCCACACAGAGCAUAACAGGGGUGAACUUAAAGCACUCCUUUUGCAGGGUAUUUGCAAGUGCAACAUGGUAAAAACUAAAUACAUUCACAACGCAUAGAUCUGCAUUUCAAAUACAGGGAGUUGGAUUUCUAGAGUCUACGAACAAUAUUUUAAUAUAAACGAGAAGGGUUAGCAUGCCAGAAAAAUCAAUCCAGGGUUAAAACAAGCUACCCUUACUCAGCACUUAACAUUUCUGACACUAUCUGGAGUUAAGACUGAAAUUGAUUGUGCCCAAGGCAAUUUUAACACCCUUCAAACCGAUCCAAUAAGAAACCAAUUGGAGAUGUACAGUUAGAAGGAUAGAAUUGUACCAAAAAAAUAUGAGACAGUAGGGCACCAAUUCAUCUCAGGUUUCAAAACUGAUUCCCGGUUAUAUUUCAGUUUAAGCUAUCUAAACUGAAAAGCAUCUCAGUUUGCAAGUUUGGGCAGACAAAAAUGAUGCUGAAAAGCAUACCUCUGUUGCAAGAAGAGAUUUCACAAGCUCACUUUGAGAUGAUACUGCAAUCGAAACACAAGUACAUAGCUGCUUAAGUUUCAUGGAAAGAUUAGCAUGCAAAAGUAUCAAAAUAUGGAAACUGACAAUAGUCAACUCAGAGACACCUUUUAUGGGUUUUCCAUUCAGAAAUGCACCUUUUCCAUGGACGCCUGUAAAAAGCUGCAUUUAUAAAUCCAAAAUCUUUUAGCAAAUUACUGGAUCACAUUUCAAAUUCUAUAAAAUUUUGACAGAACAUUAACUUCGAUGUUAAAUGGGACAAUAUACGACCACAUAUCUGAAGUGAAAGCAAGAAGUGUUCAAGAAGGCAGACAAAAGUUUGAUGGACUAACUGCUUAGAUAUAGCUAGAUACUCGUUUUCCCGAUAUUUAAAUACUGGCAGACUCAACAUCAUAAAGCAGACAUUUAUCUGAGUAGAGGACCAUGCAGCUGAAAACUAGUGGUCACUGGUCAGUGUUCAUUUUGUGAGGAAAGAUGCACUAACAUCCAGCAUACAUGUAGAAGAUCACCAGGCUAUAUGAAAGGAGGUAAACUCUGCAUGUUCUACAUAAAAUUUUAAUCAUUUAAAGUUCAAAGUAAUAUCUGGCCACCUAAAACUAACAUGCAAUAUAUAAAAUCUCACCUCUUCCAUUAUUGGGUUGUAAACAACACCUACUGUAGGAACUUUUCCAAUUGUAAGACCAAUAGAAAUGCACACAAAGGGGAACCUACAUCCAAACAUGUUGCGACAAAUUAAAGUGAUGUUACAUGUAUAAAAACAAGAGGAAAUUGCCUUCACUAAACAAUGUUAAAAAAAAAAAUUGCAUUUACCCAUGGACAAAGUUGGUUGUUCCAUCAAGAGGAUCAACUAUCCAUGUCGGUUCAUCAGUCAGUUCCGUAAUACCACAGGCAGCAGUAGUUUCUUCCCCAAUGAACUAAGAAAACCAGCAAAAGAGAACUUUCAAGAGAAAAACAGAGGCACUUUUUAGGAGACAAUAUUCCCCGUACAGAUCAAUAAUGCUCAAAUUCAUCACCUACAAAGUAGAAAAUACUAAAGUAAGUUGUUAACCUUAUGUGAGGGGUGCUGCUGUUUGAGAUAAUUAAAAAUAAGAUCCUCACAAGCCUUGUCAGUCUCAGUAACUAAAUCCACCUGCAAUUGAGAAAUAAAAUAAACAAUUGUCAGUAAUUACACGCAUAUAGUGAAGUAUGUUUAGCCACAGCACUUUUAUCCGGGCUAAAUUAACACAAAUGGGUUGGCAACUUCUAAUUUUUUAAUUUCCUCCUCUGCUCCACAGUUAUGAUGAUACAGUCCAAUUAACAAAGGAAAUAUGCUAGCAUUACAAAAUAGCAAAAGCACUUUCAAUUUUUUUACAAACUCGAUGACCUCAGCGUGAAGAUCAAAACUUUGUUUCCCAGCAGCUUUACAAACAAGGAUUUUAGCACCUCAUGCACGAUGAAUUCAAUUACCGUUAGCUUUACAGACGUUGAUGCUAAAUUCAAUUGCCAUUUUAAAGCUCCCCCGGCAUGUUAAAUUCAAUUCCCAGUUUUGUUACAAAACAAGAUCACCUCAAUGCCAAGAUUAAAACUUUAUUUCCAUUAGCUUUACAAACUGGGAUCUUAAAGUCCCCCCUUGCAUUCUAAAUUCAAUUUGCAAGCAGAUAUAAUCAAUCACUGAUCUGAAUUCAAGAUUAUUUAGCAGCAUUUGAUCAACAAUUCUCCUUUCUUUAGGGGAAAAAAAUUGCUAAGCACUACACAGACUCUACAUUCAAGAUCACAUGAUGCAACAAGAAUGUCCAAGAUAAGACUACCUUGAUUAACGACCAACAAGAAAAAGAGAUACAAAAGAACCCAAGAAAAGCAAAGAUGGGUACCAGGCCUUUAUGCUCCACAUGCUUGGUCUGGUAGAAUCCUUCACGGAUUAUCUACAAGGCACACAAGAAAUGGAAAAUGAGACUAAAUUUGAGACCCCUAAAAAAGGAAAAACAAAAUCUAAAAUUUAUAUCUCACCUCUCCAGCUCUCUUUGCUGCCUCAACAGCAGUCUGCAAGAACUCUGAAAGAGAAUCUAAAACAUCCCAAAUAAAAAACAAAAUGCAAAAAUCAUCAAGAUCCCAUACUGAAAAUGAACCAAGAAAUCAAAAACAAAACGAGAAAGAAUGCAAUAAAAAAAACUUGAUGGGGUCCUACCAUUCUGUGCCAUGUUUUAAAAUUUGUAUGUAGAAAGAAGAGAGUGACAGAGGGAAGUAGAUUGUGGUGGAGGUGAUGGUGAUGAAAGGCUCUGUGUCUUGAGUUUUUUUACGUCUAAAAGGAAGCAGCAGGCAAACCACAAAAUGGACCGUUUGAUUUCUGUUUUUUUCUCUCUUUAUACAUAUAUAUGCUGAAGAAUCUGCCUUUUCACCCAGUCUGUGUACUUUUUGCAUCAAAUUCCUGGUGAAAAAGGAAGUCCUUUAAUGGUGCCUUUUGAGUCCUUUUAACCCUUUUUUAUGGCUAUUCUUCCCCUACGUCAUAUUGUUACUCUUGAGUUUUCCUAUGAAAUUAAGAAAAUAUUAACAUCCAAAUGAUGGGGAAAGAGAUUUGCUCAAUUUUGAAUGAUGGAGGGCAUCAUUGGUGAGCCUAGGAAGAUAGGGACCAAAUUGAAACCUCCCUAAUAACUUGGGGUAUAUUUGUAGUUUUCCUAGAACAAAAAAUACCUAAAAUCUUACAUUUUUUUUUAAAAAAUAAAUAAAUAAAACCCAGCAUCAAACUCAGUGAUUGCUGAUGAAAGCAUUAAAAUCAGAUACCGUGAGAAUACGAAAUGAAUAUGGUGGAAAGUCAAUUCGGAUGAUAAAGGCAUCUCUUUUUUAUGGCAAUAAAAACAUAGUUACAGUAACCAAUCGAGGAUCAACUUACUUAAAGGUUAAUGUUAUGGAGUAAUCUAUAUUAAUAAAUAAAGUUUGAAAUAACAUUAUUUUUUUAUCAAAAAAAAAAAAAGGGUUGUUCCAUUCCACCUAUUUAACUCGGAUGACGAGGUUAGCCUAUGUACUGAACCGGGUCUUAGAAGUAGGAUAAAAAGUGAAAGCAGCAGAGAACAUUCUGGUUUUGGAAUUGAAGUAGAUGCUUGGAAUAUGCUGGAGAUGUUCACUCGUGAGUCGUGACUCACACAUGGAAGCCUCAUCUUUAAUAAUAAAGAAAAUGACUCCUUUCCUAGCAAGAAGAAAAGAAUUUUGGUGUGAAUUCUCUACCCUGUGGCCCACCAAACGAAGCUUCCUAUCAUAUCAUCCUCAGUAGGUUCUGCUGAGGAAUGUCCUUUGAUACUCUGUAUACGGUCAAAUGGCGUCACGGAGGACCCCUAAUGGCGGUGGGAAUCUAGUAACAUGCGACUGCUGCCUACUCUCCUCACUUGAGACUUGGUUCAGACUCCUACCAUCGACAAGAGUUAUAGCUACUUUACGUCCGCACUCCCUCGAACAAGGAAUCGUAACUUGUACACAAGUCUGUGUACAUAUGGAGAGGGAGACCUAUAUGGCUUCAAGUAGGUUACCAUGGGGAAUGAACAUACGGUGAAGCUGAAUAAUGACGGCUUCCAAUAGAGGACAUGGUUCACAAAAACAUGAACAUGCUCUCUAACAGGGUUCCUAAAAGCCGAGUAUUGGAUUGAACUCGAUUCAUGUCUCUUUAUUUCUCUCUUCCUUUCAAUACAUGUAAUUUUACCACAGAUCGCUAUGAGAGCUACAAUUUAUGUAAAAUAAUUACAAUAAACAACCAAGCUCUUUCGUGACUACUCUCUAGGCUCACAUAUCGUGUCAUCACAACUGCAUUAGAACGAUCCAAUAAUAUAUCUCCCAACAGCUG
rnacentral:lncRNA from 1 species